rnacentral:lncRNA from 1 species
GCCAACGUGUGCCGCCUCCCGCCACCGGAUGCCCCGGACCGCCCCGCAGCCGCUUGCCAGCCACCUCCAUAGUACUUGGCAACAAACCUAUACAUUCCCGAGCUGGCACACUCUCCAGCUCGCUCCUCGCCUCCUCCUCCUCCUCCUCCCCUGCUUCUGCUUCAGAGGGACACGACAACAACACGAGCCUAGAGCAGAGCAAGAGCCGAGAGCCACCCUCAGCGAAGAGGAGAGGUGUGCUUGGAUUGCCGCUCCAUUGCUGAAUAAUAUAUACUCUGCUAGUGGUAGUUUUUUAUUGAUUUUAGCCGGGAGGGGAUAAAAGAUGUCGUCGCUGGUGUCCGCGCCGUUCGCCACGGCCACCGGGGCGCAGAAGAAGGCGCGCGGGCCGCGGCCCGCGCCGCUGCACUCCUUCCUGCUCACCGGCCGGCGGGGGCGGCGCGCGACGAUACGGUGCGCCGUGGCCGGGAACGGGCUGUUCACGCAGACCAACCCGGACGUGCGCCGCGUGGUUCCCGCCGAGCGCGGCCUGCCGCGGGUCAAGGUGGUCUACGUCGUGCUGGAGGCGCAGUACCAGUCCUCCGUCACCGCCGCCGUGAUGCAGCUCAACGCCGACCCGCGCCGCGCCGCCGAGUUCGAGGUGGUGGGCUACCUGGUGGAGGAGCUGCGGGACGCGGACACGUACGCCGCCUUCUGCNNNNNNNNNNNNNNNNNNNNNNNNNNNNNNNNNNNNNNNNNNNNNNNNNNNNNNNNNNNNNNNNNNNNNNNNNNNNNNNNNNNNNNNNNNNNNNNNNNNNUGUUGGGGAACGUCGCAUGGGAAACAAAAAUUUUCCUACGCGCACGAAGACCUAUCAUGGUGAUGUCCAUCUACGAGAGGGGAUGAGUGAUCUACGUACCCUUGUAGACCGUACAGCAGAAGCUUUAGAGAACGCGGUUGAUGUAGUGGAACGUCCUCACGUCCCUCGAUCCGCCCCGCGAACAAUCCCGCGAUCAGUCCCACGAUCUAGUACCGAACGGACGGCACCUCCGCGUUCAGCACACGUACAGCUCGACGAUGAUCUCGGCCUUCUUGAUCCAGCAAGAGAGACGGAGAGGUAGAAGAGUUCUCCGGCAGCGUGACGGCGCUCCGGAGGUUGGUGAUGACCUCGUCUCAGCACGGCUCCGCCCGAGCUCCGCAGAAACACGAUCUAGAGGAAAAACCGUGGAGGUAUGUGGUCGGGCUGCCGUGGAAAAAUCGUCUCAAAUCAGCCCUACAACCUCCGUAUAUAUAGGUGGGAGGGAGGGGACCUUGCCUUGGGGCUCAAGGAGCCCCAAGGGGGUCGGCCGAGUCCAAGGGGGAGGACUCUCCCCCCCAAACCGAGUUGGACUAGGUUUGGUGGGAGGGAGUCCCCCUUCCUUCCCAUCUCCUCUUUUUUUUUCUUUCUCUCUUGAUUUUCUUCUCCUUGGCGCAUAGGGCACUUGUGGGUUGUCUCACCAGCCCACUAAGGGCUGGUGUGUCUCCCCCAAGUCCUAUGGGCUUCCCCGGGGUGGGUUGCCCCCCCCGGUGAACUCCCGGAACCCAUUCGUCAUUCCCGGUAACUCCGAAAACCUUCCGGUAAUCAAAUGAGGUCAUCCUAUAUAUCAAUCUUCGUUUCCGGACCAUUCCGGAAACCCUCGUAACGUCCGUGAUCUCAUCCGGGACUCCGAACAACAUUCGGUAACCAACCAUAUAACUCAAAUACGCAUAAAACAACGUCGAACCUUAAGUGUGCAGACCCUGCGGGUUCGAGAACUAUGUAGACAUGACCCGAGAGACUCCUCGGUCAAUAUCCAAUAGCGGGACUUGGAUGCCCAUAUUGGAUCCUACAUAUUCUACGAAGAUCUUAUCGUUUGAACCUCAGUGUCAAGGAUUCAUAUAAUCCCGUAUGUCAUUCCCUUUGUCCUUCGGUAUGUUACUUGCCCGAGAUUCGAUCGUCAGUAUCCGCAUACCUAUUUCAAUCUCGUUUAGCGGCAAGUCUCUUUACUCGUUCCGUAAUACAAGAUCCCGCAACGUACACUAAGUUACAUUGCUUGCAAGGCUUGUGUGUGAUGUUGUAUUACCGAGUGGGCCCCGAGAUACCUCUCCGUCACACGGAGUGACAAAUCCCAGUCUUGAUCCAUACUAACUCAACUAACACCUUCGGAGAUACCUGUAGAGCAUCUUUAUAGUCACCCAGUUACGUUGCGAUGUUUGAUACACACAAAGCAUUCCUCCGGUGUCAGUGAGUUAUAUGAUCUCAUGGUCAUAGGAAUAAAUACUUGACACGCAGAAAACAGUAGCAACAAAAUGACACGAUAAACAUGCUACAUCUAUUAGUUUGGGUCUAGUCCAUCACGUGAUUCUCCUAAUGACGUGAUCCAGUUAUCAAGCAACAACACCUUGUUCAUAAUCAGAAGACACUGACUAUCUUCGAUCAACUGGCUAGCCAACUAGAGGCUUGCUAGGGACGUUGUUUUGUCUAUAUAUCCACACAUGUAAACGAGUCUUCAUUCAAUACAAUUAUAGCAUGGAUAAUAAACGAUUAUAUUGAUACAUGAAUUAUAACAAUAACUAUAUUUAUUAUUGCCUCUAGGGCAUAAUUCCAACAACUGUUGGGGAACGUCGCAUGGGAAACAAAAAUUUUCCUACGCGCACGAAGACCUAUCAUGGUGAUGUCCAUCUACGAGAGGGGAUGAGUGACCUACGUACCCUUGUAGACCGUAUAGCAGAAGCGUUGGAGAACACGGUUGAUGUAGUGGAACGUCCUCACGUCCCUCGAUCCGCCCCGUGAACAAUCUCGCGAUCAGUCCCACGAUCUAGUACCGAACAGACGGCACCUCCGCGUUCAGCACACGUACAGCUCGACGAUGAUCUCGGCCUUCUUGAUCCAGCAAGAGAGACGGAGAGGUAGAAGAGUUCUCCGGCAGCGUGACGGUGCUCCUGCAGGUUGGUGAUGACCUUGUCUUAGCAGGGCUCCGCCCGAAAUCCGCAGAAACGCGAUCUAGAGGAAAACCGUGGAGGUAUGUGGUCGGGCUGCCGUGGAAAAGUCGUCUCAAAUCAGCCCUAAAACCUCCGUAUAUAUAGGUGGGACGGCGGGGACCUUGCCUUGGGGCUCAAGGAGCCCCAAGGGGGUCGGCCGAGUCCAAGGGGGAGGACUCUCCCCCCCCAAACCGAGUUGGACUAGGUUUGGUGGGAGGGAGUCCCCCUUCCUUCCCACCUCCUCCUUUUUUUUCUCUCUCUUGAUUUUCUUCUCCUUGGCGCAUAGGGCACUUGUGGGCUGUCCCACCCGCCCACUAAGGGCUGGUGUGUCUCCCCAAAGGCCUAUGGGCUUCCCCGGGGUGGGUUGCCCCCCGGUGAACUCCCGGAACCCAUUCGUCAUUCCCGAUAACUCCGAAAACCUUCCGGUAAUCAAAUGAGGUCAUCCUAUAUAUCAAUCUUCAUUUCCGGACCAUUCCGGAAACCCCCGUAACGUCCGUGAUCUCAUCCGGGACUCCGAACAACAUUCGGUAACCAACCAUAUAACUCAAAUACGCAUAAAACAAUGUCGAACCUUAAGUGCGCAGACCCUGCGGGUUCGAGAACUAUGUAGACAUGACCCGAGAGACUCCUCGGUCAAUAUCCAAUAGCGGGACCUGGAUGCUCAUAUUGGAUCCUACAUAUUCUACGAAGAUCUUAUCGUUUGAACCUCAGUGUCAAGGAUUCAUAUAAUCCUGUAUGUCAUUCCCUUUGUCCUUCGGUAUGUUACUUGCCCGAGAUUCGAUCGUCAGUAUCCGCAUACCUAUUUCAAUCUCGUUUACCGGCAAGUCUCUUUACUCGUUCCGUAAUACAAGAUCCCGCAACUUACACUAAGUUACAUUGCUUGCAAGGCUUGUGUGUGAUGUUGUAUUACCGAGUGGGCCCCGAGAUACCUCUCCGUCACACGGAGUGACAACGGAGUGACAAAUCCCAGUCUUGAUCCAUACUAACUCAACUAACACCUUCGGAGAUACCUGUAGAGCAUCUUUAUAGUCACCCAGUUACGUUGCGACGUUUGAUACACACAAAGCAUUCCUCCGGUGUCAGUGAGUUAUAUGAUCUCAUGGUCAUAGGAAUAAAUACUUGACACGCAGANNNNNNNNNNNNNNNNNNNNNNNNNNNNNNNNNNNNNNNNNNNNNNNNNNNNNNNNNNNNNNNNNNNNNNNNNNNNNNNNNNNNNNNNNNNNNNNNNNNNUAUAGGGCGAAUUCUUCUUGCUACUUCUCUUGUUUGCGUCGGUUUUUCCCUUGAAGAGGAAAGGGUGAUGUAGCACAGGAGCAGUAAGUAUUUCCCUCAGUUUGAGAAACAAGGUAUCAAUCCAGAAGGAGGGUCUCGUCAAGUCCAGAGUACCUGCGCAAACACAAACAAGCUUGCACCCAACGCUUCAAAGGGGUUGUCAAUCCCUUCAAGAUUGUUUGCAAAGUGAGAUCUGAAGGCCGAAAGUGCAAUGAAGUAAAAAGUGUAAGGCUGAAAAUAUGGUGUGGAGUAGACCCUGGGGGCCAUAGUGUUCACUAGGGGCUUCUCUCAUAAUAGAAAAUAUCACGGUGGGUGAACAAAUUACUGUCGAGCAAUUGAUAGAACCGCGCAAAGUCAUGAUGAUAUCUAAGGCAAUGAUCAUACAUAUAGGCAUCAUGUUCGAGACAAGUAGACCGAUACUUUGUGCAUCUACUACUAUUACUCCACACACCGACCGCUAUCCAGCAUGCAUCUAGUGUACUGAGUUCAUGACGAACAAAAUAACGCCUUAAGCAAGAUGACAUGAUGUAGAGGGAUAAUUUCAAACCAAUGAUGAAAACCCCAUCUUUUUACCCGUGAUGGCAACAACACUAUGCGUGCCUCGCUACCCCUUCUGUCACUGGGUGAGGUCACCGCACGGUAUGAACCCAAAAACAAGCACUUCUCCCAUUGCAAGAAUCAUAGAUCUAGUUGGCCAGACAAAACCCACAACUCGAUGAGAAUUACAAGGAUAUGAAAUCAUGCAUAAGAGAGAUCAGAAGAAACUCAAAUAAAAUUCAUAGAUAAUCUGAUCAUAAAUCCACAAUUCAUCGGAUCUAGACAAACACACCGCAAAAGAAGAUUACAUCGGAUAGAUCUCCAUGAAGAUCAUGGAGAACUUUGUAUUGAAGAUCCAAGAGAGAGAAGAAACCAUCUAGCUACUAACUAUGGACCCAUAGGUCUAUGGUGAACUACUCACGUAUCAUCGGAGAGGUCAUGGUGUUGAUGAAGAAGCCCUCCGUAUCCGAAUCCCCCCUCCGGAAGGGCAGCAGAAUGUGCCCCAAAUGGGAUCUUGCGGAGAGAGAAGCUUGCGGCGGCGGAAAAGUACUUUCGAUGAUCUCAUGAUUUUUUAUGGAAUUUUUGGGAAUAUAUAGGCGUGAAACCAAGGGCAAACAAGCAUCAGGGAGCCCACAAGCCAGGGGGGCACGCCAUGAGGGCUUGUGGGGUCCCUGGUGGGUCCCUACCCUGAUUCUCCGGCUUUCCGAUCUUUUUCUGUUCCGGAAAAAAUCUUUUUGGCAGUUUUAUUCCGUUUGGACUCCGUUCAAAAUCCUCCUCUGAAAGGGGUCAAAAACAUGGAAAAAACAGGAACUCGCACUUGGCACUGAGUUAAUAAGUUAGUCCCAAAAAAUAUAUAAAAGGCAUACAAAACAUCCAAAGUUUGACAAGAUAAUAGCAUGAAACCAUAAAAAAUUAUAGAUAAGUUGGGGUCGUAUCAAGCAUCCCCAAGCUUAACUCCUGCUCGUCCUCGAGUAGGAAGUGAUAAAAAUGAAUUUUUUAUGUGGAAUGCUACCUAGCAUAGUUGUCCUUUGCAACUUCUUUCACGUGACAUGAAUGUUCAGAUCCGUAAGAUUAAAAACAAUAGUUUGCUAUUGACAUGAAUACAAUAAUACUUCAAGCAAACUAGCAAGGUAAUCAUGAACUUUCAAAAUAACAAGGCCAAGGAAAGUUAUCCCUACAAAAUCAUAUAGUCUGGCUAUGCUCCAUCAUCCUCACACAACUAAUGUAAAUCAUGCACAACCCCUGUAUUGGCCAAGUAAUUGUUUUCACACUCUUACUUUCUCAAACUUUUUAUAACUGUCACGCAAUACAUGAGGGUGAGCCAUGGAUAUAGCACUAUAGGUGGAAUAGAGUGUGGUGGUGGUUGUGAGACAAAAAGGAGGAGAUGGUCACAUUGACUCGGUGUAUCAAAUGGCUAUGGAGAUGCCCAUUAAUAGAUAUCAAUGUGAAUGAGUCGGGAUUGCCAUACAAGGGAUGCACUAGAGCUAUAAGUAUGUGAAAGCUCAAAAGGAGAACUAGUGGGUGUGUAUCCAACUUGCUUGCUCACGAAGACCUAGGGCAAUUUUGAGGAAGCCCAUCAUUGGAAUAUACAAGACAAGUUAUAUAAUGAAGAUUCUCACUAGCAUAUGAUAGUUACAAAGCAAAAAUCUCUCAAUCAUGAAGAACAUGGUGCUAUUAUGAAGCACAAGUGUGGAAAAGGAUAGUAGCAUUGUCCCUUCUCUCUUUUUCUCUUUUUUUUAUUUGGGAUCUUAGGCCUCUCAUUUUUUUCUCCUUCUUUUAUUUUUGGGAUCUUUGGCCUCUUUUUUUAUUUCCUCACAUGGGACAAUGCUCUAAUAAUGAUGAUCAUCACACUUUUGUUUACUCAUGGCUCAAAGCUUAGAAAUGACUCUAUAGGAAAUGCCUCCGGAAGUAUAACGGGAUGUGCAACGAUCUAGCUUGGCGUAUGACGUUGAAACAUCUCGCUAGCUAUAUUACGAUCAUGCAAUGGGAAUAUGAUAAUGACGGCACAAGUCAUGAGACAGAAUGGUGGGAGUUGCAUGGCAAUAUAUUUCGGAAUGGCUAUGAAAAUGCCAUAGUAGGUAGGUAUGGUGGUUGUUUUGAGGAAGACAUAUGGUGGGUUUGUGUACCGGCGAAAGCUGCGCGGCACUAGAGAGGCUAGCAAUGGUGGAAGGUGAAAGUGCAUCUAUACCAUGGACUCGCAUUAGUCAUGAAGAACUCACAUACUUGUUGCAAAAGUUUUUAUUAGUAAUCGAAACAAAGUGCUAAACGCAUACUCCUAGGGGAAGGGUUGGUAGGUGUUAACCAUCGCGCGAUCCCGACCUCAACACAAAGGAUGACAAUCAAUAGAUAAAUUAUGCUCCGACUUCCUAACAUAGCGGUUCACCAUACGUGCAUGCUACGGGAAUCACUAACUUCAACACAAGUAUUUCUAGAUUCACAACGGCCUACUAACAUAACUCUUAAUAUUACCGAAUCCAAGUCUCAAAAUUAAUUGAGAGGAAUCAAUACUUCUAUUUCUACUCAGUGCAUAUGAAGAUGGAGGUUUCUGUAUCCUCUUUGGGUACCUAUCAACUUUGGGACUACUUUCAUAGCAUAAGCCAACUACCAAGUCACGCACCACCGUGCUCUAAAAGAUAUAAAUGAAGCACAUAGAGGAAAAUUAUCUAGCUCAAAAGAUAUAAGUGAAGCACUGAUACAUCCAUUUUGCAUCAUGCUUUCAUGUUGAUAUUUAUUGCUUUAUGGGCUGUUAUAUUACUUUGUGGUACCAUAUUUAUGCCUUUUCUCUCUUAUUUUGCAAGGUUUAUUUGAACAGGGAGAAUUCAGGCAGAUGGAAUUAUGGACUUGAAAAGGAGCAAAUCUUAGUCCACUAUUCUGCACAUCUCCAAAUGCCCUGAAAAGUUACGUGGAAUUUUUUGGGAUUAUAUAAAAAAUACUGGGCGAAAGAAGUGCCGGAGGGGGGCCACCAGGGCGCCACAAGCCCUGCCACCGCCACCCCUUGGUGGCGGAGGGCAAGCUUGUGGGCUCCCUAACGGCACACUAGCUCCCCUCUUUUGCUAUGUGAAGGGUUUCGUUCCAGAAAAAAAUCAAUCGGGAGCUUUUUCGUGGUUUCGCCGCCGCCACGAGGCAGAACUUGAGGAGAUCCAAUCUAGAGCUCCGACAGGACGAUCCUGUCGGGGAAACUUCUCUCCCGGAGAGGGAAAUCGUCGCCAUCGGCAUCACCAACCCGCCUCUCGUCGGAGGGGAGGCAUCUUCAUCAACAUCUUCAUCAGCACCAUCUCCUCUCCAAUCCCUAGUUCAUGUCUUGUAACCAAUCCUCGUCUCGCGACUUUGAUUGGUACUUGUAAGGUUACUAGUAGUGUUGAUUACUCUUUGUAGUUGAUGCUAGUUGGAUUACUUGGUGGAAGAGUUUAUGUUCAGAUCCUUGAUGCUAUUCAUUACACCUCUGAUCAUGAUUAUGAUUAUGCUUUGUGAGUAGUAACUUUUGUUCCUGAGGACAUGGGAUAAGUCAUGCUGAUAAUAGUCAUGUGAAUUUGAUAUUCGUUCGGUAUCUUGAUAUGUUGUAUGUUGUCUUUUUUCUCUAGUGGUGUUAUGUGAAUGUCGACUACAUAACACUUCACCAUAUUUGGGCCUAGAGGAAGGCAUUGGGGAGUAGUAAGUAGACGAUGGGUUGCUGGAGUGACAGAAGCUUAAACCCCAGUCUAUGCGUUGCUUCGUGAGGGGCUGAUUUGGAUCCACUAGUUUAAUGCUAUGGUUAGACGUUGUCUUAAUUCUUCUUUUGUAGUUGUGGAUGCUUGCGAGAGAGGUUAAUCAUAAGUGGGAUGAUUGUCCAAGUAAGGGCAGUACCCAAGCGCCGGUCCAUCCACAUAUCAAACUAUCAAAGUAACGAACAUGAAUCAUAUGAACAUGAUGAAACUAGCAUGACAGAAAUUCCCGUGUGUCCUCGGGAGCGUUUUUCCUCCUAUAAGACUUUGUUCAGGCUUGUCCCUUGCUACAAAAGGGAUUGGGCCACUUGCUGCACCGUUGCUACUACUUGUUACUUGUUACGUUUCACCUGCUACACCAUCACUUGUUACCGCUACUUUUAGUGCUUGCAGUUAUUACCUUGCUGAAAUCCGUUUAACAGAGCCUUCUGCUCCUCGUUGGGUUCGACACUCUUACUUAUCGAAAGGACUACGAUUGAUCCCCUAUACUUGUGGAUCCGCAAGCUUAGGCUUUUUCGUGUCCUUGAAUUUGGCUUGGGAUGCCUUGGGCAUCCCCAAGCUUGAUCUCUUUCCACUCCUUAUCUCUUUGUCCAUGAGAACAUCACCCAAAACUUGAAAACUUCACAACACAAAACUUAAACAGAAACUUGUGAUAACAUUAGCACAAGAAAACAAACUACCACCUCUUUUGGUACUGUAGCAAACUUGAAUUCUAUCUAUAUUGGUGUUGGGCUACUGUAUACUCACUUUUCCAUGGCUAAUACCCCCCGAUACUAACCAUAGUUUCAUCAAAACAAGCGACCAACUCAACAAAAACAGAAUCUGUCAAAAACAGACCAGUCUGUAGCAAUCUGUAUACUUCGUAUACUUAUGGUACCUCAAAAAUUCUGAAACUUUACGACUAACUGUGAAAAAGGCAUAUGAACCAGCAUAAAAAAGAAUCACCUCAAAAGCUCUUUCUGAAUAAAAAUGAAGAAACAUCUCAUGAGCGAACAUUUUCUGUCUUUUUCCAGCAGGAUGAAACAACCAUUACCAAGACUAUCAUAAAGGUUUUGCUUCGCUCAAACACAAAAAACACAACGACAACAGAAUUGUGAAAGUGUGGAUGCAACAAAACAUAAAGAAAAAGAUAAAUUCAUUGGGUUUCCUCCCAACAUGCGCUAUUGUUUAACGCCCUUAGUUAGGCAUAAAAGCGAUAGAAUCACGUAUCGUCGUCUUUGGUGCUCAAACCAUAAGUGGCCCUCAUCAUGGAUUCAUAAGGCAAUCUUAUUUUUUUCUAGGAAAGUGUUCCAUGCCCUUCCUUAAAGUAAAUUGAAAUCUAAUGUUCCCUUCCUUCAUAUCGAUGAUAGCACCAAUAGUCCUUAGGAAAGGUCUACCAAGAAUAAUAGGGCAUGUAGGAUUGCAAUCAAUGUCAAGCACAAUGAAAUCCAUGGGUACAUAGUUCCUAUUUUCAAUAAUAAGAGCAUCAUUGAUCCUUCCCAUGGGAUUCUUGACAGUAGAAUCCGCAAGAUGCAAAUUAAGAGAACACUCUUCAAUCUCAUUAAAACCCAAAACAUCACAUAAAGACUUUGGAAUCGCGGAAACACUAGCACCCAAAUCACACAAAGCAUUGCAUUCAUAGUUUUUGAUUUUGAUUUUGAUAGUAGGUUCCCACUCGUCAUGAAGCUUUAUAGGGAUAGAGACUUCCAAUUCAAGUUUCUCUUCAAGAGAUUUUAUCAUGGCUUCGACGAUAUGAUCGGUAAAGGCCUUGUUUUGGAUAUAAGCGUGUGGAGAGUUUAACAUGGAUUGCAUCAAGGAAAUGCAUUCAAUCAAGGAGCAAAUAUCAUAAUUGAAUUCCUUGAAAUCCAUGGUAGUAAUUUCAUUACUACUCCAAGUUUUAAUAUCUUCUACUCCACUUUCAAUGCUUUUAGCAUCAAGAUAGAUGGACUCCGAAUCAUUGGGGCACUUUUCAACCAAACUGGAUUCAUAUCCAGUCCCAUAAUCAUUAGGUUUUUCACAAGAAAACAAAGAUUCAAGGGGAGUCACACCAAGCACUUUAAGAUCUUCGUGACUCUUAUCACGAGAACACGCCUUUUUAAGCCAUUCAUGUCUAGCAUGAAUUUGGGCGGUUCUUUCUUUGCUCUCAAUCAUGGAAACAUGCAUAGCUUUCAAAGUGUCAUCCAUAAUGAUCUUGGGAGGAGCACAUCUAACUUUCAAAGCAUCAAUAUCACUAGACAUUCUAUCCACGCUCUUAGCCAAAUCGUCAAUUUUGAGUAGUUUUUCCUCUAUGGACGCAUUGAAUUUUUUUUGUGAGUUGAUAAACUCUUUGAUAUUACUCUCUAGAUCAGAGGGUAAUCUAUUGUAAUUUCCAUGAGUAUUGUUGUAGGAGUUGCCAAAUUUGUUAGAGGAGUUACUAGGAAAAGGCCUUGGAACAUAGUUUCCUCUAAAAGCAUUAUUGUUGCCAAAAUUAUUCCUACCAACAAAAUUAACAUCCAAGCUAGCGUUGCUACUCUCAAUCAAACAAGACAAAGGCAUAUCAUUGGUAUCUAAAGGAGCACUUCUACAAGCAACCAAAUUCAUUAACUCAUCCAACUUAGCACUCAACGAGUUAAUUUCUUCUAUAGCGUGUACCUUCUUACUAGUAGGUGACUCAUACGUCCAUUUUGCAUCAUGUUUUCAUGUUGAUAUUUAUCUCUUUAUGGAUUGUUAUUAUACUUUGUGGAACCAUACUUAUGCCUUUUCUCUCUUAUUUUGCAAGGUUUAUUUGAAGAGGGAGAAUACCGGCAGCUGGAAUUCUGGACUGGAAAAGGAGCAAGUCUGAGUCCUUUAUUCUGCGCAACUCCAAAUGCCCUAAAAAUCAACGUGGAUUUUUUUGGGAAUAUAUAAAAAAUACUGGGCGAAAGAAGUGUCAGAGGGGAGCAUCUAGGGGGCCACAAGCCUGGUUGCCGUGGCCUACCCCCCUGGCCGCCGCAACAGGGCUUGUAGGCACCCUGGUAGCCCACUGGCCCCCCUCUUUUGCUAUAUGAAGGGUUUCGUCCGAGAAAAAAUCAAGGCGGAGCUUUUUCGUGGAUUCGCCGCCGUCACGAGGCGGAACUUGACCAGAUCCAAUCUAGGGCUCCGGCAGGACGAUCCUGCCGGGGAAACUUCCCUCCCGGAGGGGGAAAUCAUCGCCAUCGUCAUCACCAACACUCCUCUCGUCGGAGGGGGGUCAUCUCCAUAAACAUCUUCAUCAGCACCAUCUCCUCUCCAAUCCCUAGUUCAUCUCUUGUAACCAAUCUCCUGUUGGGGAACGGCGCAUGGGAAACAAAAAAAUUUCCUACGCGCACGAAGACCUAUCAUGGUGAUGUCCAUCUACGAGAGGGGAUGAGUGAUCUACGUACCCUUGUAGACCGUAUAGCAGAAGCGUUAGAGAACGCAGUUGAUGUAGUGGAACGUCCUCACGUCCCUCGAUCUGCCCCCCGAACAAUCCCGCGAUCAGUCCCAUGAUCUAGUACCGAACGGACGACACCUCCGCGUUCAGCACACGUACAGCUCGACGAUGAUCUCGGCCUUCUUGAUCCAGCAAGAGAGACGGAGAGGUAGAAGAGUUCUCCGGCAGCGUGACGGCGCUCCGGAGGUUGGUGAUGACCUUGUCUCAGCAGGGCUCCGCCCGAGCUCCGCAGAAACGCGAUCUAGAGGAAAAACCGUGGAGGUAUGUGGUCGGGCUGCCGUGGAGAAGUCGUCUCAAAUCAGCCCUAAAACCUCCGUAUAUAUAGGUGGGAGGGAGGGGACCUUGCCUUGGGGCUCAAGGAUCCCCAAGGGGGUUGGCCGAGUCCAAGGGGGGAGGACUCCCCCCAAACCGAGUUGGACUUGGUUUGGUGGGAGGGAGUCCCCCUUCCUUCCCACCUCCUCCCUUUUUUUUCUUUCCUCUUGACUUUCUUCUCCUUGGCGCAUAGAGCCCUUUUGGGCUGUCCCACCAGCCCACUAAGGGCUGGUGUGCCACCCUCAAGGCCUAUGGGCUUCCCCGGGGUGGGUUGCCCCCCCGGUGAACUCCCGGAACCCAUUCGUCAUUCCCGGUACAUUCCCGGUAACUCCGAAAACCUUCCGGUAAUCAAAUGAGGUCAUCCUAUAUAUCAAUCUUCGUUUCCGGACUAUUCCGGAAACCCUCGUGACGUCCGUGAUCUCAUCCGGGACUCCGAACAACAUUCGGUAACCAACCAUAUAACUCAAAUACGCAUAAAACAACGUCGAACCUUAAGUGUGCAGACCCUGCGGGUUCGAGAACUAUGUAGACAUGACCCGAGAGACUCCUCGGUCAAUAUCCAAUAGCGGGACCUGGAUGCCCAUAUUGGAUCCUACAUAUUCUACGAAGAUCUUAUCGUUUGAACCUCAGUGCCAAGGAUUCAUAUAAUCCCGUAUGUCAUUCCCUUUGUCCUUCGGUAUGUUACUUGCCCGAGAUUCGAUCGUCAGUAUCCGCAUACCUAUUUCAAUCUCGUUUACCGGCAAGUCUCUUUACUCGUUCCGUAAUACAAGAUCCCGUAACUUACACUAAGUCACAUUGCUUGCAAGGCUUGUGUGUGAUGUUGUAUUACCGAGUGGGCCCCGAGAUACCUCUCCGUCACACGGAGUGACAAAUCCCAGUCUUGAUCCAUACUAACUCAACUAACACCUUCGGAGAUACCUGUAGAGCAUCUUUAUAGUCACCCAGUUACGUUGCGACGUUUGAUACACACAAAGCAUUCCUCCGGUGUCAGUGAGUUAUAUGAUCUCAUGGUCAUAGGAAUAAAUACUUGACACGCAGAAAACAGUAGCAACAAAAUGACACGAUCAACAUGCUACGUCUAUUAGUUUGGGUCUAGUCCAUCACGUGAUUCUCCUAAUGACGUGAUCCCGUUAUCAAGUGACAACACUUGCCUAUGGCCAGGAAACCUUGACCAUCUUUGAUCAACGAGCUAGUCAACUAGAGGCUUACUAGGGACAGUGUUUUGUCUAUGUAUCCACACAAGUAUUGUGUUUCCAAUCAAUACAAUUAUAGCAUGGAUAAUAAAUGAUUAUCAUGAACUAAGAAAUAUAAUAAUAACUAAUUUAUUAUUGCCUCUAGGGCAUAUUUCCAACAGUCUCCCACUUGCACUAGAGUCAAUAAUCUAGUUCACAUCACCAUGUGAUUCCAACGAAUCCAACACCCAUAUAGUUAUGGGGUCUGAUCACGUCUUGCUCGUGAGAGAGGUUUUAGUCAACGGUUCUGAAACUUUCAGAUCCGUGCGUUCUUUACUAAUAUUUAUGUCAUCUUAUAGAUGCUGCUACUACGUGCUAUUCGGAAAUGCUCCAAAUAUCUACUCUACUAUACGAAUCCGUUUCACUACUCAUAGUUAUUCGGAUUAGUGUCAAAGCUUGCAUCGACGUAACCCUUUACGACGAACUCUUUAACCACCUCCAUAAUCGAGAAAAAUUCCUUAGUCUAUUUAGUUACUAAGGAUAACCUUGACCGCUGAUCAGUGAUUCAAUCCUGGAUCACUCUGUGUACCUCUUAAUAGACUUGCUGUAAGGCACACAUCAGGUGCGGUACUCAGCAUGGCAUACUUUAGAUUCUACGGCUAAGGCAUAGAAGACGACCUUCGUCUAUUCUCUUUAUUCUGCCGUGGUCGGGUUUUGAGUCUUACUCAAAUUCACACCUUACAACGCAACCAAGAACUCCUUCUUUACUGAUCUAUUUUGAACUCCUUCGAAAACUUGUCAAGGCAUGCAUCUUGUUGAAACUUCUAUUAAGCGCUUUCGAUCUAUCUCCAUAGAUCUUUGAUGCUCAACGUUCAAGUAGCGCAAUCUAGGUAUUUCUUUGAAAAACUCCUUUCAAACAACCUUGUAUGCUUUACAGAAAUUCUACAUUACUUCUGAUCCACAAUAUGUCAACCACAUAUACUUAUCAGAAAUUCUAUAGUGCUCCCACUCACUUCUUUGGAAAUACAAGUUUCUCAUAAACCUUGUACAAACCCAAAAUCUUUGAUCAUCUCAUCAAAGUAUAUAUAUUCCAACUCCGAGAUGCUUGCACCAGUCCAUUGAAGGAUCGCUGGAGCUUGCAUACUUGCUAGUAUCUUUAGGAUCGACAAAACCUCCUGGUUGUAUCACAUACAAUGUUUGCUCAAGGAAACCGUCGAGGAAACAAUGUUUUGACAUCCUACGUGCAAUAUUUCAUAAAUAAUGCAUCAACAACUAACAUAAUUCUAACAGACCUUUAGCAUCGCUACGAGUGAGAAAGUCUCAUCAUAGUCAACUGUUUGAUCUUGUCGAAAACAUCUUUGCGACAAGUCGAGCUUUUCUUAAUAGUGACUUAUCACCAUCACAUCUAUUUUCCUUUAAAGAUCCAUCUUUACUCAAUAGUCCUAUGACCAUCAAGUAAUUCUUCCAAAGUCUACACUUUGUUUUCAUCCAUGGAUCCUCUCUCGGAUUUCAUGGCUUCAAGCCAUUUGUCGGAAUCUGGGCCCACCAUCGCUUUCUCCAUAACUCGUAGGUUCACUGUUGCUCAACAACAUGACCUCCAAGACAGGGUUACCGUACUACUCUGCAGCAGUACGCGACCUUGUCGACCUACGAGGUUUGUAGUAACUUGAUUCGAAGCUCAAUGAUCACCAUCAUCAGCUUCCACUUCAAUUGGUGUAGGCGCCACAGGAACAACUUCCUGCGCCCUGCUACACAUUGGUUGAAGUGAUGGUUCAAUAACCUCAUCAAGUUCUACUACCCUCCCACUCAAUUCUUUCGAGAGAAACCUUUCCUCGAGAAAGGAUCCGUUUCUAGAAACAAACACUUUGCUUUCGGAUCUGAGAUAGGAGAUGUACCCAACUGUUUUGGAUACCCUAUGAAGAAGCAUUUAUCCGCUUUGGGUUCGAGCUUAUCAGACUGAAACUUUUUCACAUAAGUGUCGAAACCCCAAACUUUCAAGAAACGACAGUAUAGAUUUCUCUAAACCUCAGUCUAUACUGUGUCAUCUCAACGGAAAUACGCGGUGCCCUAUUUAAAGUGAGUGCGCUUGUCUCUAAUGCAUAACCCAUAAAUGAUAGUGGUAAUUCGAUAAGAGACAUCAUAGUAUGUACCAUACCAAAUAGUGCGUGGCUAUGACGUUCAGACACAUCAUCACACUAUGAUGUUCCAGGUGGCAUGAACUGCGAAACAAUUUCCACAUUGUCUUAACUGCGUACCAAAACUCGUAACUCAGAUAUUCAUUUCUAUGAUCAUAUCCUAGACAGUUUAUCCACUUGUUACGACGAACUUCACUCUGAAACGGAUUUGAACUUUUCAACAUUUCAGACUUGUGAUUCAUUAAGUAAAUACUCCUGUAUCUACUCAAAUCGUCAGUGAAGUAAGAACAUAAUGAUAUCCACUACGUGCCUCAGCACCCAUUGGACUGCAUACAUCAAAAUGUAUCACUUCCAACAAGUUACUAUCUUAUUUCAUCUCAAUGAAAACAAGGCCUUGCUCAUGUGGUAUGAUUUGCAUGUCACUAGUGAUUCGAGAUCAGGUGAGUACAAAGAUCCAUCAGCAUGGAGCCUAUUCAUGCAAUUUAUACUAACAUGACUCAAGCGGCAGUGCCACAAGUAAGUGGUACUAUCAUCAUUAACUCGUAUCUUUUGGCACCAAUAUCAUGAACAUGUGUAACACUACGAUCGAGAUUCAAAAAACCAUUGAAGGUGAAUAUUCAAGAAAAUAGAGUAACCAUUAUUCUCCUUAAAUGAAUAAUCGUAUUGCAAUAAACACGAUCCAAUCAUGUUCAUGCUUAACGCAAGCACCAAAUAACAAUUAUUUAGGUUUAACACCAAUCCCGAUGGUAGAGGGAGCGUGCGACGUUUUGAUCAUAUCAACCUUGGAAACACUUCCAACACGUAUCGUCACCUCGGCUUUAGCUAGUCUCCGUUUAUGCCGUAGCUUUCAUUUCGUGUUACUAAUCACUUAGCAACCGAACCGGUAUCCAAUGCCCUCAUGCUACUAGGAGUACUAGUAAAGUACACAUCAACAUCAUGUAUAUCAAAUACACUUCUUUCGACUUUCGCCAGCCUUCUUAUCUACCAAGUAUCUAGAGUUGCUCCGCCUCAGUGACUGUUCCCCUCAUUACAGAAGCACUUAGUCUCGGGUUUGGGUUUAAUCUUGGGUCUCUUCAUUAGUGCAGCAACUGUUUUGACGUUUCACGAAGUAUCCCUUCUAGCCCUUGCCUUUCUUGAAACUUAGUGGUUUUACAAACCAUCAACUAUUGACGCUCCUUCUUGAUUUCUACUUUCGCAGUGUCAAACAUCGCGAAUCGUUCAAGGAUCAUUGUAUCUAUCCUUGAUAUGUUAUAGUUCAUCACGAAGCUAUCACAGCUUGGUGGUAGUCACUCUGGAGAACCAUCACUAUCUCAUCUGGAAGAUUAACUCCCACUUGAUUCAAGUGAUUGUCGUACUCAGACAAUCUGAGCACACGCUCAAUGAUUGAGCUUAUCUCCUUUACUUUGUGGACAAAGAAUCUUGUUGGAGGUCUCGUACCUCUUAACAAGGGCACAAGCAUGAAAUCACAAUUUCAUCUCUUUAGAACAUCACUUAUGUUCCGUGACGUUUUACAACGUUUUCGGCGCCUUGCUUCUAAGCCAUUAAGUAUUUUGCACUGAACUAUCGUGUAGUCAUCAGAAACGUGUAUGUCGGAUGUUCAUAGCAUCCACAGACGACGCUCUAGGUGCAGCACACCGAGUGGUGCAUUAAGGAUAUAAGCCUUCUGCGUAGCAACAAGGACAAUCCUCGGUUUUACAGACUCAGUCUGCAAAGUUUGCUACUAUCAAUUUUCAACUAAAUUUUCUCUAGGAACAUAUAAAAACAGUAGAGCUAUAGCGCAAGCUACAUCGUAAUUCGCAAAGACCAUUAGACUAUGUUCAUGACAAUUAGUUCAAUUAAUCAUAUUACUUAAGAACUCCCACUCAAAAAGUACAUCUCUCUAGUCAUUUGAGUGGUACAUGAUCCAAAUCCACUAUCUCAAGUCCGAUCAUCACGUGAGUCGAGAAUAGUUUCAGUGGUAAGCAUCUCUAUGCUAAUCAUAUCAACUAUACGAUUCAUGCUCGACCUUUCGGUCUCAUGUGUUCCGAGGCCAUGUCUGCACAUGCUAGGCUCGUCAAGCUUAACCCGAGUGUUCCGCGUGCGCAACUGUUUUGCACCCGUUGUAUGUGAACGUUGAGUCUAUCACACCCGAUCAUCACGUGGUGUCUCGAAACGACGAACUGUAGCAACGGUGCACAGUCGGGGAGAACACAAUUUCGUCUUGAAAUUUUAGUGAGAGAUCACCUCAUAAUGCUACCGUCGUUCUAAGCAAAAUAAGGUGCAUAAAAGGAUUAACAUCACAUGCAAUUCAUAAGUGACAUGAUAUGGCCAUCAUCACGUGCUUCUUGAUCUCCAUCACCAAAACACCUGGCACGAUCUUCUUUUCACCGGCGCCACACCAUGAUCAUCCAUCAACGUGUUGCCAUCGGGGUUGUCGUGCUACUCAUGCUAUUACUACUAAAGCUACAUCCUAGCAAAAUAGUAAACGCAUCUGCAAGCACAAACGUUAGUAUAAAGACAACCCUAUGGCUCCUGCCGGUUGCCGUACCAUCGACGUGCAAGUCGAUAUUUCUAUUACAACAUGAUCAUCUCAUACAUCCAAUAUAUCACAUCACAUCGUUGGCCAUAUCACAUCACAAGCAUACCCUGCAAAAACAAGUUAGACGUCCUCUAAUUUUGUUGUUGCAUGUUUUACGUGGUGACCAUGGGUAUCUAGUAGGAUCGCAUCUUACUUACGCAAACACCACAACGGAGAUAUAUGAGUUGCUAUUUAACCUCAUCCAAGGACCUCCUCGGUCAAAUCCGAUUCAACUAAAGUUGGAGAAACCGACACUUGCCAGUCAUCUUUGAGCAAAGGGGGUUACUCGUAACGAUGAAACCAGUCUCUCGUAAGCGUACGAGUAAUGUCGGUCCAAGCCGCUUCAAUCCAACAAUACCGCGGAAUCAAGAAAAGACUAAGGAGGGCAGCAAAACGCACAUCACCGCCCACAAAAACUUUUGUGUUCUACUCGAGAAGACAUCUACGCAUGAACCUAGCUCAUGAUGCCACUGUUGGGGAACGUCGCAUGGGAAACAAAAAUUUUCCUACGCGCACGAAGACCUAUCAUGGUGAUGUCCAUCUACGAGAGGGGAUGAGUGAUCUACGUACCCUUGUAGACCGUACAGCAGAAGCGUUAGAGAACGCGGUUGAUGUAGUGGAACGUCCUCACGUCCCUCGAUCCGCCCCGCGAACAAUCCCGCGAUCAGUCCCACGAUCUAGUACCGAACGGACGGCACCUCCGCGUUCAGCACACGUACAACUCGACGAUGAUCUCGGCCUUCUUGAUCCAGCAAGAGAGACGGAGAGGUAGAAGAGUUCUCCGGCAGCGUGACGGCGCUCCGGAGGUUGGUGAUGACCUUGUCUCAGCAGGGCUCCGCCCGAGCUCCGCAGAAACGCGAUCUAGAGGAAAAACCGUGGAGGUAUGUGGUCGGGCUGCCGUGGAAAAGUCGUCUCAAAUCAGCCCUAACACCUCCGUAUAUAUAGGUGGGAGGGAGGGGACCUUGCCUUGGGGCUCAAGGAGCCCCAAGGGGGUCGGCCGAGUCCAAGGGGGAGGACUCUCCCCCCCCAAACCGAGUUGGACUAGGUUUGGUGGGAGGGAGUCCCCCUUCCUUCCCACCUCCUCCUUUUUUUUUCUCUCUUGAUUUUCUUCUCCUUGGCGCAUAGGGCACUUGUGGGCUGUCCCACCAGCCCACUAAGGGCUUGUGUGUCUCCCCCAAGGCCUAUGGGCUUCCCCGGGGUGGGUUGCCCCCCCGGUGAACUCCCGGAACCCAUUCGUCAUUCCCGGUACAUUCCCGGUAACUCCGAAAACCUUCCGGUAAUCAAAUGAGGUCAUCCUAUAUAUCAAUCUUCGUUUCCGGACCAUUCCGGAAACCCUCGUGACGUCCGUGAUCUCAUCCGGGACUCCGAACAACAUUCGGUAACCAACCAUAUAACUCAAAUACGCAUAAAACAACGUCGAACCUUAAGUGUGCAGACCCUGCGGGUUCGAGAACUAUGUAGACAUGACCCGAGAGACUCCUCGGUCAAUAUCCAAUAGCGGGACCUGGAUGCCCAUAUUGGAUCCUACAUAUUCUACGAAGAUCUUAUCGUUUGAACCUCAGUGUCAAGGAUUCAUAUAAUCCUGUAUGUCAUUCCCUUUGUCCUUCGGUAUGUUACUUGCCCGAGAUUCGAUCGUCAGUAUCCGCAUACCUAUUUCAAUCUCGUUUACCGGCAAGUCUCUUUACUCGUUCCGUAAUACAAGAUCCCGCAACUUACACUAAGUUACAUUGCUUGCAAGGCUUGUGUGUGAUGUUGUAUUACCGAGUGGGCCCCGAGAUACCUCUCCGUCACACGGAGUGACAAAUCCCAGUCUUGAUCCAUACUAACUCAACUAACACCUUCGGAGAUACCUGUAGAGCAUCUUUAUAGUCACCCAGUUACGUUGCGACGUUUGAUACACACAAAGCAUUCCUCCGGUGUCAGUGAGUUAUAUGAUCUCAUGGUCAUAGGAAUAAAUACUUGACACGCAGAAAACAGUAGCAACAAAAUGACACGAUCAACAUGCUACGUCUAUUAGUUUGGGUCUAGUCCAUCACGUGAUUCUCCUAAUGACGUGAUCCAGUUAUCAAGCAACAACACCUUGUUCAUAAUCAGAAGACACUGACUAUCUUCGAUCAACUGGCUAGCCAACUAGAGGCUUGCUAGGGACGGUGUUUUGUCUAUGUAUCCACACAUGUAAAUGAGUCUUCAUUCAAUACAAUUAUAGCAUGGAUAACAAACGAUUAUCUUGAUACAGGAAUUAUAACAAUAACUAUAUUUAUUAUUGCCUCUAGGGCAUAAUUCCAACAGUCUCCCACUUGCACUAGAGUCAAUAAUCCAGCCCUCACAUCACCAUGUGAAUUACAUUGUAAUAAAUCUAACACCCAUACAGUUCUGGUGUUGAUCAUGUUUUGGCCGUGGAAGAGGUUUAGUCAGCGGGUCUGCUACAUUCAGAUCCGUGUGCACUUUGCAUAUAUUUACGUCCUCUCCCUCGACGUAGUCGCGGAUGAGGUUGAAGCGUCGUUUGAUGUGUCUGGUCUUCUUGUGAAACCGUGGUUCCUUUGCUAAGGCAAUGGCACCAGUGUUGUCACAGAACAAGGUUAUUGGAUUCAGUGCGCUUGGCACCACUCCAAGAUCCGUCAUGAACUGCUUCAUCCAGACACCCUCCUUAGCCGCCUCCGAGGCAGCCAUGUACUCCGCUUCACAUGUAGAAUCUGCUACGACGCUUUGCUUGGAACUGCACCAGCUUACCGCACCCCCAUUAAGAAUAAAUACGUAUCCGGUUUGCGACUUAGAGUCGUCCGGAUCUGUGUCAAAGCUUGCAUCGACGUAACCUUUUACGGUGAGCUCUUCGUCACCUCCAUACACGAGAAACAUCUCCUUAGUCCUUUUCAGGUACUUCAGGAUAUUCUUGACCGCUGUCCAGUGAUCCACUCCUGGAUUACUCUGGAACCUACCUGCCAUACUUAUGGCCAGGCUAACAUCCGGUCUAGUGCACAACAUCGCAUACAUGAUAGAACCUAUGGCUGAAGCAUAGGGGACGGAGCGCAUAUGCUCUCUAUCUUCAUCAGUUGCUGGGCACUGAGUCUUACUCAAUAUUGUACCUUGUAAAACUGGCAAGAACCCUUUCUUGGACUGUUCCAUUUUGAACCUCUUCAAAACUUUAUCAAGGUAUGUGCUUUGUGAAAGUCCUAUCAGGCGUUUUGAUCUAUCCCUAUAGAUCUUAAUGCCUAGAAUGUAAGCAGCUUCUCCUAGGUCCUUCAUAGAGAAACUUUCAUUCAAGUAACCUUUUAUGCUCUCCAAAAGCUCUACGUUGUUUCCAAUCAGUAAUAUGUCAUCCACAUAUAAUAUUAGAAACGCCACAGAGCUCCCACUCACUUUCUUGUAAAUACAAGAUUCUCCAACCACUUGUAUAAACCCAAAUGCUUUGAUCACCUCAUCAAAGCGUUUGUUCCAACUCCGAGAUGCUUGCACCAGUCCAUAAAUGGAUCGCUGGAGCUUGCACACCUUGUUAGCAUUCUUAGGAUCGACAAAACCUUCGGGUUGCAUCAUAUACAACUCUUCCUUAAGGAAACCGUUAAGGAACGCCGUUUUGACAUCCAUCUGCCAGAUUUCAUAAUCGAAAAAUGCAGCUAUUGCUAACAUGAUUCUGACGGACUUAAGCAUCGCUACGGGUGAGAAAGUCUCAUCGUAGUCAACUCCUGGAACUUGUGAAAAACCCUUUGCCACAAGUCGAGCUUUAUAAACGGUCACAUUGCCGUCAGCGUCCGUCUUCUUCUUAAAGAUCCAUUUGUUCUGAAUAGCCUUGCGGCCCUCAGGUAGUAUCUCCAAAGUCCACACUUUGUUCUCAUACAUGGAUCCUAUCUCGGACUUCAUGGCUUCUAGCCAUUUGUUGGAAUCUGGGCCCACCAUUGCUUCUUCAUAAUUUGCAGGUUCAUUGUUGUCUAACAACAUGAUUGAUAAGACGGGAUUACCGUACCACUCUGGAGCAGCACGUGAUCUCGUCGACCUGCGUGGUUCAACAGAAACUUGAACUGGAGUUUCAUGAUCAUCAUCAUUAACUUCCUCCUCAACCGGCGUCGCAACGAUAGAGGUUUCCCCUUGCCCUGCGCCACCAUCCAGGGGGAUGAGAGGUUCGACAACCUCGUCAAGUUCUAUCUUCCUCCCACUCAAUUCUCUCGAGAGAAACUCCUUCUCAAGAAAAGCUCCGUUCUUAGCAACAAACACUUUGCCCUCGGAUUUGAGAUAGAAGGUGUGCCCAACUGUCUCUUUUGGGUAACCUAUGAAGACGCACCUUUCCGCUUUGGGUUCCAGCUUUUCAGGCUGAAGCUUUUUGACAUAAGCAUCACAUCCCCAAACUUUAAGAAACGACAACUUUGGCCUUUUGCCAUACCACAGUUCGUAUGGUGUCGUCUCAACGGAUUUUGAUGGUGCCCUAUUUAAAGUGAAUGCAGCUGUUUCUAAUGCAUAACCCCAAAAUGAUAACGGCAAAUCAGUAAGAGACAUCAUAGAUGACACCAUCUCUAACAAAGUACGAUUACGACGUUCGGACACACCAUUACGCUGUGGUGUUCCAGGCGGUGUCAACUGUGAAACAAUUCCACAUUUUCUUAAGUGAUCACCAAACUCGAAACUCAGAUAUUCACCCCCACGAUCAGACCGUAGGAACUUGAUCUUCUUGUUACGAUGAUUUUCCACUUCACUCUGAAAUUGCUUGAACUUUUCAAAUGUUUCAGACUUGUGCUUCAUCAAGUAGAUAUAGCCAUACCUACUCAAAUCGUCAGUGAAGGUGAGAAAAUAACGAUAUCCGCCGUGUGCCUCCACGCUCAUCGGACCACACACAUCGGUAUGUAUGAUUUCCAAUAAGUCACUUGCACGCUCCAUUGUUCCGGAGAACGGAGUCUUAGUCAUCUUGCCCAUGAGGCAUGGUUCGCACGUGUCAAGUGAAUCAAAGUCAAGUGACUCCAAAAGUCCAUCAGCAUGGAGUUUCUUCAUGCGCUUUACACCAAUAUGACCCAAGCGGCAGUGCCACAAAAAUAUGGCGCUAUCAUUGUUAACUCUAACUCUUUUGGUCUCAAUGUUAUGUAUAUGCGUAUCGCUAUCAAGAUUCAAUAUGAACAAUCCUCUCACAUUCGGUGCAUGACCAUAAAAUAUGUUACUCAUAGAAAUAGAACAACCAUUAUUCUCUGACUUAAAAGAGUAACCGUCUCGCAAUAAACAAGAUCCAGAUAUAAUGUUCAUGCUCAACGCAGGCACUAAAUAACAAUGAUUUAAGUUCAUCACUAAUCUUGACGGUAGAUGAAGUGAUACUGUGCCGACGGCGAUUGCAUCAACCUUGGAACCAUUUCCUACGCGCAUCGUCACUUCAUCUUUCGCCAGCCUUCGUCUAUUCCGCAGUUCCUGUUUCGAGUUGCAAAUAUGAGCAACAGAACCGGUAUCGAAUACCCAGGCACUACUACGAGAGCCGGUUAGGUACACAUCAAUAACAUGUAUAUCAAAUAUACCUGAUUUUUCUUUGCCCGCCUUCUUAUCUGCGAGAUACUUGGGGCAAUUGCGCUUCCAGUGACCCAUACCCUUGCAAUAGUAGCACUCCGUUUCAGGCUUAGGUCCAGCUUUGGGUUUCUUCGGCGGAUUGGCAACAUGCUUGCCGCUCUUCUUCGAAUUUCCCUUCUUGGCUUUGCCGUUUCUCUUGAAACUAGUGGUCUUAUUCACCAUCAACACUUGAUGCUCUUUACGGAGUUCAGACUCUGCGACUUUCAACAUCGCAAACAACUCGCCGGGAGACUUGUUCAUCCCUUGCAUGUUGUAGUUCAACACAAAGCCUUUGUAGCUUGGCGGCAGUGAUUGAAGGAUUCUGUCAGUGAUAGCUUCUUGCGGGAGUUCAAUCCCCAGCUCAGCUAGACGGUUUGAGUACCCAGACAUUUUGAGCACAUGUUCACUCACAGACGAGUUUUCCUCCAUCUUGCAAGCAUAGAAUUUAUCGGAGGUCUCAUACCUCUCGAUCCGGGCGUUCUUCUGAAAGAUAAACUCCAACUCCUGGAACAUCUCAAAUGCUCCAUGACGCUCAAAGCGACGUUGAAGUCCCGGUUCUAAGCCAUACAAGACUGCACAUUGAACUAUUGAGUAGUCCUCCUUACGUGCUAACCAAGCGUUCUUAACAUCCUGAUCAGCCGUAGCGGGUGGUUCAUCUCCUAGCGCAGCAUUAAGGACAUAAUCCUUCUUCCCAGCUUGUAAGAUUAGCUUAAGAUUAUGAGCCCAGUCUACAAAGUUGCUUCCAUCAUCUUUCAACUUAGCUUUCUCUAGGAACGUAUUAAAAUUCAGGAUGACUGUCGCGUGAGCCAUGAUCUACAACACAAAUAUAUUCAAAGUGGACUUAGACUAUGUUCAAGAUAAUUAGAGUUUAACUUAAUCAAAUUGUACGCUAAACUCCCACUCAAAAAGUACAUCUCUCUAGUCAUUUGAGUGGUUCAUGAUCCACUUACACUAUCCCAAGUCCGAUCAUCACGUGAGUUGAGUAUAGUUUCAGUGGUAAGCAUCCCUAUGCUAAUCAUAUCAUCUAUAUGAUUCAUGAUCGACCUUUCGGUCUCAUGUGUUCCGAGGCCAUGUCUGCACAUGCUAGGCUCGUCAAGCUUAACCCGAGUGUUCCGCGUGCGCAACUGUUUUGCACCCGUUGUAUGUGAACGUUGAGUCUAUCACACCCGAUCAUCACGUGGUGUCUCGAAACGACGAACUGUAGCAACGGUGCACAGCCGGGGAGAACACAAUUUCGUCUUGAAAUUUUAGUGAGAGAUCACCUCAUAAUGCUACCGUCGUUCUAAGCAAAAUAAGGUGCAUAAAAGGAUUAACAUCACAUGCAAUUCAUAAGUGACAUGAUAUGGCCAUCAUCACGUGCUUCUUGAUCUCCAUCACCAAAGCACCGGCACGAUCUUCUUGUCACCGGCGUCACACCAUGAUCUCCAUCAUCAUGAUCUCCAUCAACGUGUCGCCAUUGGGGUUGUCGUGCUACUCAUGCUAUUACUACUAAAGCUACAUCCUAGCAAAAUAGUAAACGCAUCUGCAAGCACAAACGUUAGUUAUAAAGACAACCCUAUGGCUCCUGCCGGUUGCCGUACCAUCGACGUGCAAGUCAAUAUUAACUAUUACAACAUGAUCAUCUCAUACAUCCAAUAUAUUAGAUCACAUCGUUGGCCUUAUCACAUCACAAGCAUACCCUGCAAAAACAAGUUAGACGUCCUCUAAUUUUGUUGUUGCAAGUUUUACGUGGUGACCAUGGGUAUCUAGUAGGAUCGCAUCUUACUUACGCAAACACCACAACGGAGAUAUAUGAGUUGCUAUUUAACCUCAUCCAAGGACCUCCUCGGUCAAUUCCGAUUCAACUAAAGUUGGAGAAACUGACACCCGCCAGUCAUCUUUGAGCAACUGAGUUACUCGUAGCGAUGAAACCAGUCUCUCGUAAGCGUACGAGUAAUGUCGGUCCGAGCCGCUUCGAUCCAACAAUACCGCGGAAUCAAGAAAAGACUAAGGAGGGCAGCAAAACACACAUCACCGCCCACAAAAACUUUUGUGUUCUACUCGAGAAGACAUCUACGCAUGAACCUAGCUCAUGAUGCCACUGUUGGGGAACGGCGCAUGGGAAACAAAAAUUUUCCUACGCGCACGAAGACCUAUCAUGGUGAUGUCCAUCUACGAGAGGGGAUGAGUGAUCUACGUACCCUUGUAGACUGUACAGGAGAAGCGUUAGAGAACGCGGUUGAUGUAGUGGAACGUCCUCACGUCCCUCGAUCCGCCCCGCAAACAAUCCCGCGAUCAGUCCCACGAUCUAGUACCGAACGGACGGCACCUCCGCGUUCAGCACACGUACAGCUCGACGAUGAUCUCGGCCUUCUUGAUCCAGCAAGAGAGACGGAGAGGUAGAAGAGUUCUCCGGCAGCGUGACGGCGCUCCGGAGGUUGGUGAUGACCUUGUCUCAGCAGGGCUCCGCCCGAGCUCCGCAGAAACGCGAUCUAGAGGAAAAACCGUGGAGGUAUGUGGUCGGGCUGCCGUGGAAAAGUCGUCUCAAAUCAGCCCUAAAACCUCCGUAUAUAUAGGUGGGAGGGAGGGGACCUUGCCUUGGGGCUCAAGGAGCCCCAAGGGGGUUGGCCGAGUCCAAGGGGGGAGGACUCCCCCCCCAAACCGAGUUGGACUUGGUUUGGUGGGAGGGAGUCCCCCUUCCUUCCCACCUCCUCCCUUUUUUUUAUUUCCUCUUGAUUUUCUUCUCCUUGGCGCAUAGAGCCCUUUUGGGCUGUCCCACCAGCCCACUAAGGGCUGGUGUGCCACCCUCAAGGCCUAUGGGCUUCCCCGGGGUGGGUUGCCCCCCCGGUGAACUCCCGGAACCCAUUCGUCAUUCCCGGUACAUUCCCGGUAACUCCGAAAACCUUCCGGUAAUCAAAUGAGGUCAUCCUAUAUAUCAAUCUUCGUUUCCGGACCAUUCCGGAAACCCUCGUGACGUCCGUGAUCUCAUCCGGGACUCCGAACAACAUUCGGUAACCAACCAUAUAACUCAAAUACGCAUAAAACAACGUCGAACCUUAAGUGUGCAGACCCUGCGGGUUCGAGAACUAUGUAGACAUGACCCGAGAGACUCCUCGGUCAAUAUCCAAUAGCGGGACCUGGAUGCCCAUAUUGGAUCCUACAUAUUCUACGAAGAUCUUAUCGUUUGAACCUCAGUGCCAAGGAUUCAUAUAAUCCCGUAUGUCAUUCCCUUUGUCCUUCGGUAUGUUACUUGCCCGAGAUUCGAUCGUCAGUAUCCGCAUACCUAUUUCAAUCUCGUUUACCGGCAAGUCUCUUUACUCGUUCCGUAAUACAAGAUCCCGCAACUUACACUAAGUUACAUUGCUUGCAAGGCUUGUGUGUGAUGUUGUAUUACCGAGUGGGCCCCGAGAUACCUCUCCGUCACACGGAGUGACAAAUCCCAGUCUUGAUCCAUACUAACUCAACUAACACCUUCGGAGAUACCUGUAGAGCAUCUUUAUAGUCACCCAGUUACGUUGCGACGUUUGAUACACACAAAGCAUUCCUCCGGUGUCAGUGAGUUAUAUGAUCUCAUGGUCAUAGGAACAAAUACUUGACACGCAGAAAACAGUAGCAACAAAAUGACACGAUCAACAUGCUACGUCUAUUAGUUUGGGUCUAGUCCAUCACAUGAUUCUCCUAAUGAUGUGAUCCCGUUAUCAAGUGCCCCCCCCCCCCCCCCCCCAGGAAACCUUGACCAUCUUUGAUCAACGAGCUAGUCAACUAGAGGCUUACUAGGGACAGUGUUUUGUCUAUGUAUCCACACAAGUAUUGUGUUUCCAAUCAAUACAAUUAUAGCAUGGAUAAUAAACGAUUAUCAUGAACUAAGAAAUAUAAUAAUAACUAAUUUAUUAUUGCCUCUAGGGCAUAUUUCCAACAUCUCCGUCCCACGACUCCGAUUGGCACGUUUAAGGUUGCUAGUAGUGUUGAUUACUCUUUGUAGUUGAUGCUAGUUGGAUUACUUGGUGGAAGAGUUUAUGUUCAGAUCCUUGAUGCUACUCAUUACACCUCUGAUCAUGAUUAUGAUAAUGCUUUGUGAGUAGUUACUUUUUUUCCUGAGGACAUGGGAUAAGUCAUGCUAAUAAUAGUCAUGUGAAUUUGGUAUUCGUUCGGUAUUUUGAUAUGCUGUAUGUUGUCUUUUCCUCUAGUGGUGUUAUGUGAACGUCGACUACAUAACACUUCACCAUAUUUGGGCCUAGAGGAAGGCAUUGGGGAGUAGUAAGUAGAUGAUGGGUUGCUAGAGUGACAGAAGCUUAAACUCCAGUCUAUGCGUUGCUUCGUAAGGGGCUGAUUUGGAUCCACUACUUUAAUGCUAUGGUUAGACGUUAUCUUAAUUCUUUCGUAUUUGCGGAUGCUUGCAAGAGGGGUUAAUCAUAAGUGGGAUGCUUGUCCAUGUAAGGGCAGUACCCAAGUGCCGGUCCACCCACAUAUCAAACUAUCAAAGUAACGAAUGUGAAUCAUAUGAACAUGAUGAAACUAGCAUGACAGAAAUUCCCGUGUGUCCUCGGGAGCGUUUUUCCUCUUAUAAGACUUUGUUCAGGCUUGUACCUUUCUACAAAAGGGAUUGGGCCACUUCUCUGCACCAUUUCUACUACUUAUUAAUUGUUACUUUUCGCUUGCUACGUUUCAACUCACUACACCAUCACUUGUUACCGCUACUUUCAGUGCUUGUAGUUAUUACCUUGAAAACCGUUUAUGAGAGCCUUCUGCUCCUCGUUUGGUUCGACACUCUUACUUAUCGAAAGGACUAUAAUUGAUCCCCUAUACUUGUGGGUCAUCAAGACUCUUUUCUGGCGUCGUUGCCGGGGAGUGAAGCGCCUUUGGUAAGUAGAAUUUGGUAAGGAAACAUUUAUAUAUUAUUCUGAAAUUUAUUGUCACUUGUCACUAUGGAAACUAUUCCUUUGAGGAGUUUGUUCGGGGUAUCUUCACCACGAACGGAAGGACGAGGAGUUGUUCCUCAACCUGAUGUACCUACUGAAAAUAUCUUUUAUGAAAUUCCUUCGGGUAUGCUUGAGAAACUGCUGGCUAAUCCUUUUACACGAGACGGAUCUUCACAUCCAGACUUGCAUCUAAUCUAUGUAGAUGAAGUUUGUGGUUUAUUUAAGCUUGCAGGUUUGCCCGAGGAUGAGGUAAAUAAGAAAGUCUUUCCUUUAUCUUUGAAGGAUAAGGCGUUGACAUGGUAUAGGCUAUGUGAUGAUACUGGAUCAUGGGACUACAAUCGGUUGAAAUUGGAAUUUCAUCAAAAGUUCUAUCCUAUGCAUUUAGUACAUCGUGAUCGGAAUUAUAUUUAUAACUUUUGGCCUCGUGACAGGGAAAGCAUAGCUCAAGAUUGGGGGAGGCUUAAAUCAAUGCUAUAUUCAUGCCCCAAUCAUGAGCUCUCGAGAGAAAUUAUCACUCAAAACUUUUAUGCUCGACUUUCUCAUGAAGAUCGUACCAUGCUUGACACUUCUUGUACCGGUUCUUUUAUGAAGAAGGAUAUUGACCACAAGUGGAAUUUAUUGGAAAGAAUCAAACCUAACUCUGAAGAUUGGGAGCUUGAAGAAGGUAAGGAGUCAGGUAUGAAUUUCCAGUUUGAUUGCGUUAAAUCUUUUGUUGAAACAAACACUUCUAGAGAUUUUAGCGCUAAGUAUGGACUUGACUCUGAGAUAGUAGCUUCUCUAUGUGAAUCUUUUGUUGCUCAUGUUGAUCUUCCCAAAGAGAAGUGGUUUAAGUAUCAUCCUCCUGUAGAAAUCAACAUAGUUAAACCCAAUCUAGUUGAAGAGAAAGUCAUUGCCUUUAGUGAUCCUAUUGUUCCUUGCGCCUACGCUGAGAAAUCACCUUACCCUGCUAGGAAAAAGGAUUAUUCUAAAGCUCCAACUGUGAUACGUAGGGGUUACAUUAGACAACUUGCACCCCCUGAGGAAAUUAGAAUUGAACCCAGUGUUGCUAUUAUCAAACAUCUCUUAGCCGAAGACAUAGACGGGCAUGUUAUCAAAUUCUGUGAGGACUCCGCUAGAAUUACUAAACCUCACGCAAAAGACAAAUACGGACCUGUAGUUGGCCUGCCCGUUGUGUCUGUCAAGAUAGGAGAUCACUUUUAUCAUGGUUUAUGUGAUAUGGGUUCUAGUGUUAGUGCAAUACCCCGGUCCCUAUAUGAUGAAAUCAAAGAUGAGAUUGCACCUACUGAGUUAGAACCCAUUGAUGUCACUAUUACGCUAGCUAAUAGAGACACUAUCUCCCCUCUGGGAAUUGUGAGAGAUGUAGAAGUCCUGUGUUGUAAGACGAAGUAUCCUACUGAUUUCCUCGUCCUUGCUACUGCACAAGAUAGCUUUGGUCCCAUCAUAUUUGGUAGACCCUUGCUCAACACUGUCAAUGCUCACAUUGAUUGCAUUAAACAGACGGUCACUGUUAGUUUCGAGGGUGUGUCUCAUGAAUUUAACUUCUCCAAGUUUGGAAGACAACCCCAUGAAAAAGAGUCGUCUGGUAGGGAUGAAAUCAUUGCUCUUGCCUCUAUUGCCAUACCUACUACGGAUCCUUUAGAGCAAUAUCUUCUUGAGCAUGAAAAUGAUAUGCAUAUGGAUGAAAGAGAUGAGAUAGAUAAAAUUGUCUUAGAACAAUAUCCUAUUCUCAAGAAUAAUCUGCCUGUUGAACUGCUUGGGGAUUCUCCCCCACCAAAGGGUGAUCCUAUGUUCGAGCUAAAACAGUUACCAGAUACUCUUAAGUAUGCCUAUCUUGAUGAGAAGGAGAUAUAUCCUGUUAUUAUUAGUGCUCACCUCUCGAAUCAUGAAGAGAAGAAGUUAUUAAAAACUUUGAGGAAGCACCAUGCUGCUAUUGGAUAUACUCUUGAUGAUCUUAAGGGUAUUAGUCCCACUCUAUGUCAGCACAAGAUUAAAACCGAUCUUGAUUCUAAGCCAGUUGCUGAUCAUCAACGGAGAUUAAAUCCGAGGAUGAAAGAGGUCAUGAGAAAAGAAAUAUUAAAGCUUCUGGAAGCAGGAAUCAUUUAUCCUGUUGCUCAUAGUGAUUAGGCAAGCCCAGUACGUUGCGUACCUAAGAAGGGAGGUAUCACCGUCGUUCCUAAUGAUAAGAAUGAACUAAUCCCACAGAGGAUUAUUACUGGCUAUAGGAUGGUGAUAGACUUCCGAAAACUGAACAAGGCAACUAGGAAAGAGCAUUAUCCUUUGCCGUUUAUCGACCAAAUGCUAGAAAGGCUAUCUAAACACACACACUUCUGCUUUCUAGACGGUUAUUCAGGUUUCUCGCAAAUACCUGUUGCACAAUCUGAUCAAGAUAAAACCACCUUCACUUGCCCCUUCGGUACCUUUGCUUAUAGACGUAUGCCUUUUGGCCUGUGCAAUGCACCUACCACCUUUCAAAGAUGUAUGAUGGCAAUAUUAUCUGACUUUUGUGAAAAGAUUGUUGAGGUUUUCAUGGAUGAUUUCUCCGUUUAUGGUUCUUCCUUUGACGAUUGCCUCAACAACCUUGAUCGAGUCUUGCAAAGAUGCAAAGAUACCAACCUCGUCUUGAACUGGGAAAAGUGCCACUUCAUGGUUAAUGAAGGCAUCGUCUUAGGACACAAAAUCUCUGAGAAAGGCAUUGAAGUUGAUAAGGCUAAGGUUAAUGCAAUUGAGAAAAUGCCUUGCCCCACAGAUAUCAGAGGUAUACGAAGUUUCCUAGGUCAUGCUGGUUUCUAUAGAAGGUUCAUUAAAGACUUCUCUAAGAUUUCUAGGCCUCUUACCAACCUCUUGCAGAAGGAUGUUUCUUUUGUUUUUGAUGAGGAUUGUGAGGAAGCUUUCGAAAUACUUAAGAAGGCCUUGAUAACCGCACCUAUUGUUCAACCACUUGAUUGGAACUUGCCCUUUCAAAUCAUGUGCGAUGCUAGUGAUUACGAUGUUGGUGCUAUUCUAGGACAAAGAGUUGACAAGAAGUUGAAUGUCAUUAACUAUGCUAGUAAAACUCUAGACAGUGCCCAAAGAAACUAUGCCACUACGGAGAAGGAAUUUUUAGCAGUCGUGUUUGCAUGUGAAAAGUUCAUAUCUUAUAUAGUUGACUCCAAAGUCACUAUUCACUCUGAUCAUGCUGCUAUUAAGUACCUUAUGGAGAAUAAGGACGCUAAGCCUAGGCUAAUCAGAUGGGUUCUUCUGCUACAGGAAUUUGAUUUGCAUGUUGUUGACCGAAAGGGUGCUGAUAAACCUGUAGCAGAUAACUUGUCUAGGCUAGAUAAUGUCCUUGAUGACCCACGACCGAUUGAUGACAUAUUUCCUAAUGAGCAAUUGAAUGUCAUCCGCACUUCACAUAGUGCAUCGUGGUAUGUUGAUUACGCAAACUAUAUCGUAGCCAAAUACAUACCACCCAGUUUCACCUACCAGCAAAAGAAGAAAUUCUUCUUUGAUUUGAGACACUACUUUUGGGAUGAUCCUCACCUUUAUAAGGAAGGAGUAGAUGGUGUUAUUAGACGUUGUGUUCCUUAACAUGAACAGGGACAGAUCCUGCAGAAGUGUCAUUCCGAAGCCUAUGGAGGACACCAUGCUGGAGAUAGAACUGCUCAUAAGGUAUUGCAAUCAGGUUUCUAUUGACCUACUCUCUUGUCUUGUGACGAAUGUCAAAGAAUAGGGAACAUUAGCAAACGUCAGGAAAUGCCUAUGAACUAUUCACUUGUCAUUGAACCAUUUGAUGUCUGGGGCUUUGAUUAUAUGGGACCCUUCCCGAGUUCCAAUGGGUACACUCACAUCUUAGUUGCUGUGGAUUACAUCACUAAGUGGGUAGAAGCUAUCCCCACUAAAAAUGCUGAUCACCACACCUCUAUUAAGAUGCUUAAAGAAGUCAUUUUCCCAAGAUUUGGAGUCCCUAGAUAUCUGAUGACUGAUGGCGGUUCACACUUCAUUCAUGGUGUUUUCCGCAAGAUGCUCGCUAAGUAUGAUGUCAACCAUAGAGUUGCAUCUCCUUAUCAUCCUCAGUCUAGUGGUCAAGUGGAGUUGAGUAACAGGGAGAUCCAAUUGAUCUUACAAAAGAUCGUCAAUAGAUCUCGAAAGAAUUGGUCUAGCAAACUUGACGAUGCACUAUGGGCUUAUACGACUGCUUAUAAGAAUCCCAUGGGCAUGUCGCCGUAUAAAAUGGUUUACGGUAAAGCCUGCCAUUUACCUCUUGAGCUAGAACACAAAGCUUAUUGGGCAAUCAAAGAGCUCAACUUCGAUUUCAAACUUGCCGGCGAGAAACGGCUGUUUGAUAUCAGCUCAUUAGAGGAAUGGAGGGCCCAGGCAUAUGAGAAUGCCAAGUUGUUCAAAGAAAAGGUUAAGAGAUGGCACGAUAAAAGAAUACAAAAACGAGAGUUCAAUGUAGGUGAUUAUGUCCUGCUAUACAAUUCUCGCUUAAGAUUCUUCGCAGGCAAGCUUCUCUCUAAAUGGGAAGGUCCCUAAUUUGUCGAGGAAGUAUAUCGUUCCGGUCCCAUCAAAAUCAAUAACACGGAAGGUAAUUUUCCUAGAGUGGUAAAUGGGCAAAGAAUCAAGCAUUACAUCUCUGGUACUCCCAUAAAUGUUGAGACCAAUAUCAUCAAUAUCAUAACUCCAGAGGAAUACAUAAGGGAUGUUUAUCAGCCUGUUUCAGACCCUGAAAACGAAGAGGUAUCUGUUUCGGUAAGUAAUUGGACUCCGAAACUUUUCCAAUAGGAAAUUUUCUCCGUUUUGGAAUUUAUGGAAAAUUAGAAAAAUAAAAAGCAGUCCGGAGAGUGCACGAGGUGGCCACAAGCUUGGUUGCCACGACCUCCCCCCUGGCCGCGGCAACAGGACUUGUUGGCACCUCGUGUGCCUCCCGGACUCCGUUUUCUUGUGGAGCACUCCUUGUAGUACAGAAAAAAUCAUUAUAUAUAUGCCCGAGGGUUUUGAUCUCCGUAUCGCGCAAUUUUCCUCUGUUUUCGUUUCGAGCAUGUUUCUGUUGCAGAUCUAGAUCGUCAUGACUUCCCCAAAAGUUCCUAAGGAUAAGAUCUUCGAGAAGGUCAUCAAUCCCUACCUCACAGAAGUAUUGCAGCACCCCCAAUCUAUCAAGAUGAGCGAGGGGAUGUUGCACAUCCGUGAUGUUGAGGGGCCUAAGAAGACCGGAAGCGUGGAGACGAGGCUCGAAGCAAUGGAGCAACAAGUCUUCAAGUGCCAAGGGAUGGUGGAGCGUGGACUCAACGCCAACCACAUGAUGAUCACGGAGUUCACCAGCAAUCACAAGAUGGAUGCCAUUGACAUUGGGAAGCACCUCUCCAGGAUCUAUGACAGGGUUGAUCAACUUCAGGGCCAGAUCUAUGACCUGCAGAACCAAAACUGUGAGUAUGAGUAUAGAUUUAAAUCAAUAGGGUUGGCUGCAGAUUUGAGGAUUCCGGCGACUCGUUCAUCCUGUCAUGAUGGAGCUCCUAUGCCUUGGAAGACGGAGGACCAGACUACUUCAACAACACCACCAAAGGAAGACAACUAAGCAUUGGUAUGGGCAAUCCCCUUGGCUUAUGCCAAGCUUGGGGGAGUUGCCGUGGUAUCGUAUCAUCUUUAUAUCUUUUGCUUUUACCUUUGUUUUAGUUCUUUCCUUUUCAGUUUUAUUUCUUCUCUUAGUGGAAUAAGUCUUUAGUGUUUAGUUUGAGUCUUUUGCUUUGUGUCUCCCCCGAUGUAUUCGAGCUUGCGAGCUAUAUAAUAAAGAGUAUCUUAGUCACGGGCUUUGCUUUGUGCCCUGAUCAAAAGUAUGAAAAGAACGAUUGCAUGAAAGAUCAUGAGAUGAUCUUAUGGAAAGUGAUAGCUUCACAUAUAACAAGUAUGAUGAUUGAAACUUGUUGAGAAUAGACUAACAUAGACCUCAGUCAUUGUUGCAAUUAAUAAGAAGUAAUAAGGAAAGAGAGGUUCACAUAUAAAUAUAUCAUCUUAGACACUUUCUAUAAUUGUGAGCACUCACCAAACUAUUACAUUCUUAGAAGUAGAUGUUGGACAAGGAAGACAACAUAAUGAAUUGUGUUUGCUUGGUUCCAAACAAUGUUAUAUGAUUAGUGAUCCCUUAGCAUGUGACGAUUGCUUCCACCUCAUAUUAGCCAAAACUCCCGCACCAAGUAGAGAUACUACUUGUGCAUCCAUAAACCUUCAAACAAGUUUUCCAUGAGUGUCCACCAUACCUACCUAUUGUUUGAAUAAGAUCCCUCAAGUAAGUUGUCACCGUGCAAGCAAUAAAAGAUGCUCUUUAAUAUGUAUGAUCUAUUAGUGUAUGGUAAAUAAACUUUGUACGAACCUGUGAUGAGGAAGACAUAAAAGCGACAGACUGCUUAAUAAAGUUCUUUAUCACAGGAGGUAAUAUAAAGUGACGUUCCUCCGCACUAAGAGGACACGCAUCUAAACCUCAAAAGUGCAUGACAACCUCUACUUCCCUCUGCGAAGGGACUAUCUUGUACCUUUACUUUGUACCUUUGUAAGAGUCAUGGUGAUCUUCACCAAUUCCUUAUUUAGCCUUUUUCUUGGUGAACGUCAUAUGCUUGGGAAAGAUCUAUAUUCAUAUAUCAACUUGGAGCUGAGUACUUAUGCUUUAUUAUUGUUGACUUUACCCUUCAGGUAAAUGGUUGGGAGGCAAAAUUAUAAGCCCCUAUCUUUCUCUCUGUCCAACUGAAACUUUGAUAUCAUGAGUACCACGUGAGUUGUAACAAUUGUGGAAAACAAAAGAGAUGAUUGAGUAUGUGGAUUUGCUUUGCAUGCUCUUAUUUGACUCUUUCUGAUAAUAUGAUAAAUUACAAUUGCUUCAAUGACUAUGGACUGUUGUUGGCUACUUCUCGGUAAGGUUUUUGUUUCAUACUUUGCUUUGUGAAGGAAUUGUUACUUUCCCAUAAGAAUCUCUAUGAUGUAUUGUUGUCCUAUGUGUGACCAUGAUGCCCUCAUGUCCGUAUUAUGUUUUAUCGACAACUUCAUCCCUAAACAUGUGGACAUGUUUUGGGUCUUAGUUUUUGCUUGAGGACAAGAGAGGUCUAAGCUUGGGGGAGUUGAUACGUCCAUUUUGCAUCAUGCUUUCAUGUUGAUAUUUAUCGCUUUAUGGACUGUUAUUAUACUUUGUGGAACCAUACUUAUGCCUUUUCUCUCUUAUUUUGCAAGGUUUAUUUGAAGAGGGAGAAUACCGGUAGCUGGAAUUCUGGACUAGAAAAGGAGCAAGUCUGAGUCCUCUAUUCUGCGCAACUCCAAAUGCCCUGAAAAUCAACGUGGAUUUUUUUGGGAAUAUAUAAAAAAUACUGGGCGAAAGAAGUGUCAAAGGGGAGCAGCCAGGGGUCCACAAGCCUGGUUGCCGCGGCCUGCCCCCUGGCCGCGGCAACAGGGCUUGUGGGCACCCUGGUGGCCCACUGGCCCCCUCUUUUGCUAUAUGAAGGGUUUCGUCCGAGAAAAAAUCAAGGCGGAGCUUUUUCGUGGAUUCGCCGCCGCCACAAGGCGGAACUUGAGCAGAUCCAAUCUAGGGCUCCGGCAGGACGAUCCUGCCGGGGAAACUUCCCUCCCGGAGGGGGAAAUCGUCGCCAUCGUCAUCACCAACAUUCCUCUCAUCGAAGGGGAGUCAUCUCCAUCAACAUCUUCAUCAGCACCAUCUCCUCUCCAAUCCCUAGUUCAUCUCUUGUAACCAAUCUCCGUCUCGCGACUCCGAUUGGCACUUGUAAGGUUGCUAGUAGUGUUGAUUACUCUUUGUAGUUGAUGCUAGUUGGAUUACUUGGUGGAAGAGUUUAUGUUCAGAUCCUUGAUGCUACUCAUUACACCUCUGAUCAUGAUUAUGAUGAUGCUUUGUGAGUAGUUACUUUUAUUCCUGAGGACAUGGGAUAAGUCAUGCUAAUAAUAGUCAUGUGAAUUUGGUAUUCGUUCGGUAUUUUGAUAUGUUGUAUGUUGUCUUUUCCUCUAGUGGUGUUAUGUGAACAUCGACUACAUAACACUUCACCAUAUUUGGGCCUAGAGGAAGGCAUUGGAGAGUAGUAAGUAGAUGAUGGGUUGCUAGAGUGACAGAAGCUUAAACUCCAGUCUAUGCGUUGCUUCGUAAGGGGCUGAUUUGGAUCCACUAGUUUAAUGAUAUGGUUAGACAUUGUCUUAAUUCUUCUUUCGUAGUUGCGAAUUCUUGCGAGAGGGGUUAAUCAUAAGUGGGAUCCUUGUUCAAGUAAGGGCAGUACCCAAGCAUCGGUCCACCCACGUAUCAAACCAUCAAAGUAACGAACGCGAAUCAUAUGAACAUGAUGAAACUAGCAUGACAGAAAUUCCCGUGUGUCCUCGGGAGCGUUUUUCCUCUUAUAAGACUUUGUUCAGGCUUGUCCCUUGCUACAAAAGGGAUUGGGCCACUUUGCUGCACCGUUGCUACUACUUGUUACUUGUUACUUUUCGCUUGCUACGUUUCACCUCACUACACCAUCACUUGUUACCGCUACUUUCAGUGCUUGCAGUUAUUACCUUGCUGAAAGCCGUUUAUCAGAGCCUUCUACUCCUCGUUGGGUUCGACACUCUUACUUAUCGAAAGGACUACGAUUGAUCCCUAUACUUGUGGGUCAUCGGUGACCUUUCAGUGUGCCACUGAGAGUAGUUUGUCAUGAUAUUGUCUAGGAGCUUUGUGGCCUCCCCCAACGUGAUUUCCAUGAAUGUUCCACCUGAGGCAGAGUCCAAGAUAUUUCUAGAAGCGAAAUUCAAGCCAGCGUAAAUGAUUUGAAUAAUCAUCCAAAGACUCAAGCCAUGAGCGGGACAAUUUCUAAUCAUCAAUUUCAUUCUCUCCCAAGAUUGUGCAACAUGUUCAUGAUCAAGUUGCUUGAAAUUCAUGAUAUCAUUACAGAGAGAUAUGAUCUUAGCCGGCGGAAAAUACUUGGAAAUAUAAGCAUCUUGGCACUUAUCCCGAGAAUCGAUACUAUUUUUGGGCAAAGAAGAAAACCAAGUUUUUGCGCGAUCUCGCAACGAGAAAGGAAAAAGCUUCAAUUUAAUCACAUCAUUAUCCACAUCUUUCUUCUUUUGCAUAUCGCAAAGCUCAAUGAAGGUAUUGAGAUGGGAUGCGGCAUCUUUGCUAGGAAGGCGAGAGAAUUGCUCUUUCAUAACAAGAUUCAACAACACGGCAUUGAUUUCGUAUGACUCCGCACUAGUCGCGGGAGCAAUUGGAGUACUAAUAAAAUCAUUAUUAUUAGUAUUUGAGAAGUCACAAAGUUUGGUGUUUUCAUUCAUGGUGACUUCAGCAAGCAAGCAAGCACACAAGCGAACAAAGAGCAAGCGAGAAAAAGGGCAAACGAAAAGGCAAACAUAAAAGGAAAAUUGUGAAGUGGGGGAGAGGAAAACGAGAGGCAAUUGGCAAACAAAGUAAAUGCAAGAGAUGAGUUUGCGACACCUACUUGGAUGAGUUCUUGACUUGAUCUUCCUUGGCAACGGCGCAAGAAAUUCUUCUGCUACGGCAACGAAAGUCCUUCUCCGGCAACGCCGGGAAUUCUUCUUGCUACUUCCCUUGUUUGCGUCGGUUUUUCCCUUGAAGAGGAAAGGGUGAUGCAGCACAGGACCAGUAAGUAUUUCCCUCAGUUUGAGAACCAAGGUGUCAUUCCAGUAGGAGAAUCUCGUCAAGUCUAGAGUACCUGCGCAAACACAAAACAGCUUGCACCCAACGCUAUAAAGGGGUUGUCAAUACCUUCAAGAUUGUUUGCAAAGUGAGAUCUGAAGGCGGAAAGCGCAACGAAGUAAAAAGUGUAAGGCUAAAAAUAUGGUGUGGAGUAGACCCGGGGGCCAUAGUGUUCACUAGAGGCUUCUCUCAAAAUAGCAAGUAUUACUGUGGGUGAACAAAUUACUGUCGAGCAAUUGAUAGAACCGCGCAAAGUCAUGACGAUAUCGAAGGAAAUGAUCAUACAUAUAGGCAUCACGUCCGAGACAAGUAGACCGAUACUUUCUGCUUCUACUACUAUUACUCCACACAUCGACCGCUAUCCAGCAUGCAUCUAGUGUAUUGAGUUCAUGACGAACAGAGUAACGCCUUAAGCAAGAUGACAUGAUGUAGAGGGAUAAUCUCAAACCAAUGAUGAAAACCCCAUCUUUUUACCCUUGAUGGCAACAACACGAUGCGUGCCUCGCUACCCCUUCUGUCACUAGGUGAGGUCACCGCACGGUAUGAACCCAAAACCAAGCACUUCUCCCAUUGCAAGAAUCAUAGAUCUAGUUGGCCAAACAAAACCCACAACUCGAAGAGAAUUACAAAGGAUAUGAAAUCAUGCAUAAGAGAGAUCAGAAGAAACUCAAAUAAGAUUCAUUGAUAAUCCGAUCAUAAAUCCACAAUUCAUCGGAUCUUGAAAAACACACCACAAAAGAAGAUUACGUCGGGUAGAUCUCCAUGAAGAUCAUGGAGAAUUUUGUAUUGAAGAUCGAAGAGAGAGAAGAAGCCAUCUAGCUACUAGCUAUGGACCCGUAGGUCUAUGGUGAACUACUCACGCAUCAUCGGAGAGGUCAUCGUGUUGAUGAAGAAGCCCUCCGUAUUUGAAUCCCCCUCCCGCAGGGCACCAGAACGUGCCCCAGAUGGGAUCUUGCGGAGACAGAAGCUUGCGGCGGCGGAAAAGUACUUUCGAUGAUCUCCUGAUUUUUUAUGGAAUUUUUGGGAAUAUAUAGGCGCAAAACCUAGGGCAAAGGAGCCUCAGGGAGCCCACAAGCCAGGGGGCGCGCCAUGAGGGCUUGUGGGGUCCCUGGUGGCCCCUGCCCUGAUUCUCCGGCUUUCCGAUCUUUUUCUGUUCCGGAAAAAAUCUUUUUGGUAGUUUCAUUCCGUUUGGACUCCGUUCAAAAUCCUCCUCUGAAAGGGGUCAAAAACAUGGAAAAAACAGGAACUGGCCCUUGGCACUGAGUUAAUAAGUUAGUCCCAAAAAUAUAUAAAAGGCAUACAAAACAUCCAAAGUUUGACAAGAUAAUAACAUCAAACCAUCAAAAAUUAUAGAUACGUUGGGGACGUAUCAGUGAUCUCGAUGCAGAAAGAUAAAGCAAAGACUAAAUCAUAGAGCGAUAUACCAUUUGAUCCACAACUUUACCAUUGGUAUCGAGGUUAAGAUUGCAGUUGAGAGGCAUGGGAGUGUUUGCCUUGGUCGGUUUGAGAUCAUCCAUCUUGAACCUCUUGAGCAUGCCUUGGGUAUAUUUUGCUUGAUUGAUGAAGGUUCCUUGACUUUGAAUGUAAGAAAAACUUCAACUAUCACAUUAUAGACAUCUCAAGUUCUUUUGUCAUUAGUGCGGCAAACUCUUCAUUAAAAUCUUUAUUAGGAUAAACAAAGAUAAUAUCAUCAACAUCUAGUUGGCAUAUGAACAAACUCCCUUUCACCUUCUUAGUGCAAAGAGUGGGGUCAACUUUCCCAAUUUCAAACCCACGAUCAUGCAACAUCUUGGUAAGGUGCUCAUACCACGCACGUGGGGCUUGUUUAAGGCCAUAGAGUGCCUUAUCGAGAACAUAUACAUGAUUGGGGAACUUGGAAUCCUUGAACCUCGGGGGUUAUUUGACAUAUACCAACUCUUUAAGAGGACCAUUAGGAAAUGCACUCUUCACAUCCAUUAGAUCUAAUUGAAGUUACGAUGAGAGGCAAAUGCAAGCAACAUGUGAAUAGAUUCAAGGCGAGCAACAGGAGCAAAGGUUUCACCGUAGUUGAUGCCCUCCACUUGGGAGCAGCCUUGUGCUACCAUUCUUGCCUUGUACGAAUUACGACACCAUUUGCAUCUUGCUUGUUCUUAAAGAUACACUUGGCUCCAAUGACAUUGUGGUUCUCCUUCGGUCUUGGCACCAAACGCCACACCUUGUUGUGCUCAAAGUUGUUGAGUUCAUCACGCAUGGCUUCAACCCAGUCCAUGUAUUCGAAUGCUCCGUGUACCUUUAGGGGUUCAAUGCAAGAAACAAACACAUGAUGUGCACUAAAUUUUUUUAAUUGUCUGCGAGUGGUUACCCCUUUCAUAAAGUUGUCGUAGACAUUCUCUAACACAUGUUGAUUCUUUAUAAGCUUGGUGGCACGUCUUUCUUGAAUCUCCUUAGGGGUAAGUUGAGGAGGAACCCUUUUUAGACCUUUACUGCCUUUGUGAGGUUGAUCUUGAUCUUGAGCUUGGUCUUGAUCAUGAGCUUGGUCUUGAUCUUGAGCAUUCUCUUGAUAUUGAGCUUGCUCGGAGGUGUGAGCUUGAUCAAGGACAUUACUUGGUGAAGCACCAUCAUGUGGUUGAUAUUAUCCAUAAUCUUGAUCACAAGGUUGAGGGCCUUCACUUUGUUCUUCGGAAACAUGUCGGUCUUGCAUAGGUGAUGGUUCCACUUGAAUGGAACAUUGUCCUUGUCCUUCGGCCACAAGGAGUUCCUCAACGGGUAGGAAGUGUCCCAUACCCAUUCUUCCUAUGGCUUGGGGAGGAAUUUCAUCACCUACAUCAUAAAGACCACUUUGCUCCACCUAGGAGCCAUUAUUCUCAUCAAACUCCAUGUUACACGUCUCCUUAGUGAGUCCAUUUGACUUGUUGAGGACACGAUAAGCACGAGAGUUUGUAGCAUAACCAACCAACAUGCCCUCUUGAGCUCUAGGUUCAAAAUUAGACAAACAAGCACAUUUCUUAAGAAUGAAUCACUUACAACCGAACACCUGAAAGUACUUGAGAUUGGGCUUGUUACCUAUAAGAAUUUCAUAAGGAGUCUUUUUCAAGCCUUUAUGGAGGUAGAGCCGAUUAGGUGCAAGACAUGCGGUGUUGAUGGCUUUGGCCCAAAAGUUAUACGAAGAUUUAAACUCCGCCAUCAUGGUUCUUGCUGCAUCUAUCAACGUCUGAUUCUUCCUUUUUGCUACACCAUUUUGUUGAGGGGUAUAUGGUGCAGAGUAUUGAUGAUUGAUCCCCUCAUCACUCACAAAUUCAUUUAAGGUGCAAUUCUUGAAUUCGGUGCCAUUGUCACUUCUAAUCAUCAAUAUCUUUGCCUCAUGUUGACGUUGGACUUCAUUGGCAAAGUCGAUGAGGGUUUCUUGCGUCUCACUCUUCCUCUUGAAGAAGUAUACCCAGGUAUAUCUUGAGUAAUCAUCCACUAUCACCAAGCAAUAAUUUAUUACCCAAGACUAACAAAGAUUGAGGACCAAAGAGAUCCAUGUGAAGGAUCUCCAAGGUCCUCUUUGAGUAUAUCGUAGUCAUGGGGCGGUGAGUUGUCUCAUGUAGCUUUCCUUCAAUGCAAGCACUGCAAGCACGAUCUCAGGCAAAACUCACAUUUAUUAGUCCAUGAACGUGAUCCCCUUUGAGGAUACUUUGCAAAGAUCUCAUAUUGACAUGGGCUAGCCGGUGAUGCCAAAGCCAUCCCAGAUCAACUUUAGCCAUUAGGCAAGUCACGGUCUUAGUGGGUCACUGCGAAAAGUUAACCACAUAGAGACUGUUCUAGACAUGACCAACAAAGGCUACUUUAAGAGUCUUGCUCCACAAAAGGGCCAAAGAGUUAACACCACAGAAUGUAGUAAAACCCAUGAGUUCAAGUUGAUGAACGGAAAGUAAAUUGUAUGCAAGGGUCUCAACAAGCAUGACCUUUUCAAUGGUAAGUUCCGGAAAAAUCACCACCAUUCCAAGAGCCAAUACCUUCAAAAUUGCAUCAUCACCAAACGAGACUUGGGUGGCCAUGGAUAGGUCGGGAUGAACAUCCACCACCAAGUCCUUGCUUCCGGUCAUAUGAUUUGUCGCUCCACUAUCAAGCAACCAUGACGUUCCACCGGAAGCAAACUCAUGCAUAAGAUCAAUGCUUGGAUUUAGGCACCCAUUAUUUAAUGGGACCUUUCAGGUUGGUAACAAGGGUAUUAGGAACCCAAAUAGACCAUUCAAUGUACUCAUAAGGGGAACCAACAAAUUUAGCAAAGACAUUUCCAUUACUAGCACGACAUAAAACAUAAGAUGGGUUAAAGUCGCCGGCAUUGUUGGGAAAGAGGGUUUUGCCCUUCUUGGCAUUACCUGUUGGAAAUAGGCCCUAGAGGCAAUAAUAAAAUAGUUAUUAUUAAAUUUCCUUGUUCAAGAUAAUUGUUUAUUAUCCAUGCUACAAUUGUAUUGAAUGGAAACUCAGAUACAUGUGUGGAUACAUAGACAACUCAUUGUCCCUAGUAAGCCUCUAGUGGACUACCUCGUUGAUCAAAGAUGGUCAAGGUUUCCUGGCCAUGGACAAGGGUUGUCACUUGAUAACGGGAUCACAUAAUUAGGAGAAUGAUGUGAUGGAGAAAACCCAAACUAUGAACAUAGCAUGUGAUCGUUUCUAUUUAUUGCUACUGUUUUUCUGCAUGUCAAGUAUAUGUUCCUAUGACCAUCAGAUCAUGUAACUCACUGACACUGAAAGAAUACCUUGUGUGUAUCAAAUGUCGGAAUGUAACUGGGUGACUAUAAAGGUGCUCUAUAGGUAUAUCCGAAGGUGUCCGUUGGGUUAGCAUGGAUCAAGACUAGGAUUUGUCACUCCGUAUGACGGAGAGGUAUCUCGGGGCCCACUUGGUAAUACAACAUCACAACAAGCCUUGCAAUCAAUGUGACUAAAGAGUUAGCCACGGGAUUUUUUAUUGCAGAAUGAGUAAAGAGACUUGCCGGUAAUGAGAUUCAAAUAGGUAUAGAGAUAUCGAUGAUCGAAUCUCGGGCAAGUAACAUACCGAAGGACAAAGGGAAUGUUAUACGGGAUUAACUGAAUCCUUGACAUAGAGGUUCGACCGAUAAAGAUCUUCGUAGAAUAUGUAGUAGCCAAUAUGGACAUCCAAGUCCCGCUAUUGGUUAUUGAUCGGAGAGUGUCUGGGACAUGUCUGCAUAGUUCUCGAACCCGCAGGGUCUGCACACUUAAGGUACAGUGACAUUUUUGUAUAGUUGAAUUAUGUAUAUUGGUGAUCGAAUGUUGUUUGGAGUUCCGGAAUGAUCGGGAGACGAAGAUUGAUAUAUAGGAAAUGUAUGUUUUGAUGCCGGAAGGUUUUAGGGCAUUUUCGGUAAUGUACCGGGGGUGACGAAUAGGUUCCGGGGGUCCACCUGGAGGGGCCACCCACCUGGAGAGGGCCACAUAGACCCAAAAGGGGGCGCACCAGUCCCUAGUGGGCUGGGCAGCCAGCCUCAUGGGCCUAUGCUCCAAAGAGAGGGGAGGUGGGGCAAACCCCUAGGAGGAGGACUCCUCCUCCACCAAACCGAAUUGGAGGAGGACUCGUCCCUCCUUUUGUGCACUGGCUGAACCCUAGGGGUUUUCCCUAGGGUGCCACCCCUCCCUCCCUCCUAUAUAUAGUGGAGGGGAAAGAUUCUAGACACACCACAAGCCACGACGCAGCCCCUCUCCCUCCACUACUUCGUGACACACCGUAGGUCAUACCGGCAGUGCACGGCGAAGCCCUGCCGGACUAGCUCCACCAUAAUCACUGUCACACGGUCGUGCUGUCGGAGAAUUCAUCUACCUCUUCGCCUCUCUUGCCGGAUCAAGAAGGCGGAGAUCAUCAUCAAGCUGCACGUGUGCUGAACAUGGAGGUGUUGUCCGUUCGGCGUUAGAUCGUGAUUGGAUUGCGGGACGGCUUGCGAUUUGGAUCGCGAAGACGUUUGACUACAUCAACCGCGUUUCUUAAUGUUUUCUGCUUAGUGAUCUACAAGGGUAUGUGGAUCCAAUCUCUCCUGUCGUAGAUGGUCAUCACCAUGGAUAGAUCUUAUGUGUGCGUAGGAAAAUUUGGUUUCCCAUGCAAUGUUACCCAAUAGAGGCAUCGUGAGCUAGGUCUAUGCGUAGAUGAAAUCUCGAGUAGAAUACAAAGGAGUUUGUGGGAGUUGGUAUUCAGAUUGCUUCCCUCCUUAGUCCUUUCCUGAUUCGGCGGUAUAGUUGGAUGAAGUAGCCCGGACCAACAUUACUCGUAUGCUAAUGAGAGACCGGUUCCAUCGACUAACAUGCAACUUGUUGCAUAAAGAUGGGUGGCGGGUGUGUGUUUCUCCUACUUUAGUUGGAUCGGAUUUGACCGAGUCGGUCCUUGGAGAAGGUUAAAUAACUUCUUGUAUAUCACCGUUGUGGUUUUGCGUAAGUAAGAUACCCAUAGCAGCCAUGUAAAACAUGCAAUAAUAUAUUGGAGGACGUCUAACUUGUUUUUGUAGGGUAUGUUGUGAUAUGAUAUGGCCAAAGACAUGAUAUGAUAUAUCUGAUGUAUGAGAUGAUCAUGUUGUAAUAGUUAAAUAUCGACUUGCAUGUCGAUGCUAUGGCAACCGGCAGGAGCCAUAGGGUUGUCUUUAAUUAUUUUGCGCCUCGUGAUGCUUUAAUUUAUUGCUAGUUCAGUACCUUUAGUAGUAACAACAUAGUUGGCGUGACAACCUCGGUGGCAGCACAACGAUGGAGAUCAUGGUGUGGCGCCGGUCAGGAUGGAGAUCAUGUCGGUACUUUGGAGAUGGAGAUCAAAAGCGCAAGAUCAUGACCAUAUCAUGUCACUUAUGAUUUGCAUGUGAUGUCAAUCCUUUUACGCACCUUAUUUUGCUUAGGACGACGGUAGCAUUAUAAGGUGAUCCCUCACUAAAAUUUCAAGAUAAAAUUGUGUUCUCUCCGAGUGUGCACCAUUGCGAAAUUUCUUCAUUUCGAGACACCGCGUGAUGAUCGGGUGUGAUAGACUCUACGUUCACAUACAACGGGUACACGACAGUUUUGCACACGCGGAACACUCGGGUUGAACUUGACGAGCCUAGUAUGUACACACAUGGCCUCGGAACACAAGAGACCGAAAGGCCAAACAUGAGUCGUAUAGUAGACAUGAUCAACUUAGAGAUGUUCACCACUGAAGCCAACUCAACUCACGUGAUGACCGGACUUGAGUUGGUGAAUUUGGAUCAUGUGUCACUCAAAUAACUAGAGGGAUGUCAAUUUGAGUGAGAGUUUAUUAGUAAUAUGAUUAACUAAACUCAUUAUCUCGAACAAUAGUCUAAGUAAUCUUUGCAAAUUUAUGUUGUGGAUCAAUGGCUCGUGCAGUAGCACCCUCAAAUUUUAAUGGGUUCUUAGAGAAAGCCAAGUUGAAAGAUGACGGAAGUAACUUUGUAGACUGGGCCUGAAAUCUGAGAAUUGUUCUCACGGUUUCUCAAAAGUAUUAUAUCCUUGAUGCACCGUUAGGUGAUGCACCGUUAGGUGAUGCACCAACCCAAUCGGUGACCCAUGAUGAUAUGAACAUGUGGCAAUCACGUCUGGAUGACUGCUCAGUAGUUAAAUGUGCAAUUUUGUAUGGCUUAGAACCGGGACUUCAAAAAUGUUUUAAAUGUCAUCGAGCAUAUGAGAUGUUCCAAGAGUUGAAGUUUAUCUUUGAGAAUAAUGCCUAGAUCAAGAGGUAUGAAACCUCCGGUAAGUUCUAUGCUUGCAAAAUGGAGGAGAACAGGUAUGUCAAUGAGCACAUACUCAAAAUGUCUCGAUACUCUAACCAUCUGACUGAAUUGGGAAUUGUUCUCUCGCCAGAGGAAAUCACUGAUCGAGUUCUUCAAUCAUUGCCACCUAGCUAUAAAGGCUUUGUGUUGAACUACAACAUUCAAGGGAUGUAUAAAUGAGUCAUCGAGCUGUUUGCGAUGCUGAAAGUCGCUGAGUCAGAAAUCCAGAAAGAACAUCAAGUGUUGAUGGUUAAUAAAACCACUAGUUUCAAGAAAAACGGCAAGGGAAAUAAGGACAACUCCAAUAAGAGUGGCAAAGGAGUUUCCCCUCCCAUGAAGAAACCCAAGGCUGGACCCAAGCCGGAAACUGAGUGCUUUCAUUGCAAGGGGACUAGUCACUCGAAGCGGAACUGCCCCAACAUUACUAGGAAAAACCUUAUACGCAGGACCUCACUAGUAGCACUGGAAAAAAGAAAACGUUGCUGCUAAUUAGCAGUAGCGCUGAUCGAGUUAAGAGCUACUACUAACACCUUAGCAGUAGCGCUGCUUACCAAAAACGCGCUACUAUUAUGUGGGACCAAACGAUGCCACUGACGGUAGAUGUAGUAGCAGCGUUGCCCAAAAUCCAGCGCUACUGCUAAGUGUUUAGCGGUAGCGCUAUGUUUUGCAGCACCGUUGCUGCUAGUGCCCCGCUUAGUAGUAGCGCUUUCUCGUAUGCAGUGCUACUGCUAGUUGCGGCUGGUGCCACCUUUUCACACCCCCCCUCCCCCCGUGGACCGCCUUUUUUAGUUUUGCAGAAAAUAAAAAAAAUGAUAAAAUCUUCAAAAAAUAAAAUCAUUUGAGAUGUAGUUAGGUUUUAGUGCCUAGUUGGUAUACACAUUUUGAAAUAUGAAUUUUGACCAUUUUUCCAAAAAGGCGAAAAAAUGUAAAACGACCAUAACUUUUGCAUACGACGUCAAAGAAAAGUUUAAUAUAUAAAAAAAACUCGAGAAAAUUUUGGACUCGAUUUCACCCGGGCUUGCCCGAUGAACUUUUCUCAGAUGCUCAAAAUUCCAAAUGUAAAAAAACUUAUGGUAAAAAGAAGAUGUUUUUCAGAANNNNNNNNNNNNNNNNNNUAAUAAUAAUAAAUUAUUACUUAUUUUAUUUUCAAUAAAAAAUCAAUAUUAUUAUUAUUUAGUUUGUUUAUUUUAAUAAUUAUUUGGAUUUCAAAUAAUUAAAUCAUGUGACAUCAAGACCUAAGGGUUAAUAGGAUUGAUAGCUUACUAUUGUGAGGAAAACAACAAGUGGAGACUUGGAAACUAGGGGCGAUUGAACGAGGAAGUUAAGCGUGCUCGGGCUGAAGCAGUGAGAGGAUGGGUGACCGACCGGCAAGUAAAACAUAAAAACAAAUCAAAACAUAUUCCAAAAUUUGAACAAGCGCUACUGAUACGCUACUCAUAGUUAUCAGUAGCACUCGACAGGGAAGCGCUACUGCUAACAUUACUUACCAGAUAUACAUGUUAUUGAUGUGUACCUCACCAACUCUCCUUGUAGUGCAUGGGUAUUUGAUACCGGUUCGGUUGCUCACAUUUGCAACUCAAAGCAGGAACUACAGAAUGGAAGAAGGUUGGCGAAGGAUGAAGUGACGAUGUGCGUGGAAAACGGUUCCAAGGUUUAUGCGAUCACCGUCGGCAUGCUCUCACUUCAAUUACCAUCGGGAUUAGUGAUGAACCUGAAUAAUUGUUAUUUAGUUCCUGCGUUAAGCAUGAACAUUAUGUCUGGAUCUUGUUUAUUGAGAGACGAUUACUCAUUUAAAUCACAGAAUAAUUGUUAUUCUAUUUAUAUGAGUAAUAUAUUUUAUAGUCAUGCACCCAAUCUGAGGGGUUUGUUCAUAUUGAAUCUCGAUAGUGAUGACACACAUAUACAUAACAUUGAUGCCAAAAGAUGUAAAGUUGAUAAUGAUAGCACCACUUUCUUGUGGCACUACCGCUUAGGUCACAUUGGUAUAAAACACAUGAAGAAACUCCAUGCUGAUGGACUUUCGAAGUCACUUGAUUUUGAAUCACUUGACACAUGUGAACCAUGCCUCAUGGUAAAGAUGACUAAGACUCCGUUCUCCGAAACAAUGGAGCGAGCAAGUGACUUGUUGGAGAUCAUACAUACUGAUGUGUGCGGAGCAAUGAGCAUAGAGCCGUGCGGUGGUUAUCGUUAUUUUCUCACCUUCAUAGAUGAUUUGAGUAGAUAUGGUUAUAUUUACUUGAUGAAACACAAGCCUGAAAGGUUUGAGAAGUUCAAUCAAUUUCAGAGUGAAGUUGAGAAUCAUCAUAACAAGAAGAUCAAAUUCCCGCGAUCUAAUCGAGGCGGAGAAUAUAUGAGUUAUGAGUUUGGCACUCACUGAAGACAAUGUGGAAUUGUUUCACAGUUGACAUCGCCUGGAACACCACAACGUAAUUGUUGGGGAUAUUACCCGCGGCAUGACCCGCCCUAUUGGGUCGGGUCAGGUGCAUGAUAUGUCUCCGUCGUAUCUAUAGUUUUUGAUUGUUUCAUGCCAAUAUUCUGCAACUUUCAUAUACUUUUGGCAACUUUUUAUACUAUUUUUGGGACUAACAUAUUGAUCCAGUGCCCAGUGCCAGUUCCUGUUUGUUGCAUGUUUUUUGUUUCACGGAAUAUCCAUACCAAACGAAGUCCAAACAUAAUAAAAACUUACGGGGAUUUUGUUUUGGAAUAUUUAUGAUUUUUGGAAAGAAGAAUCAACGCAAGGCGAUGCAAGGAGUGCCCACAAGCCCUGUCGCCGCGGCCAAGGGGUUGACCUGCGGCAGGGGGGCUUGUGGCCACUCCUUAAGGAGGUUGGAGCCCUUCUUACGCCUCAAGAAAGAUAAUAUCCGGAAUAAAAUCGUGUUAAAAUUUUAGCCCAAUCGGAGUUACGGAUCUCUGGGAAUUUAAGAAACGGUGAAACGCAGAAUCUGGGAGUGCAGAAACAGAAGGACACAGAGAGAGAGAUCCAAUCUUGGAGGGGCUCUCGCCCCUCCGCCACCAUGGAGAUCAUGGACCAGAGGGGAAAAUCUUCUCCCAUCUAGGGAGGAGGUCAAGGAAGAAGAAGAAGGAGGGGGGCUCUCUCCCCCUCUCUCCCGGCGGCGCCGGAACGCCGCCCGGGACAUCAUCGUGUGACGACGAUCUACACCAGCACCUCCGUCAGCUUCACCAACAUCUCCAUCAUCUUCCCCCAUCUAUAUUCAGCGGUUCACUCUCCCGCAACCCGCUGUACCCUAUACUUGAACAUGGUGCUUUAUGCUACAUAUUAUUAUCCAAUGAUGUGUUGCUAUCCUAUGUUGUCUGAGUAGAUUAUCGUUGUCCUAUCGGUGAUUGAUGAAUUGCUAUGAUUGGUUUAAUUUGCUUGUGGUUAUGUUGUUGUCCUUUGGUGCCCAUCAUAUGAUCGCGCGCGUGGAUCACACCAUAGGGUUAGUUGUAUGUUGAUAGGACUAUGUAUUGGCAGGCUAGAAUGACAGAAGCUUCAAACCUAGCAUAGAAAUUGAUGCAUAUGGAAUCGAAGGGGGACCAAUAUAUCUUAUUGCUAUGAUUGGGUUUUACCUUAAUGAACGUUAGUAGUUGCGGACGCUUGCUAAUAGUUCCAAUCAUAAGUGCAUAGAAUUCCAAGUAAGGGAUGACAUUCUAGCAGAGGCCUCUCCCACAUGAUACUUGCUAUCGAUCUAGUAAAGUAGUCAAUUGCUUAGGGACAAUUGCGCAACUCCUACCACCACUUUUUCACACUCGUUAGACACUCGUAGUUGUUUCUUUAUCUAACCAGCCCCUAGUUUUAUUUACGUGUUCUUUACUUUCUUGCAAUCCUACCAUAUCACUCCUACAAAGUACUUCUAGUUUCAUACUUGUUCUAGGUAAAGUGAACGUAAAGUGUGCGUAGAGUUGUAUCGGUGGUCGAUAGAACUUAAGGGAAUAUUUGUCCUGUCUUUAGCUCCUCAUUGGGUUCGACACUCUUACUUGUCGAGAAAGGCUACAGUUGAUCCCCUAUACUUGUGGGUUAUCAGUGCACGGCGAUUCAACAUUCAUAAUCAAGAUAGGCCUUGGCCCAGGGUCUGAGAGGCGCAAGGAGAUCUUCAACGGAGAGUCGGUCGGGCCCAUGAACCUAGAUGGCGUUUCAAGACCCACGAAGAAGACGAGUCGCCGUGGGUCGUUUCCUUGCUUGGAAGACACGGCGGUUUAGAGAUAUGGCAGGCCACGAUUUGUAAUGUGGCCUGGACUCUUGUAAAAUCUAGGACCUCGACCUGUAUACAAAGGUGAGUCCCUAAGGUAGAUAGGGUUAAGUUACAAUCCAUCGAGAUCAAGGUCAGGUGAGUUACGUCGUCCUUGUAAUCAAUUCCACCAUCAAUAUAUACACAAAGCAGGACGUAGGCUUUUACCUCCAUCGAAGGGGCCGAACCUGGGUAAACACGAGUCUCGCUUCCGUUCAACCCCUUUGAGUUGCCACCAAGGUGCGAAGGCUCCAUCACUAAGUACUUUUAUGAGGACAUCUGCUGUCGGGGAUAUACCCCGCAGUGUAACCCGACUUGAAGUAUGACCCGCCAAUGACUUGGCGACUCACCGGCGACUCGGCAGUGACCUAGCGGGCAACUCAUACUUGACCCCACAGGCGACUUAGAUAAAUGACGAAGGCCCAAGGCCUGACGUACACCCUGGCAUAAGGCGAGGGCCGGCUCACAAGAGAAGGACCAAGAAGAGGAGAGACUCCCUCACAACGAAAACAAGACCAGGAUUAGGAUUCAAGAGAGACUAGUCCUAUUCCAACUCCUAGUAGGACUCUACAUGUAAACUUACCCCCUUUCCACCUAUAUAAGGAGGGGUAAGACACCCCAAGAGGGACAAAUUAAGUUAGACAGAUUGACAACUUAGGUCUAGACAAGACAAAUCAUGAGAAAGACAGAUUAGACACCCACGAGACUAGAGGUGGCGAGUCUGCACCCUUGUAAUCGAGCUCAUCAUCUUCAUCAAUGAAACACAAGCAGGACGUAGGCUUUUACCUCCAUCGGAGGGGCCGAACCUGGGUAAACUUGCGUCUCUCGAUUCCGACCAACCCCUCUCAAGCCGUCACAUGGUUGCGAUGGCCUCACACCUAAGUCCUUGCACGAGGACAUAUGCCGUGACAAAACCAUAACAUUUGGCACCCACCGUGGGGCCACCACACGGUGGUGUUGUGUUCUUGGAAGGAGAUUCUUUAGGAUCAAGAAAUUCGCGAUGCACCGGAUGAAGGGAAGCUGACAUGGAAAGAUCUAGAUCAUCACCAUGACAAGGAGCUGAGACGGUUUAUAGAAGAUUGAGACAAAAAAUUAUGGAUGCGUCAGUGCACCGCCUACAUGACGCGAUCAACCGAAACCAACACGAGAUUGAUUUCGCUAUUGCUCGGGCCCAUCAAAUCGCUUGAGAAAACUCGGCUACUACUAUUUACUCCUCGUAUGAUCACGCUACACAGUAUUGUUUCGAUGGAUAGUAGUACUACCCGAUCGUCAUCACCACAAAGAUCAGAUCUCGAAGUUGCUCCACAUCACCAAACAAGCAAUUUACAAUUAGCCGAGACACGAGUGCUAUUCCACAUACAACAAUUCAAGUCCCGAGGCAGCAAAGAAACAAGGACUGGACUAGGCAGCGGCGCCGCACGAAAGCCUUGCCGUGCGGCGGCUCCUACAGACUAAGCACGACCUACCACAUGCAAAAUUCCCUUUGAUGUUUGAAAUUUAAAAAGUUUUAUCUACAAAACCGUUAAUUCAAUCGAUGAUCCGUUUUCACCAUUGACUUUCUCGCGACGAGUUCUUCGAAACUAGAUCCCAUGUCGACAUGUUUCUUCAACUAUUUUUUUCAUUCAUACUUGCCACAUUUUUUGAUUCACUUGCCAUAUUAUUAACCACUUACUUGUCUAAAAAAAUAACUUGAUUGUCACUUUUUAAUAUUGUUUUGUACAAAGCCUUGUAGUAGUUUUCAUCAUACAUGAUAUAAAAAGCAUGUAGUAGGUUGUGUUUGUCAAAUUAAAUAUGUCAACUUGUCAUAUUUACAUACAAAUUUGCCAGAAAACUAUUUUGUGUGCUUCUUAGUUUAAUUGUGCCAAGUUGUCAUAUUUACAAACAAUGACCAAAAAAGAUUUCUUGUGGUCAUCGUUUUUAAAUAUGUUGAGUUGUCAUAUUUUUGCGUGUGAUCGACUAAAAAAAGUUGUUUGUGUUUGCCAGUUUGAUUAUGUCGAGAUGUCAUAUUUAUACGGAAUUUUUAAAAAAUAUGACGAUUAAGUUAUUUUUAUCACACAAGUAGGUACUUACUAAUAUGACAAGUAAGUGCAACAAAUGUGGUAAGUACGAGCAAAAAAAAAGUUGUCGAAACAUGUCGACAUGGGAUCUAGUUUUGAAGAUCUCGUCGCGAUAAAAUCAGUGGUGAAAACGGAUCGUUGAUUGAGUCAACGGUUUGAAAGAUAAAUCUUUUUAAAAAUACAACGCAGCUAAGCGAGCUCUUCGGACUUACACGCAUCAGCCGCUGGAUGGGAAAACAAUCGUACGUUGUGUGCAAUUUAGAUUUUUCCAAGAAACAAAGGAGAGAAAGAAAAGAAGGUCAAGUCCUUGUGCAGGUAGGACAUACACUAUCACGCAUCAAGCCAGAAUUGGACAAAAAAAAGAGGGAACCGCCCCUCACUCAAUCUCAACUGCUGCAUCGUGGCCACCCCGCCGGUCUCAGCCGCCGACACCUCACCACAACUCGUCGUCCGCGCUCCAACGCGCUGACUCACCUCCGCCUCCAGCACUGCACCUCCACUCCGAGUCGAACUCGGCGCCCCGCUACAACCGAUCCGCCGUCACGCCUUCCUUUGCCACGAGUUUGAGCUGGAGACGCCUCGCCAGCAAUGAGCCGGCUUACAUCGUCGCUGGCCUCGCCUCCACCACCAUGGCUCGACACUCGAGCCGCCGCGCCGUCUCGUUUCCCGCGGCCAUCUUGCCCUGGUGUUGUGGUCCUCGAGUCGCUGCAAAGUACUCCAGCAACGUUGCUACUAGCCCCCGCUGGCUCUGCCCCGUUCCUUGCCUCACCACAGCUGUCGCUGCUGCCAUGGCCCUGUCGCGCCUCCACCUCCAAAGCACCCAUGCUGCCGUGGCUACCCUCAUGUGCCCGCGCUGCUCAACCUCGCCACCUCGCACCAGCCGACUGCUGUGCGUCACGCUUCUCCUGCCACGCUUCAGCUCGCCGGCACACCGCUCUUCCUCACGCCGCGCAAGCCGGCAUCACAAAAAGUGGCUUUAUACCCGUACAAUCAUCUUUUUUCACUCGCUUAUGUCUCAAUCAAGUAUGGAGACUCUCAAGCCGCCUCCUUGAGUCGACUUAAGACUCGGGGGCUACAUGAACAUGGCUCGACAGGCUCAACUGGGGUGAAUAAUUCAAGAACCCCGGGUUGUUACAGAAAAAUUAAGCCGGUCUCGGGGGUUGAUGCCUCAUAGACGAGAAGAUUUAAACAUCGCUUAAGAAGACAAGUCGUCAUGAUGCGACCGCCCAAACAUGGGUGGCCGACCUUAUUGACGGAUGAUUCACAAGUCGCCAAAGAGAAUGGUGCUACCAGUAUCAAAGAGGGUGAGCCGUCAUAUUACGCUCGCCCGAACAUGGGUGCCGGUAAGACAAAGAGGACCAAACAGUUACCAUGAGCACGGUUCAAACAUAGGCACCCAAUUAUGUUCUUAAGAAUUAAGUCGGCUUACUUGGGGCUACUAGCUUCCCAAAUCGUUUUGGAGUAAGAGCGUAAGCUUCUGCAAUCCUAUGCUCGACUUUUCCCUGAUCAUAGAUCAUUUGAGGGCUUCCGACUCACUGAGUUUAGCCUGAAUACCCUCUUGUCUAGCUAAAAAUUAUCGCAUUACAAUGGUUAUACUGGACUGUUUGUUUGGCGACUCACCCUUCACGCCCCUAGAACUCUUGGCGAGUCAAUCCAAUCUUGGACCCUGAACUCCCAACGUUAAAACGAGUGGAGCUGGUGGGAGUCGGCAUAUGGAAAAUAGACAAACCAUGGGUUCACUGAACCUACUUUACUGAAGCUUGACUCGCGCCUGAUCAAUCGGUCUGAACAACUAAGGUUGUUGCAAAAGCCUCUUUAGGGUAGCACUAGAUCCUUGCAAGCUCGUCCUACUCUAUCGUGACUCAUUGAGCCGGCUGCCGUGACUCACUGAGCCGGUUUAACCUUUUUUGGGUACCAUUAGAGCCUUGAGAGCUCGUCCUACCCGCCAUGACUCACUGAGCCGACUACUAUGACUCACUGAGCCGUCUUAUUUAAAAUAACUUGAUGCCAUACUAUGGUGUUGCCAGCAUUAUUCUAUCAUAUGCAUGCAUCAUAUUGCAUUGCAUCAUGCAUCAUACAUACAUAUCAUGCCGGUCUUCAAACCGGAUCAAAGCAUAAUUUUUUGCAGGAGAAAAUAUAUCUUUAAUAGCCAAUUUGGCUGGAUUUUCAUCAUGGUUUAUCAUAACCAGUGUUAAAUGAUUGGAGUUUUUAAGCCAACUCAGAAGAAUUAACUAUUGUCGAAGAGUCGCCCUAUCACAUAUAAUGUCGGGUCAUCUAAUUGACCGGCUCAUGGAUUUCUUCAACUUGUGCUCUGUAGUAAACUACAACACUUGUGGAUUUCUCAAUCAUAUAUUUGUCAGGUUCCAUUGCAACCACACCAACCGUGUUUCUUAACGCCUCCCGCUUAGCGAUCAUAUAUUUGUUGGGUUACAUUGCAACCAUAUAAUGCGAAGAUGUUCGACUACAUCAACUGUGUUUCUUAACGCCUCCCGCUUAGCGAUCUACAAGGGUAUGUGGAUCCGAUCUCUCCUCUCAUAGAUGGUUAUCACCAUGAAUAGAUGUUAUGUGUGGGUAGGAAAAUUUUGUUUCCCAUGCAACGUUACCCAACAUUAUCACCCUUCUUCUUCUCAUGAGUGCACACCCCAGCUUUAGCAAAGGUUUCCUUAAGAGGGGGGGGUUGCUUGGUCUUGAUCUUUUUGUUCUUCAUUGACUUGGGUGCAAACCCAACUCCUUCCUUUGCAACCACUUACUUUUGAUUGCUCAAAAGGUCAUUGAGACUCUUUUUUCCUUGAAUGCAAGUCACAAGGCCUUUCUCAAGCUACUCCUUUAAUUUUUCAUUCUCCUCCACAACAUGUACAUUCUCACAGCACGGGUUAGUAGCAUGGGCAUUAUCAAUUAAUAUGAAGGGUGAACAUGUGACUAUUUCCUUAGUGAGUUUUACUUGGAGUUGAACAUGAGACUCUUUUAAAGAAGCAUGAUCACUCUUCAAAGCCUUGUGAGCCUUGUCAAGUGUGGCAAGCUCUUCCUUGAGUCUAUCAAGAUCAACCCCACGUGCACCCUUUCUGGAUUGAGGCACAUGAGUGAGAACAAGAGCAUGAUCGUGAUCUUUUUGUAAAUUAGCAAGUUCAUCAUUGUGUGACUCCUCAAGAGCCAAACGAAGCCCUUGCUCUUCCUCAAGAGCAAUGGAAAGAUCCCCCAUCUCAUCGUCAUAGUGAUGACUAUGCCCUUGUAACAUAGAGAUAGUUUAUUCACGAGUUUCAAUAAGGUCACUAGCUUAUCCUAGUUGUUCCAAGAGAGUAACAAAAUGCUUCUUAGUUUUACCAUUGACUUUGAAUCUAUCAAAGGAAUUUUCCUCAUCAUUUACCUCCUCUUUUUCAUCUCCACUAACAAUAGGAGAAGGGAUACUGGAAACGAUAGUUUUUAUGUUGGAGGUUACCUCGUUGGAUGCCUUAGCCAUAAGGCAAUUGGCAAUGUGGUUCUCGUUGGGGGCGUUGAAGAGGGACACCUUGCUCGGGGAAGAGGAUGCAAUGGCCACAGCGGCCAUUCCCGUUACUUCACCACUUGCAUCAUCUUGUCAUCAUCCUCAUCGGAGAGAUACUCUUCUUGAGCCACCAACACCAAUUGGGGCAUCUUAUUGGAGAAGUUCUUCUUGUUGGGGAAGUGCUUGACCUUGUCUUUGCGAAUAAGCUUGCUAGCAUUGUCUUCCCUCUUCUCAUAUGGACAAUAUGCCAUAAAGUGACUCACAUUUCCAUAGUUGUCGCAAGUCCUCACACGUUGCUUUCCUUUCGACCCACUUGCGUUGUUCUUGGAAAAAAUGGGCUUUGAAUUUCUCUUGUUUCCCCAAAACUGCCUUGACGCAAGAGCCAUGUGCUCGCAAUAAGCACACUUGGUGUCUUCAGGGCACAUUUCCUAUUAGUCUUCUUCAUCUUCCUCCACAACAGCCUUGGCCUUCAAAGAAAGGUAGGGGAGUCUUUUCUUGACCAUUGGACAUGAGCUAGAGCAUUGUCAGCAGUAUUUUUUAGUAUCUUCAUGGCAAGAACUCAUCCAACACAUCGCUUGAAGACAAGGAGUGAAAGUCUGGCCUUUGAUGGAUGAAGGAGGACAUGGACUUGUUGAAAGGCAUGAUAGCCUUGAGAAACUUACGCUUGAUCCAAUUAUCAUCUACAUCCUUGCUUCCGCAAUCUUGAAGAGCAACGACAAGCAUUGUCACUCUUCAGUAGAGCUCACGAGGGUCCUCAUCCUCAAUCAUAGCAAAUUCAUCGGCCUCAUCAAGUAUCACUUCAUAGUUAGACCAUUGAAUACUUGAGCUUCCCUUGUACAUGGAAAUGAUGUGCUCCCAACAAUCUAUGGCAUGAGUGAAGGGAAAUGAGAAAGAUCUUCAAUGGGAACAAGAGCUUGAAGGAUGAACAAGGCGGUGUGAUUGAAUUGAUUGUCUACCUCUUCCCUUGGAGUGAGGUUGCUUGGAUCAUGUGGGUAGUAGCCUUGUUCAAUGAUUCUCCAAAGUUGUGUUGAGCUGUGAUUCAAAUGAGCCUUGAUAAGAAAAACCCAAUUAGCAAAAUCAUUCGUAACAAGUUUAGGAGGAGGACCGACGUUAAUAAUAUGCGGUUGGUGAACCGGUCCUCCAUAGACCAUGGUAGGAGGAACCAAGGCAAAAGUAUUUUCCCCACUCGUUCCUUGAAGCAAUUUAUUUCUAUCACUACUAGCAUUUUCCUUUUUGGAGUUUGUCCCUGAAUCCGGAGCUGUGGGAUUAACCACAUGCAACAGAUCGAUAGACAGUUUGAAGCCAUCAAGGAAAUCUUUGAGCAUGUUUUUGACCUCAAUAGCGAGCGGGGAUCUAAACGUAGACAUGGCCUCAUUUAGAUCCUCUCAAGGGACCGAUUUCGCAACUGCUGCCUCGGGCAACUCCACAAACCGAUGCUUGUCGCCAGCAAUACUCUUUGGGUGGUGAAACUCUUAAUAAAGAGACGAGGCUCUGAUACCAAUUGAAAGGAUCGGUAUGGUUGACUAGAGGGGGAGAUAGGAAACUAACAAUUUUAAGCUUUUCUUUAACAAAUUAAGUUUACCAACAAAUAGGUUGUCUAGAUAUGCAAAUAAGUGAGCAACCUACAUGAUUCUAGCAACAAUAAUAACAAGUAAGUAACUAAUACAAGUAAAGGUAAGAAGUAACCACAAGUGGAAUCGAUGAAGACGAAGAUGUGUUUCCAAAGUUCCUUCCCUUUGUGGGGAAGUAUGUCUCCGUUGGAGCAGUGUGGAGGCACAAUGCUCCCCAAGAUGUCACUAAGGUCAUCGUAUUCUCCUCACUCUCUCACACUAUGCGAGGUGUGUGAUUCCAUUAGUGGUUCCCUUGAAGGCGGCAACCGAACCGUUAAAAACAAGGUUGGGGAAAUCUCCACAACUAAAUUGGAGGCUCCCAACAAAACCAUGAAGCUUCACCACAAUGGAAUACGGCUUCGAGGUGACCUCAACCGUCUAGGGUGCUCAAACACCCAAGAGUAACAAGAUCCGCGAGGGAUUGGUGGGUGGAAUCAAAUUACUCUUGCUGGAAGUGUAGAUCAAGGCCCUCUCAAGCAAACCCUAGAGUAUCAAUAAGUUUUGUUGGCUAGGGAGAGAGAUCGGGCAAAAAUGGAGCUUGGAGAAACAAUGGAGCUUAGGGUUGGGAAAGGUGUUCUUCUUGGGGAAGAAGAACCCCAUUAUAUAGUGGGGGAACAAAUCCAACCAUUACCCACUCACUCAGCCCGCAUCAGAGUGGUACUAUCGCUCCAGGGAGCGGUACUAUCGAUGAUAAGAGGUAGUACCGCUCCAGUGAGGAGCAAUAGUACCGCUGGGGCAGGGGGGCAGGAGCCAGUGAGGGAGGCAGAGGCUGGUAGUACUAUCGGAGCGGUAGUACUCCUGCGAGGAGUGGUACUACCGCUCACAAGAGGUAGUAACGCCUCCUAUAUCUGCUCAGGAUAUGCUGCGGACCUAGCCCAGACGUACCAAGGGGUUCUGGCACGGUAGUAACAAGUGGUACUACCACUCGCUGGGAGGUACUACCGCCCUGCACUACCGCUUAGUCUGACACGAAAAGUGUCGAGACCCAUGGGCAGCGACACUAGCCAGCGGAACUAGCUAGACAACUUCCGCCCUGGAGCGGUACUACCGCGGACCAGGUUUGUACUACCGCUGAUAAGAGGUAGUACCGCUCAAUAGAUUGGUACUACCGCUUGGGUCUUUCUAGGCAGGAUAGGGCAAGGUAGGAUGCUCCAUUGAGGCGGGAAACAAGCUGUGAAGGAAUGUGUAAGUGAUGAUUCCGCCCAAACCUUUCCGAAGCGGACCCCCUCUUAAUAGUACGGAUUUUCCUACGACUCAAUUCCACCGACAACGAAACGUAAGAGAGAAAACCGUCUUCAUAUAAAUACACCGAGGGGCAUGAAUCAACUGGUGCCAAACGAUGAAAUACCUGAAAGGCUUAGUGCACACGAUUAGUGUGCAAACGCAUUGUCAUUAAUCACCAAAACCACUAGGGUAGAAAUAUGACCUUAGAGCUGCCCCCAUGCACCCCCAUAUAUAUAUAUNUUUAAAUUUAGAGAUAAGAUAUUAUCUCUAGAUUUAAAUGACAUGUGCCUUGGGGAAUGGUGCAAUCAGAUCAUGUAGGUUGUAGCCCCACCCCUCGGUCCAUGUGGGCCCUUCCUGGGUCGUUGGGUUCCAUGGUGGAACCGGGGUACCUUCUAGAACCUUCUCGGUACUCUACUGAAAAAUUCCUAAACUUUUGCGGAACCGUGAACAUGACUUCCCAUAUAUAAAUAUAUACCUGCAUACCAUUUCGGAGCUCCUCGUGAAUUCCCGGAUCCCAUCCGGGAUUCCAAAAUACUUUUGGAAUUUCCACUAUUAAUAUCUCAACGUUACCCUAGCGCUACUGAACGUUAAGCAUACGAUCCUACAGGUUCGAGAAUCCUGUAGACAUGAUCGAGAUACCUCUAUGGUCAGUAACCAAUAGUGGUAUCUGGAUGCCCAUAUUGGUUCCUACAUAUUCCACGAAUAUCUUCAUCGGCUGAACCAUGAUGGCAAGGAUUCAGUUAAUCCCGUAUGCAAUUCCCUUUGUCUAGCAAUAUGUUACUUGCCCGAGAUUUGAUCGUCAAUAUCUCAUACCUAGUUUAAUCUUGUUAUUAGCAAGUCUCUUUACUAGUUCCGUAAUACAAGAUCUCUUGACUAACUCCUUAGUCACAUUGCUUGCAAGCUUCUUGUGAUGUUUUAUACCGACAUGGCCCAGAGAUAACUCUCCAUCAUACGAAGUGACAAAUCCAAGUCUUGAUCCAUGCCAACCAAGCAGACACCCUCAGAGAUACGUGUAGACUAUCUUUAUGAUCACCCUGUUAAGAAGUGACAUUUCAUACACACAAUGCAUUUCUCCAGUGUGAGGGAGUUGCAUUCUCUUAUGGUCUUAGGAACAAAUACUUGACACGAAGAAAGCAGUAGCAAUAAACUAAGUGAUAUGAUCAAAUGCUAUGCUUACGGUCGGGUCUUGUCCAUCACAUCAUUCUCCUAAUGAUUGAUCACGUUAUCAAAUGACAAGUCAUGUCUAUGGUUAGGGGAUGUUAACCAUCUUUGAUCAACAAGUUAGUCUAGUAGAGGCUCACUAGCGAGACGAUGUUGCUUAUAUAUCCACACAUGUAUUUAAGUUUCCGGUCAGUACAAUUCUAGCAUGGAUAAUACACGAUUAUCAUGAACAAGGAAAUAUGAUAAUAACCAUUUUAUUAUUGCCUCUAGGGCAUAUUUCCAACAAUCUCCCACUUGCACUAGAGUCAAUAAUCUAGCUUUACAUUGUAAUGAAUCUAACACCCAUAUAUGGAGUUUUGGUGUUGAUCAUGUUUUGCAUGUGGAAGAGCUUUAGUCAACGGGUCUCCAACAUUCAAAUCCGUAUGUACUUUGCAAAUGUUUAUGUCUUCAUCCUUGAUAUAAUUGCAGAUGGAAUUGAAGCGCCUCUUUAUGUGUCUGGUACUCUUGUGAAACCUGGGCUACUUGCCUAGAGCAACGACACCAGUGUUGUCACAAAAGAGAGUCAUCGGAUCCAGUGCACUGCGCACAACUCCAAGAUCCGUCACGAACUACUUCAUCCCCCCCACUCUCCUUUGCCUCUUCCAAAGCAGCUAUGUACUCCGCCUCACAUGUAGAAUCUGCUAGCAUGCUUUGCUAGGAACUACAUCAGCUCACUACCCACCAUUGAGAAUAAAUACAUAUCUCGUUUGAGACUUAGAGUCAUCUGGAUAAGUGUCAAAGCUAUCAUAGUCGUAACCCUUUACUAAGAGCUCUUGAUCACCUCCAUAAACGAGAAAUAUCUGCUUAGUCCUCUUCGGGUAAUUAAGGAUAUUUUUGUUGGAAAUAUGCCCUAGAGGCAAUGAUAAAUAGUUAUUAUUAUAUUUCUUGUUUAAAGAUAAUUGUUUAUUAUCCAUGCUAUAAUUAUUGAAUGAAAACAUAGAUACAUGUGUGGAUACAUACAGAAAACAAUGUCCCUAGCAAGCCUCUAGUUGGCUACCAGUUGAUCAAUGAUAGUCAAGGUUUUCUGACUAUGUGCAAGUGUUGUCACUUGAUAACUGGAUCACAUCAUUAGGAGAAUCAUGUGAUGGACUAGACCCAAACUAUGAACUUAGCAUAUUGAUCAUGUCGUUUUAUUGCUAUUGUUUCCUGUGUGUCAAGUAUUUGUUCCUAUGAGCAUGAGAUCAUAUAACUCACUGGCACCGGAGGAAUACCUUGUGUGCAUCAAACAUCACAACAUAACUGAGUGACUAUAAAGGUGCUCUACAAGUGUCACUGAAGGUGUCCGUUGAGUUAGUAUGGAUCAAGACUGGGAUUUGUCACUCCGUGUGACGGAGAGGUAUCUCGGGGCCCACUCGGUAAUACAACAUCACAAACAAGCCUUGCAAGCAAUGUGACUAAGUGUAAGUCACGGGAUCUUGCAUUACGGAACGAGUAAAAGAGACUUGCGGGUAACGAGAUUGAAAUAGGUAUCCAGAUACCGACGAUCGAAAUCUCGGGCAAGUAACAUACCGAAGGACAAAGGGAAUGACAUACGGGAUUAUAUGAAUCCUUGACACUGAGGUUCAACCGACAAGAUCUUUAGAUAAUAUGUAGGAUCCAAUAUGGGCAUCCAGGUCCCGCUAUUGGAUAUUGACCGAGGAGUACCUCGGGGCAUGUCUACAUAGUUCUCGAACCCGCAGGGUCUGCACACUUAAGGUUCGGCGAUGUUUUAGUAUAGUUGAGUUAUAUGUGUGGUUACCGAAUGUUGUUCGGAGUCCUGGAUGAGAUCACAGAUGUCACGAGGGUUUUCGGAAUGGUCGGGAAACAAUGAUUGAUAUAUAAGAUGACUUCAUUUGGUUAUCGGAAGUUUUUCGGGCAUUACCGGCAUUGUACCGGGAGUGACGAAUGGGUUCCAGAAGUUCACCGAGAGGGGGGCAACCCACCCGGGGGAAGCCCAAAUGCCCUAGGGGUGGUGCACCAGCCCUUAGUGAGCUGGUGGGACAGCCCAAGAGGGCCUAUGCGCUAGGAAAGAAAACCAAAGAAAAGAAGAAAAAAAAGAGGUGGGAAGGAAGAGAAGGCUCCACUUUCCAAUCCUAAUUGGAAUAGGAUUGGAGUAGGACUCCUCCUCUCCCUUGGCCGAUGCACCCUUCAGGGCUUGACCCUCAAGGCAAGCCUCCUCCCCCUCCCUCCUAUAUAUAGUGGUGGUCUAGGGCUGAUUUGAGACAACUUUUGCCACGUGCAACUCAGAUCUAGACACCAUAGUUUUACCUCUAGAUCGUAUUUCUACGGAGCUCGGGCGGAGCCCUGCAGGAGUAGAUCCUCACCACCACCGGAGCACCGCCACGCUGCCGGAGAACUCAUCUACUUCUCCGUCUUGCUUGCUGGAUCAAGAAGGCCGAGAUCAUCGUCGAGCUGUACGUGUGCUGAACGCGGAGGUGACGUCCGUUCGGCACUAGAUCGGAAUGGAUUGUGGGACGGAUCGCAGGACGGUUCGUGGGAUGGUUCGUGGGCUUGAUUGAGGGACGUGAAGACGUUCCACUACAUCAACCACGUUUCUUAAUGCUUCCUGUUGUGCGAUCUACAAGGGUAUGUAUAUCCAAAUCUCCUCUCGUAGAUGGACAUCACCAUGAUAGGUCUUCGUGUGCAUAUGAAUUUGUUUUGUUUCCCAUGCAACGUUCUUCAACAGUGGCAUCAUGAGCUAGGUUCAUGCGUAGAUGUUAUCUCGAGUAGAACACCAAGGGUUUUGUGGACGGUGAUGUUCGAUUUGCUGCCCUCCUUAGUCUUUUCUCGAUUCGGCGGUAUUGUUGGAUUGAAGUGGCUCGGACCGACAUUAUUCGUACGCUUACCAAAGACUAGUUUCAUCGAUUGACAUGCAACCUCGUUGCAUAAAGAUGACUCGCGGGUGUCGGUUUCUUCAACUUUUGUUGAAUUGGUUUUGACGGAGGCGGUCCUUGGAGAGGUUAAAUAGCAAUUUGCACAUCUCCGUUGUGGUUUUUGCGUAAGUAAGAUGCGUUCUACUAGAUACCCAUAGUAGCCACAUAAAACAUGCAACAACAAAUUAGAGGACGUCUAACUUAUUUUUGCAGGGUAUGGCCAAUGACGUGAUGUGAUAUAUUGGUUGUAUGAGAUGAUCAUGUUGUAAUAGUUAAUAUCCACUUGCACGUCGAUGGUACGGCAAGCGGCAGGAGCCAUAGAGUUGUCUUUAAACUAACGUUUGUGUUUGCAGAUGUGUUUACUAUAUUGCUAGGAUGUACCUUUAGUAGUAAUAGCAUAAGUAGCAUGACAACCCCGAUGGUGACACGUUGAUGGAGAUCAUGGUGUGGCACCGGUGACAAGAAGAUCGUGUCGGUGCUUUGGUGGUGGAGAUCAACAAGCACAAGAUGAUGGCCAUAUCAUGCCACUUAUGAAUUGCAUGUGAUGUUAAUCCUUUUAUGCACCUUAUUUUUGUUAGAAUGACGGUAGCAUUAUAAGGUGAUCUCUCACUAAAAUUUCAAGAUGAAAUUGUGUUCUCCCCGACUAUGCACCGUUGCUAUAGUUCGUCGUUUAGAGACACCAUCUGAUGAUCGGGUGUGAUAGACUCAACGUUCACGUACAACGGGUGCAAAACAGUUGCACACGCGGAACACUCGGGUUAAGCUUGAUGAGCCUAGCAUGUGCAGACAUGGUCUCAGAACACAUGAGACCAAAAGGUCGAGCAUGAAUCAUACAGUUGAUAUGAUUAGCACAGAGAUGCUUACCACUGAAACUAUCCUCAACUCACGUGAUGAUCGGACUUGAGUUAGUAAAUUUGGAUCAUGUACCACUCAAAUGACUAGAGAGAUGUACUUUUUGAGUGGGAGUUUAGCAAGUAAUUUGAUUACUUAAACUCUAGUUAUCUUGAACAUAGUCUAAGUCCACUUUGAAAAUAUUUGUGUUGUAGAUCAAUGGCUCACGCAAGAGUCACCUUGAAUUUUAAUACGUUCCUAGAGACAGCUAAGUUGAAAGAUGAUGGAAGCAACUUUGUAGACUAGGCUCGUAAUCUUAAGUUGCUCUUGCAAGCUGGGAAGAAGGAUUAUGUCCUUAAUGUUGUGCUAGGAGAUGAACCACCCGCCGCGGCUGACCAAGAUGUUAAGAACGCCUGGUUAGCACGCAAGGAGGACUACUCAGUAGUUCAAUGUGCAGUCUUGUAUGGCUUAGAGCCGGGACUUCAACGUCGCUUUGAGAGACAUGGAGCAUUUGAGAUGUUCCACGAGUUGAAGUUUAUUUUUGAGAAGAAAGCCCGGAUCGAGAGGUAUGAGACCUCCAAUAAAUUCUAUGCUUGCAAGAUGGAGGAUAAUUCGUCUCUCAGUGAACAUGUGCUCAAAAUGUCUGGGUACUCAAACCGUCUAGCUGAGCUGGGGAUUGAACUCCCGCAAGAGGCUAGCACUGACAGAAUUCUUCAAUCACUGCAGCCAAGCUACAAGAGCUUUGUGUUAAACUAUAACAUGCAAGGGAUGAAUAAGUCACCCGACGAGUUAUUCGCGAUGCUGAAAGUCGCAGAGUCAGAACUCCGUAAAGAGCAUCAAGUGUUGAUGGUAAAUAAGACCACUAGUUUCAAGAGAAACGGCAAAGGAAAGAAGGGUAAUUUAAAGAAGAGCGGCACGCCUGUUGCCAAUCCGACGAAGAAACCCGAAGCAGGACCUAAGCCUGAAACGGAGUGUUAUUAUUGCAAGGGUCUGGGUCACUGGAAGCGCAACUGCCCCAAGUAUCUGGCUGAUAAGAAGGCGGCCAAGGAAAAAUCAGGUAUAUUCGGUAUACAUGUUAUUGAUGUGUACUUAACCAGCUCUCGUAGUAGUGUCUGGGUAUUCGAUACCGGUUCUGUUGCUCAUAUUUGCAACUCGAAACAGGAACUGCGGAAUAAGCGAAGGUUGGCAAAGGAUGAAGUGACGAUGCGCGUGGGAAAUGGUUCCAAGGUUGAUGCAAUCACCGUCAGCACAGUUUCACUUCAGUUACCAUCAGGAUUAGUUUUGAACUUAAAUAAUUGUUAUUUAGUGCGUGCGUUAAGCAUAAAAUUAUAUCUGGAUCUUGUUUAUUGCGAGACGGUUACUCGUUUAAGUCACAGAAUAAUGGUUGUUCUAUUUCUAUGAGUACUAUCUUUUAUGGUCAUGCACCAAAUGUGAGAGCAUUGUUCAUAUUGAAUCCUGAUAGCGAUGAUACACAUAUACAGAACAUUGAGACCAAAAGAGUUAGAGUUAACAAUGAUAGCGCCAUGUUUUAUAGCACUGCCGCUUAGGUCAUAUUGGUGUAAAGCGCAUGAAGAAACUCCAUACCGAUGGACUUUUGGAGUCACUUGACUUUGAUUCACUUGACACGUGCGAACCAUGCCUCAUGGGCAAGAUGACUAAGACUUCGUUUUCCGGAACAAUGGAGCGUGCAAGUGACUUGUUGGAAAUCAUACAUACCGAUGUAUGCGGUCCGAUGAGUGUGGAGGCGUUCGGCGGAUAUCGUUAUUUUCUAACCUUCACUGACGAUUUGAGUAGAUAUGGUUAUGUCUACUCGAUGAAGCACAAGUCUGAAACGUUUGAGGAGUUCAAGCAAUUUCAGAGUGAGGUUGAAAAUCAUCAUAACAAGAAGAUCAAGUUCCUAUGGUCUGAUCGUGGGGGUGAAUAUCUGAGUUUCGGGUUUGGUGCUCACUUAAAACAAUGUGGAAUUGUUUCACAGUUGACACCGCCUGGAACACCAUAGCGUAAUGGUGUGUCCGAACGUCGUAAUCGUACUUUAUCAGAGAUGGUGCGAUCUACAAGGGUACGUAGAUCCAAAUCUCCUCUCGUAGAUGUACAUCACCAUGAUAGAUCUUCGUGUGUGUAGGAAUUUUUUUUGUUUCCCAUGCAACGUUCUCCAACAAUUUUUGACCAGUGUCUAGUGUUCCACUCCUGGAACACUUUGAAACCUUCCACCAUACUGUUGGGGAACGUCGCAUGGGAAACAAAAAAUUUCCUACGCGCACGAAGACCUAUCAUGGUGAUGUCCAUCUACGAGAGGGGAUUUACUAUCUACGUACCCUUGUAGAUCGCACAGCAGAAGCGUUAAGAAACGCGGUUGAUGUAGUGGAACGUCCUCACGUCCCUCGAUCCGCCCCGCGAACCGUCCCACGAACCGUCCCGCGAUCCGUCCCACGAUCCGCUCCGAUCUAGUGCCGAACGGACGGCACCUCCGCGUUCAGCACACGUACAUUUCAAUGAUGAUCUCGGCCUUCUUGAUCCAGCAAGAGAGACAGAGAGGUAGAUGACUUCUCCGGCAGCGUGACGGUGCUCCGGAGGUUGGUGGUGAUCUAAUCUCAGCAGGGCUCCGCCUGAGCUCCGCAGAAACAUGAUCUAGAGGAAAAACCGUGGAGGUAUGUGGUCGGGCUGCCGUGGCAAAAGUUGUCUCAAAUCAGCCCUAAAACCUCCGUAUAUAUAGGUGGGAGAGGGGGGCCUUGCCUUGAGGCUCAAGGAGCCCCAAGGGGGUCGGCCGAGCCAAGGGGGGGAGUCCUCCCCUUCCAAACCGAAUCCAACUAGGUUUUGAAGGUGGAGUCCUUCCCCUUUUUCCCACCUCCUCUUUUUUUUUCUUUGUCUCUUUGAUUUUCUUCCUAUGGCGCAUAGGGCCUUCUUGGGCUGUCUCACCAGCCCACUAAGGGCUGGUGCACCACCCCCAAGGCCUAUGGGCUUCCCCGGGGGGGGUUCCCCCCCCCCCCGGUGAACACCCGGAACCCAUUCGUCAUUCCCGGUAACUCCGAAAACCUUCCGGUAAUCAAAUGAGGUCAUCCUAUAUAUCAAUCCUCGUUUUCGAACCAUUCCGGAAACCCUCGUGACGUCCGUGAUCUCAUCCGGGACUCCGAACAACAUUCGGUAACCAACCAUAUAACUCAAAUACGCAUAAAACAACGUCGAACCUUAAGUGUGCAGACCGUGCGGGUUCGAGAACUAUGCAGACAUGACCCGAGUGACUCCUCGGUCAAUAUCCAAUAGCGGGACCUGGAUGCCCAUAUUGGAUCCCACAUAUUCUACGAAGAUCUUAUCGUUUGAACCUCAGUGCCAAGGAUUCAUAUAAUCCCGUAUGUCAUUCCCUUUGUCCUUCGGUAUGUUACUUGCCCGAGAUUCGAUCGUCAGUAUCCGCAUACCUAUUUCAAUCUCGUUUACCGGCAAGUCUCUUUACUCGUUCCGUAAUACAAGAUCCCGCAACUUACACUAAGUCACAUUGCUUGCAAGGCUUGUGUGUGAUGUUGUAUUACCGAGUGGGCCCCGAGAUACCUCCCCGUCAUACGGAGUGACAAAUCCCAGUCUCGAUCCAUACUAACUCAACGAACACCUUCGAAGAUACCUGUAGAGCAUCUUUAUAGUCACCCAGUUACGUUGCAACGUUUGAUACACACAAAGCAUUCCUCCGGUGUCAGUGAGUUAUAUGAUCUCAUGGUCAUAGGAACAAAUACUUGACACGCAGAAAACAGUAACAAUAAAAUGACACGGUCAACAUGCUACGUCUAUUAGUUUGGGUCUAGUCCAUCACAUGAUUCUCCUAAUGAUGUGAUCCCGUUAUCAAGUGACAACACUUGCCUAUGGUCAGGAAACCUUGACCAUCUUUGAUCAACGAGCUAGUCAACUAGAGGCUUACUAGGGACAGUGUUUUGUCUAUGUAUCCACACAUGCACUGUGUUUCCAAUCAAUACAAUUAUAGCAUGGAUAAUAAACGAUUAUCAUGAACAAAGAAAUAUAAUAAUAACUAAUUAUUAUUGCCUCUAGGGCAUAUUUCCAACAGUCUCCCACUUGCACUAGAGUCAAUAAUCUAGUUCACAUCACCAUGUGAUUUCAACGAAUCCGACACCCAUAUAGUUCUGGGGUCUGAUCACGUCUUGCUCGUGAGAGAGGUUUUAGUCAAUGGUUCUGAAACUUUCAGAUCCGUGUGUUCUUUACAAAUCUUUAUGUCAUCUUAUAGAUGCUGCUACUACGUGCUAUUCGGAAAUUCUCCAAAUAUCUACUCUACUAUACGAAUCCAUUUCACUACUCAUAGUUAUUCGGAUUAGUGUCANNNNNNNNNNNNNNNNNNNNNNNNNNNNNNNNNNNNNNNNNNNNNNNNNNNNNNNNNNNNNNNNNNNNNNNNNNNNNNNNNNNNNNNNNNNNNNNNNNNNGAUUACCAGAAAAACUUUCGACCAGUAACCCCCAAGGGUCGGGUCAUCAGUAAAAAGAUGAGUCAGGUCUUGAUUACCAGAAAAACUUUCGACCAGUAACCCCAAGGGCCGGGUCAUCAGUAAAAAGAUGAGCCGGGUCUUGAUUAAUAGAAAAACUUUCGACCAGUAACCCCCAAGGGCCGGGUCAUCACUAAAAAGAUGAGCCAGGUCUUUAUGUUGUAUAAUUUUGUCUGAAAAAAUUAUACAUUAGCCCCCAAGUGUCAGGGAUAUUGCUUGCAAUAGUUCUGAGACUUGCCCCUUAUCAUGUACUUCAACAGGAAACUCUUAUCCAGACUGAAUCAGCACUUGGCGACUUGAAGAAAAACUUAUCUGAUCAGCAGGCUGCCCGAGCCAAAUCGGAGGAGAAGUGUCAACUGGUCUUAGCUGAGAUGGAAAAACUAAAAGUCGAUUUAAAAAGGGCUCAAGCUGACCAAGAUGCUUCAACAAAACGAGCAGAGAAAGCUGAAGCCAAGCUAGCUACUGUGCAACAAGAGUUGUCCGGUUUGAAACGUCAUAUCUCAAACAUGGCACAAUCCGUCUUUGGUAAAAUACUCAAACCUUUGUCCUUUUUAAGAAAAUGACUCUUAUCUUGAGUCGCUGAUCAUCAUUACCCCUUGUAUAGGUCCAAGAGCCGCCAACCUUCAGGAUGAUUGCGUGCUGAUGCUGAAGGCGAUUUACACGCUGACAGAACAGCUAUAUACCGGCAGUGUACUGACUGUAAAAGCAGUGAUGGGCGCCAAGGAGCCUAUAACCUCCAUAAAGAAGAUUCUUGGCUGCCUAUCCAUGCUUCCUCCCCAGAUUGGUGAUUUAACUCGGUCAGCUGCCCGGAAGGGAGCACUGACUACAUUAAGUCGCUGCUUAGCGUAUGCUCCAAAGAUCAACCCAGAAGAAGUAGCGGCGGGCUUUCCUCCACUCAAGGAUGACGGGUCAGAAUUCGCCGAAGAGGACUACCAGCGUGUCGUCAAGGACUCUCGGCUGGCGGCGACUCAACUUGCUACAAGUAUGGACUUAUCAAAGUACCAGGCUGCUUAUGAUAGUAAAAACAAGAAGGUCAACCCGCCAACCUUUGUGACAACCAGCUUAACUCCACGGCGACCCAAGAACCCUUUUGACUUGGACGCAGAUCUUUCAUCAAUCCUAACCGAUGAAGAUGACUUUGCGGCUCUGGCCAAGUGUAACUGGGUACUGGGCGACUUGCAAAUUGAGGUUGGCCAAAGCUCGCAGCAAAACGAUCCAAGGGCGUCAGCAGAAUAAACUUCGUUGAUUUGGCCCUAAGAGCCAUGUAAUAGGUCUCCUUUAGGAAUCGGUAUUGUUUUUGUGACACCUUCAAAAAGAAUCAUUAUGUCGCCCUUAAGGCGAUUUGAAAUACUGGAUCCGCCGUUUGAAAAUUCUUUAUAAUGCUUAAUCCGCCAUGGAUAAAGUGAUUUUGAUCAUCAACCUGUUCUGAGCUUGAAAAACAUAUGUGAAAUCAUCUUAAUGAAUAAUAAGUGAUAACAAAUAUUUCAAGAUGAAUCAGAAAAAAGUUUGGAAAACCUUGUGGCAGUGCCAGGAAGGUAAAUAAAGAAUAGCAAUUUCGUCGGCUCAUAAGGUCGCGACAGGAUGGGGCGAGUCAGAAAGCUCAAACGCCACCCAAGAAUGAUUUCGUCGGCUCAUAAGGUCGCGACAGGAUGGGGCGAGUGAGAAAGCUCAAGCGCGCACCCUAGAUGAUGGUUUCGUCGGCUCAUAAGGUUGCGACAGGAUGGGGCGAGUCAGAAAGCUCAAGCACGCACCCUAGAUGAUUUCGUCGGCUCAUAAGGUCGCGACAGGAUGGGGCGAGUCAAAAAGCUCAAGCGCGCACCCUAAAUGAUGGUUUCGUCGGCUCAUAAGGUCGCGACAGGAUGGGGCGAGUCAGAAAGCUCAAGCGCGCACCCUAAAUGAUUUCGUCGGCUCAUAAGGUCGCGACAGGAUGGGGCGAGUCAGAAAGCUCAAGCGCGCACCCUAAAUGAUGGUUUCGUCGGCUCAUAAGGUCGCGACAGGAUGGGGCAAGUCAGAAAGCUCAAGCGCCACCCUAGAUGAUGAUGAUUCCGUCGGCUCAUAAGGUCGCGACGGGAUGACAAAAUUGAUCUCAAUGAAGAAGCCCCCAAGUCGGGAAGCAUUUUAACUUUAUUACUUCAUAAUAAAACUGAAAAACUUACAAAAUGCCAAGCUUAAGAGCUCAAGUGUAAUAAGGCCGCAAGUGGGCAAUAUUCCAGGGGCGAGUUGACUCAGCCUCCGUGGUCGGCCGGUUAGGUCGGAGAUCCACCAGAUAAUAAGAGUCGUUGUGAAGAUUUUUGUUGACGACGAACGGUCCUUCCCAUGGCGGUGACAACUUAUGCAUGCCAGCACGAUCUUGUAUCAACCAAAGGACUAAGUUGCCUUCCUGAAAGGUCCGGCUCUUAACCCGGCGGUUGUGAUAACGCCGUAGAUCCUGUUGAUAGAUGGCCGAACGGGCCGCAGCCAAGUCACGUGCUUCUUCUAAUGCGUCCAAGGAGUCUUGACGCGCCAUUUCGUUGUCUUGCUCCACAUAUGUGGCGACUCUAGGCGACUCAUGCCUUAUGUCAGUAGGAAGAACGGCUUCUGCUCCGUAGACCAGAAAGAAAGGGGUAAAACACGUGGACCGGUUCGGGGUGGUCCGGAGGUUCCAUAGUACUGAAGGCAAUUCUUUGACCCAACAUCCUGGGGUUUUCUCCAGGGGAACCAUGAGUCGGGGCUUGAUUCCUCGUAAAACCUCCUGAUUCGCCCGUUCCGCCUGCCCAUUAGACUGUGGGUGAGCAACCGCAGAAACAUCAAGCCGGAUAUGUUCUCGACGGAAAAACUCCUGCAUCGCCCCUUGGGAUAGGUUAGUACCAUUAUCAGUAAUGAUACUAUGUGGAUAUCCAAUCCGGAAGAUCAGCUUCUUCAAGAACUUGACUGUUGUCUCCGCAUCGCAAGUUCCAAUAGGUUCUGCCUCAACCCACUUGGUGAACUUAUCAACCGCCACGAGCAAAUGGGUUUUCUUGUUGGAUGACAUUUUAAAGGGGCCGACCAUGUCUAACCCCCAGACCGCAAAAGGCCAAGUGAUGGGAAUCAUUCUUAGUUCUUGAGCCGGCACAUGAGCCUGUCGUCCAUAACGCUGGCAUCCCUCGCACCGACGAACUAUCUCUUCUGCAUCUGCAUGAGCCGUCAACCAAAAGAAACCAUGACGGAAUGCCUUUGACACCAAAGAGCGUGACCCGGCAUGAUGCCCACAGUCCCCGGAAUGAAUGUCAUUUAAUAUUAUGCAUCCUUCUUCGGAGGAAACGCAUCGUUGAAAAACUCCAGAGGCGCUGCGCUUAUAUAAUUCGCCAUUGAUGAUCACCAUGGAUUUGCUCCGCCAAACGAUCUGACGGGCCGAAACUUCGUCUCUUGGUAACUCGCCUUGGGUGAGAUAAGCCAAAUAGGGAAGAACCCAAUCCGGCGUGACGUGGAGAGCCGCCACGAACUGAGACUCAGGAUCCGGUAUUGCCAACUCCUCCUCCGAUGGUAAACUCACGGAUGGUUUAUGCAGAACAUCUAGAAAAACAUUGGGAGGAACUCGCUUUCGCUGGGAACCAAGACGUGAAAGGGCGUCAGCUGCCUCGUUGAGGCGCCGAUCAAUGUGGUCAACUUGAUAGCCAUGAAAAUGACCCGCCACGUCAGACACAGCCCUUCUGUAAGCCGCCAUCACGGGGUCCCGAGAAUCCCAGGUACCUGAAACUUGUUGCGCCACCAGAUCAGAGUCGCCAAAACAUCGGACUCGUGUCAGGUUCAUCUCCUUGGCGAGUCGCAAGCCGUGAAGCAAAGCUUCGUAUUCCGCAGCAUUGUUAGUGCACAGAAACAUGAGUCGGAGGACAUAACAGAAUUUAUCUCCUUGAGGGGAUACCAGUACCACACCAGCCCCCGAGCCUUCAAGCUGUCUGGAUCCAUCAAAAUAAAUAGUCCAGUAUGUAAGAUCAGGCCUGUCCUCCGGGGCCUGCAACUCCGUCCAAUCAUUGACGAAAUCAACUAAGGCUUGAGACUUGAUGGUUGUGCGAGGGGUGUAUCGUACAUGAUGCGGCCCAAGUUCAAUCGCCCACUUGGCAAUCCGCCCUGUUGCCUCCCGAUUCUGGAUGAUGUCCCCGAGGGGGGAAGAACUAACCACUGUGAUAGGAUGUUCUUGGAAAUAAUGCUUAAGUUUCCGACUCGCCAUAAACACCCCAUACACUAACUUCUGCCAAUGUGGGCACCGUUGCUUGGAAAGUGUUAGCACUUCGCUGAUAAAAUACACCGGGCGUUGCACUGGGUACUCCUUGCCUUCCUCCUUUGUUUCAACGACCACUGCCACACUUACUGCUUUGGAGUUUGUCGCAAUAUAUAGAAGUAUGGGCUCUUUCUCAGUCGGGGCGGCUAGGACCGGCGGGUUGACGAGCUGCCGUUUCAAGGCUUCGAGCGCCUCGUCUGCCUCAUUUGUCCAAACAAACUGGUCAGAUUUCUUUAGUAAUUGAUAAAGAGGAAUCACCUUUUCUCCUAGGCGGCUUACGAAGCGACUUAGAGCCGCAAUGCGACCCGCCAGUUGUUGAACUUGAUUAACAUUUGCCGGCUUUCCAAGGGAUGUAACUGCUUCAAUUUUGUCCGAGUUAGCUUCAAUGCCUCGCUCAGACACCAGGAAGUCCAACAAUUUCCCUGCAGGAACACCAAAAACACACUUGGUGGGAUUCAGCUUCAUCUGAUAUACUCGCAGAUUAUCGAAAGUCUCCUUGAGAUCCUCCAGUAGCGUCUCCCCCUGGCGGGUUUUGAUCACAAUAUCGUCGACAUAGGCGUGGACGUUGCGACCGAUUUGGCUGCGGAGGCAAUUCUGGAUGCAGUGUUGAUAAGUCGCCCCCGCACUCUUGAGUCCAAAAGGCAUGGACACAUAGCAAAAAGCCCCAAAGGGGGUUAUAAAAGAUGUUUUCUCUUGAUCCUCCACGGCCAUCUUGAUCUGGUGAUAUCCAUAGUAGGCGUCCAAAAAGCACAAUCGUUCGCAUCCCGCCACCGAGUCAAUGAUCUGGUCGAUGCGGAGAAGAGCGAAAGGAUCUUUCGGACAAGCUCUGUUGAGGUCCGUGUAAUCAAUGCACAUACGGAAGGUACCGUUCUUCUUGAGUACCAAAACCGGGUUAGCCAGCCAUUUGGGGUGGAAAACUUCCACGAUGAAUCCGGAGGCUAAGAGACGGGCAACCUCUUCCCCGAUCGCCUUGCAUCGCUCCUCGUUAAACCUGUGAAGAUACUGCUGGAUAGGCUUUGCCUUUGGGUCAACAUUAAGAUAGUGCUCAGCGAAUUCUCUCGGCACACCAGGCAUGUGAGAAGGUUUCCAUACGAAGAUGUCUCGAUUCUCACGGAUGAAUUCGAUGAGCGCGCUUUCCUAUUUGGGAUCCAGACCCGUCCCGAUGGUGAACUGCUUGGAUGAAUCUGGCGGCGGGUUCGGUCAAGGACUUCGGGGUCCAUGGACAGUGACAAGCCCCCAAGACAAUCCCCAUCUAGAGACCGGAUUGAAUCUGAACCGCCCAUGGAUGAUUCGUCAUCAGUGUUGACUGGUGUAGUUUCCUGGGAUGCUGAGUGUUCUGGUUCCUCCGAUCCCUGCGUGAACCCAACAAAGACCGGGCGAGUCAGAUUUUGCAUCACUGCUGGGCGGACGUACCUGGCCGGCUCGACGAUGUCGAUGGAGAUGUCCGGCUCAGGCACGGACGAUCCGAUCAUGCCGAUGAAGAUGUUGAUCUUGUUGAAGGGGACCCUGUAGCCAGUUUCGAUCGAAUCCGCCUCGGGUCCCCAUUGCCGGUUGUCGAUGUAGAUCUUCCCACGGCGGCUCCGGGUCCUGAGCCCCGCCGCGUAACUCCCAAACCCUGGUAGGGCUCCCUUUGAGAACUCAACUCCACCGUGCAUAGGCCCCACGGUGGGCGCCAACUGUCGUGGUUUUGUCACGGCAGAUGUCCUCGUGAAAGGACUUAGUACUGGAGCCAUCGCACCUUGGUGGCGACUCAAAGGGGUUGAACGGGAGAAACACGACGAUUUACCCAGGUUCGGCCCCUCGUGAGGAGGUAAAGGCUUACGUCCUGCUUUGAGUUGUAUUGAUGAAGUUUCGAUUACAAGGAGGGCUUAACUCACCAGACCUAGCACUCGAUGAUUUCUAACCUGUCCCCUUCUUCCCUGGGACUCGCCUUUAUAUAUAGGUCGAACCCCUAGGGUUUAUAAGGGUACUUUCCUUUCUACAAAUCGUGACCUCUACGGUCUCCAAGUCGCCAUCUUCCAAAGCUUGGAGACCUUCCGGAAAUUAUAAACCGCCAUACAACCUUCGGUCUUGCCAGGCCAAGGCCCAAAACCACGCUCACGUGAAUCGCCUGAUUUGGUGACCCGGCCCAACUAGGGCGGGUUAUUAAUAGGUAAUACCCCCAACACCAUGGGUUAGUACACAAAAGUGUAAUGGACAACGGCUACCAUACCAUGGGAUCACUUGAUCCCUCUCGAUACAUCUUGUAUGCUUUGUGUGUUGAUCAGCUUGAUUUACUCUUUGACUUAGUCUUGAUCAACCUUGUGUCUUUAUGACCCAUCUUUGGAUAAAACCUUUAAUACCACCUUGGUCAACAUAUAAACUCCUUGAAACCAACAGAUGGACUUCAAGAAGUGACUAAGGACAAACCCUACAAAUAUAACUUAAGGCAACCAUUAGUCCAUAGGGAGUGUCAUCAAUUACCAAAACCACAUAUAGAGAAAUAUGCUCUAACAAUUAGCUUCCUCUUAAAUUGGUGUAGGUGUCAUAGAAACAUCUUUAUGUGUCGUGCUACUCUCCAAUUGAAGUGACGGUUUAACAACCUCAUCAAGUUUUAUGUUCCUCCCACUCAACUCUUUCGAGAGAAACACCUUCUCUAGAAAGGAUCCAUUCUUGGCAACAAAAACCUUGCCUUCGAAUCUGAGAUAGAAGGUGUACCCAAAUGUUUCCUUAGGGUAUCCUAUGAAGAUAACUUCUCCGCUUUGGGUUUGAGCUUAUCAAGCUGAAGCCUUUUUACAUAAGCAUCGCAACCCUCAACUUCAAGAAACGACAACUUAGGUUUCUUGCCAAACCAUAUUUCAUAUGGUGUCAUCUCAACGGAUUUAGAUGGUGCCCUAUUUAAAGUGAAUGUAUUUGUCUCUAAUGCAUAACCCCAAAACAAUAGUGGCAGAUGAGUAAGAGACAUCAUAGCUCACACCAUAUCCAAUAGAGUACGAUUACAACACUCGCACACACCAUUACACUGUGGUGUUCCAGGUGGCAUGAGUGGGAGUUUAGCAUAUAAUUUGAUUAAGUUGAACUCUAAUUAUCUUGAACAUAGCCUAAGUCCACUUUGAAUAUAUUUGUGUUGUAGAUCAUGGCUCACGCGCUAGUCAUCCUGAAUUUUAAUACGUUCCUAGAGAAAGCUAAGUUGAGAGAUGAUGGAAGCAACUUUGUAGACUGGGCACGUAAUCUUAAGCUAAUCUUAAAAGCUGGGAAGAAGGAUUAUGUCCUUAAUGCUGCGCUAGGAGAUGAACCACCCGCUACGGCUGAUCAGGAUGUUAAGAACGCUUGGUUAGCACGUAAGGAGUACUACUCAAUAGUUCAAUGUGCAGUCUUGUAUGGCUUAGAACCGGGACUUCAACGUCGCUUUGAGCGUCAUGGAGCAUUUGAGAUGUUCCAGGAGUUGGAGUUUAUCUUUCAGAAGAAUGCCCGGAUCGACAGGUAUGAGACCUCCGAUAAAUUCUAUGCUUGCAAGAUGGAGGAAAACUCGUCUGUGAGUGAACAUGUGCUCAAAAUGUCUGGGUACUCAAACCGUCUAGCUGAGCUGGGGAUUGAACUCCCGCAAGAAGCUAUCACUGACAGAAUCCUUCAAUCACUGCCGCCAAGCUACAAAGGCUUUGUGUUGAACUACAACAUGCAAGGGAUGAACAAGUCUCCCGGCGAGUUGUUUGCGAUGUUGAAAGUCGCAGAGUCUGAACUCCAUAAAGAGCAUCAAGUGUUGAUGGUGAAUAAGACCACUAGUUUCAAAAGAAACGGCAAAGGCAAGAAGGGCAAUUCGAAGAAGAGCGGCAAGCCUGUUGCCAAUCCGCCGAAGAAACCCAAAGCUGGACCUAAGCCUGAAACGGAGUGCUACUAUUGCAAGGGUAUGGGUCACUGGAAGCGCAAUUGCCCCAAGUAUCUCGCAGAUAAGAAGGCGGGCAAAGAAAAAUCAGGUAUAUUUGAUAUACAUGUUAUUGAUGUGUACCUAACCGGCUCUCGUAGUAGUGCCUGGGUAUUCGAUACCGGUUCUGUUGCUCAUAUUUGCAACUCGAAACAGGAACUGCGGAAUAGACGAAGGCUGGCGAAAGAUGAAGUGACGAUGCGCGUAGGAAAUGGUUCCAAGGUUGAUGCAAUCGCCGUCGGCACAGUAUCACUUCAUCUACCGUCAGGAUUAGUGAUGAACUUAAAUCAUUGUUAUUUAGUGCCUGCGUUGAGCAUGAACAUUAUAUCUGGAUCUUGUUUAUUGCGAGACGGUUACUCUUUUAAGUCAGAGAAUAAUGGUUGUUCUAUUUCUAUGAGUAACAUAUUUUAUGGUCAUGCACCGAAUGUGAGAGGAUUGUUCAUAUUGAAUCUUGAUAGCGAUACGCAUAUACAUAACAUUGAGACCAAAAGAGUUAGAGUAAACAAUGAUAGCGCCAUAUUUUUGUGGCACUGCCGCUUGGGUCAUAUUGGUGUAAAGCGCAUGAAGAAACUCCAUGCUGAUGGACUUUUGGAGUCACUUGACUUUGAUUCACUUGACACGUGCGAACCAUGCCUCAUGGGCAAGAUGACUAAGACUCCGUUCUCCGGAACAAUGGAGCGUGCAAGUGACUUAUUGGAAAUCAUACAUACCGAUGUGUGUGGUCCGAUGAGCAUGGAGGCACGCGGCGGAUAUCGUUAUUUUCUCACCUUCACUGACGAUUUAAGUAGAUAUGGUUAUGUCUACUUGAUGAAGCACAAGUCUGAAACAUUUGAAAAGUUCAAGCAAUUUCAGAGUGAAGUGGAAAAUCAUCGUAACAAGAAGAUCAAGUUCCUACGGUCUGAUCGUGGGGGUGAAUAUCUGAGUUUCGAGUUUGGUGAUCACUUAAGAAAAUGUGGAAUUGUUUCACAGUUGACACCGCCUGGAACACCACAGCGUAAUGGUGUGUCCGAACGUCGUAAUCGUACUUUGUUAGAGAUGGUGUCAUCUAUGAUGUCUCUUACUGAUUUGCCGUUAUCAUUUUGGGGUUAUGCAUUAGAAACAGCUGCAUUCACUUUAAAUAGGGCACCAUCAAAAUCCGUUGAGACGACACCAUACGAACUGUGGUAUGGCAAAAGGCCAAAGUUGUCGUUUCUUAAAGUUUGGGGAUGUGAUGCUUAUGUCAAAAAGCUUCAGCCUGAAAAGCUGGAACCCAAAGCGGAAAAGUGCGUCUUCAUAGGUUACCCAAAAGUGACCGUUGGGUACACCUUCUAUCUCAAAUCCGAGGGCAAAGUGUUUGUUGCUAAGAACGGAGCUUUUCUUGAGAAGGAGUUUCUCUCGAGAGAAUUGAGUGGGAGGAAGAUAGAACUUGACGAGGUUGUCGAACCUCUCAUCCCCCUGGAUGGUGGCGCAGGGCAAGGGGAAACCUCUAUCGUUGCGACGCCGGUUGAGGAGGAAGUUAAUGAUGAUGAUCAUGAAACUCCAGUUCAAGUUUCUGUUGAACCACGCAGGUCGACGAGAUCACGUGCUGCUCCAGAGUGGUACGGUAAUCCCGUCUUAUCAAUCAUGUUGUUAGACAACAAUGAACCUGCAAAUUAUGAAGAAGCAAUGGUGGGCCCAGAUUCCAACAAAUGGCUAGAAGCCAUGAAGUCCGAGAUAGGAUCCAUGUAUGAGAACAAAGUGUGGACUUUGGAGAUACUACCUGAGGGCCGCAAGGCUAUUCAGAACAAAUGGAUCUUUAAGAAGAAGACGGACGCUGACGGCAAUGUGACCGUUUAUAAAGCUCGACUUGUGGCAAAGGGUUUUUCACAAGUUCCAGGAGUUGACUACGAUGAGACUUUCUCACCCGUAGCGAUGCUUAAGUCCGUCAGAAUCAUGUUAGCAAUAGCUGCAUUUUUCGAUUAUGAAAUCUGGCAGAUGGAUGUCAAAACGGCGUUCCUUAACGGUUUCCUUAAGGAAGAGUUGUAUAUGAUGCAACCCGAAGGUUUUGUCGAUCCUAAGAAUGCUAACAAGGUGUGCAAGCUCCAGCGAUCCAUUUAUGGACUGGUGCAAGCAUCUCGGAGUUGGAACAAACGCUUUGAUGAGGUGAUCAAAGCAUUUGGGUUUAUACAAGUGGUUGGAGAAUCUUGUAUUUACAAGAAAGUGAGUGGGAGCUCUGUGGCGUUUCUAAUAUUAUAUGUGGAUGACAUAUUACUGAUUGGAAACAACGUAGAGCUUUUGGAGAGCAUAAAAGGUUACUUGAAUGAAAGUUUCUCUAUGAACGACCUAGGAGAAGCUGCUUACAUUCUAGGCAUUAAGAUCUAUAGGGAUAGAUCAAAACGCCUGAUAGGACUUUCACAAAGCACAUACCUUGAUAAAGUUUUGAAGAGGUUCAAAAUGGAACAGUCCAAGAAAGGGUUCUUGCCAGUUUUACAAGGUACAAUAUUGAGUAAGACUCAGUGCCCAGCAACUGAUGAAGAUAGAGAGCAUAUGCGCUCUGUCCCCUAUGCUUCAGCCAUAGGUUCUAUCACGUAUGCAAUGCUAUGCACUAGACCGGAUGUUAGCCUAGCCAUAAGUAUGGCAGGUAGGUUCCAGAGUAAUCCAGGAGUGGAUCACUGGACGGCGGUCAAGAAUAUCCUGAAGUACCUGAAAAGGACUAAGGAGAUGUUUCUCGUGUAUGGAGGUGACGAAGAGCUCACCGUAAAAGGUUACGUCGAUGCAAGCUUUGACACAGAUCCGGAUGACUCUAAGUCGCAAACCGGAUACGUAUUUAUUCUUAAUGGGGGUGCGGUAAGCUGCUACAGUUCCAAGCAAAGCGUCGUAGCAGAUUCUACAUGUGAAGCGGAGUACAUGGCUGCCUCGGAGGCGGCUAAGGAGGGUGUCUGGAUGAAGCAGUUCAUGACGGAUCUUGGAGUGGUGCCAGGCGCACUGAAUCCGAUAACCUUGUUCUGUGACAACACGGGUGCCAUUGCCUUAGCAAAGGAACCACGGUUUCACAAGAAGACCAGACACAUCAAACGACGCUUCAACCUCAUCCGCGACUACGUCGAGGGAGAGGACGUAAAUAUAUGCAAAGUGCACACGGAUCUGAAUGUAGCAGACCCGCUGACUAAACCUCUUCCACGGCCAAAACAUGAUCAACACCAGAACUGUAUGGGUGUUAGAUUUAUUACAAUGUAAUUCACAUGGUGAUGUGAGGGCUGGAUUAUUGACUCUAGUGCAAGUGGGAGACUGUUGGAAUUAUGCCCUAGAGGCAAUAAUAAAUAUAGUUAUUGUUAUAAUUCCUGUAUCAAGAUAAUCGUUUGUUAUCCAUGCUAUAAUUGUAUUGAAUGAAGACUCAUUUACAUGUGUGGAUACAUAGACAAAACACCGUCCCUAGCAAGCCUCUAGUUGGCUAGCCAGUUGAUCGAAGAUAGUUAGUGUCUUCUGAUUAUGAACAAGGUGUUGUUGCUUGAUAACUGGAUCACGUCAUUAGGAGAAUCACGUGAUGGACUAGACCCAAACUAAUAGACGUAGCAUGUUGAUCGUGUCAUUUUGUUGCUACUGUUUUCUGCGUGUCAAGUAUUUAUUCCUAUGACCAUGAGAUCAUAUAACUCACUGACACCGGAGGAAUGCUUUGUGUGUAUCAAACGUCGCAACGUAACUGGGUGACUAUAAAGAUGCUCUACAGGUAUCUCCGAAGGUGUUAGUUGAGUUAGUAUGGAUCAAGACUGGGAUUUGUCACUCCGUGUGACGGAGAGGUAUCUCGGGGCCCACUCGGUAAUACAACAUCACACACAAGCCUUGCAAGCAAUGUAACUUAGUGUAAGUUGCGGGAUCUUGUAUUACGGAACGAGUAAAGAGACUUGCCGGUAAACGAGAUUGAAAUAGGUAUGCGGAUACUGACGAUCGAAUCUCGGGCAAGUAACAUACCGAAGGACAAAGGGAAUGACAUACGGGAUUAUAUGAAUCCUUGACACUGAGGUUCAAACGAUAAGAUCUUCGUAGAAUAUGUAGGAUCCAAUAUGGGCAUCCAGGUCCCGCUAUUGGAUAUUGACCGAGGAGUCUCUCGGGUCAUGUCUACAUAGUUCUCGAACCCGCAGGGUCUGCACACUUAAGGUUCGACGUUGUUUUAUGCGUAUUUGAGUUAUAUGGUUGGUUACCGAAUGUUGUUCGGAGUCCCGGAUGAGAUCACGGACGUCACGAGGGUUUCCGGAAUGGUCCGGAAACGAAGAUUGAUAUAUAGGAUGACCUCAUUUGAUUACCGGAAGGUUUUCGGAGUUACCGGGAAUGUACCGGGAAUGACGAAUGGGUUCCGGGAGUUCACCGGGGGGGCAACCCACCCCGGGGAAGCCCAUAGGCCUUGGGGGAGACACACAAGCCCUUAGUGGGCUGGUGGGACAGCCCACAAGUGCCCUAUGCGCCAAGGAGAAGAAAAUCAAGAGAGAAAAAAAAAGGAGGAGGUGGGAAGGAAGGGGGACUCCCUCCCACCAAACCUAGUCCAACUCGGUUUGGGGGGGGAGAGUCCUCCCCCUUGGACUCGGCCGACCCCCUUGGGGCUCCUUGAGCCCCAAGGCAAGGUCCCCUCCCUCCCACCUAUAUAUACGGAGGUUUUAGGGCUGAUUUGAGACGACUUUUCCACGGCAGCCCGACCACAUACCUCCACGGUUUUUCCUCUAGAUCGCGUUUCUGCGGAGCUCGGGCGGAGCCCUGCUGAGACAAGGUCAUCACCAACCUCCGGAGCGCCGUCACGCUGCCGGAGAACUCUUCUACCUCUCCGUCUCUCUUGCUGGAUCAAGAAGGCCGAGAUCAUCGUCGAGCUGUACGUGUGCUGAACGCGGAGGUGCCGUCCGUUCGGUACUAGAUCGUGGGACUGAUCGCGGGAUUGUUCGCGGGGCGGAUCGAGGGACGUGAGGACGUUCCACUACAUCAACCGCGUUCUCUAACGCUUCUGCUGUACGGUCUACAAGGGUACGUAGAUCACUCAUCCCCUCUCGUAGAUGGACAUCACCAUGAUAGGUCUUCGUGCGCGUAGGAAAAUUUUUGUUUCCCAUGCGACGUUCCCCAACAGUGGCAUCAUGAGCUAGGUUCAUGCGUAGAUGUCUUCUCGAGUAGAACACAAAAGUUUUUGUGGGCGGUGAUGUGCGUUUUGCUGCCCUCCUUAGUCUUUUCUUGAUUCCGCGGUAUUGUUGGAUUGAAGCGGCUUGGACCGACAUUACUCGUACGCUUACGAGAGACUGGUUUCAUCGUUACGAGUGACCCCCUUUGCUCAAAGAUGACUGGAAAGUGUCGGUUUCUCCAACUUUAGUUGAAUCGGAUUUUACCGAGGAGGUCCUUGGAUGAGGUUAAAUAGCAACUCAUAUAUCUCCGUUGUGGUGUUUGCGUAAGUAAGAUGCGAUCCUACUAGAUACCCAUGGUCACCACGUAAAACAUGCAACAACAAAAUUAGAGGACGUCUAACUUGUUUUUGCAGGGUAUGAUUGUGAUGUGAUAUGGCCAACGAUGUGAUGUGAUAUAUUGGAUGUAUGAGAUGAUCAUGUUGUAAUAGAAAUAUCGACUUGCACGUCGAUGGUACGGCAACCGGCAGGAGCCAUAGGGUUGUCUUUAUACUAACGUUUGUGCUUGCAGAUGCGUUUACUAUUUUGCUAGGAUGUAGCUUUAGUAGUAAUAGCAUGAGUAGCACGACAACCCCGAUGGCAACACGUUGAUGGAAGAUCAUGGUGUGGCGCCGAUGACAAGAAGAUCGUGCCGGUGCUUUGGUGAUGGAGAUCAAGAAGCACGUGAUGAUGGCCAUAUCAUGUCACUUAUGAAUUGCAUGUGAUGUUAAUCCUUUUAUGCACCUUGUUUUGCUUAGAACGACGGUAGCAUUAUGAGGUGAUCUCUCACUGAAAUUUCAAGACGAAAUUGUGUUCUCCCCGACUGUGCACCGUUGCUACAGUUCGUCGUUUCGAGACACCACGUGAUGAUCGGGUGUGAUAGACUCAACGUUCACAUACAACGGGUGCAAAACAGUUGCGCACGCGGAACACUCGGGUUAAGCUUGACGAGCCUAGCAUGUGCAGACAUGGCCUCGGAACACAUGAGACCGAAAGGUCGAUCAUGAAUCAUAUAGUUGAUAUGAUUAGCAUAGGGAUGCUUACCACUGAAACUAUACUCAACUCACGUGAUGAUCGGACUUGGGAUAGUGUAAGUGGAUCACGAACCACUCAAAUGACUAGAGAGAUGUACUUUUUGAGUGGGAGUUUAGCAUAUAAUUUGGUUAAGUUGAACUCUAAUUAUCUUGAACAUAGUCUAAGUCCACUUUGAAUAUAUUUGUGUUGUAGAUCAUGGCUCACGCGACAGUCAUCCUGAAUUUUAAUACGUUCCUAGAGAAAGCUAAGUUGAAAGAUGAUGGAAGCAACUUUGUAGACUGGGCUCGUAAUCUUAAGCUAAUCUUACAAGCUGGGAAGAAGGAUUAUGUCCUUAAUGCUGCGCUAGGAGAUGAACCACCCGCUACGGCUGAUCAGGAUGUUAAGAACGCUUGGUUAGCACGUAAGGAGGACUACUCAAUAGUUCAAUGUGCAGUCUUGUAUGGCUUAGAACCGGGACUUCAACGUCGCUUUGAGCGUCAUGGAGCAUUUGAGAUGUUCCAGGAGUUGGAGUUUAUCUUUCAGAAGAACGCCCGGAUCGAGAGGUAUGAGACCUCCGAUAAAUUCUAUGCUUGCAAGAUGGAGGAAAACUCGUCUGUGAGUGAACAUGUGCUCAAAAUGUCUGGGUACUCAAACCGUCUAGCUGAGCUGGGGAUUGAACUCCCGCAAGAAGCUAUCACUGACAGAAUCCUUCAAUCACUGCCGCCAAGCUACAAAGGCUUUGUGUUGAACUACAACAUGCAAGGGAUGAACAAGUCUCCCGGCGAGAUGUUUGCGAUGUUGAAAGUCGCAGAGUCUGAACUCCGUAAAGAGCAUCAAGUGUUGAUGGUGAAUAAGACCACUAGUUUCAAGAGAAACGGCAAAGCCAAGAAGGGAAAUUCGAAGAAGAGCGGCAAGCAUGUUGCCAAUCCGCCGAAGAAACCCAAAGCUGGACCUAAGCCUGAAACGGAGUGCUACUAUUGCAAGGGUAUGGGUCACUGGAAGCGCAAUUGCCCCAAGUAUCUCGCAGAUAAGAAGGCGGGCAAAGAAAAAUCAGGUAUAUUUGAUAUACAUGUUAUUGAUGUGUACCUAACCGGCUCUCGUAGUAGUGCCUGGGUAUUCGAUACCGGUUCUGUUGCUCAUAUUUGCAACUCGAAACAGGAACUGCGCCCCCCCCGAAGGCUGGCGAAAGAUGAAGUGACGAUGCGCGUAGGAAAUGGUUCCAAGGUUGAUGCAAUCGCCGUCGGCACAGUAUCACUUCAUCUACCGUCAAGAUUAGUGAUGAACUUAAAUCAUUGUUAUUUAGUGCCUGCGUUGAGCAUGAACAUUAUAUCUGGAUCUUGUUUAUUGCGAGAUGGUUACUCUUUUAAGUCAGAGAAUAAUGGUUGUUCUAUUUCUAUGAGUAACAUCUUUUAUGGUCAUGCACCGAAUGUGAGAGGAUUGUUCAUAUUGAAUCUUGAUAGCGAUACGCAUAUACAUAACAUUGAGACCAAAAGAGUUAGAGUAAACAAUGAUAGCGCCAUAUUUUAGUGGCACUGCCGCUUGGGUCAUAUUGGUGUAAAGCGCAUGAAGAAACUCCAUGCUGAUGGACUUUUGGAGUCACUUGACUUUGAUUCACUUCACACAUGCGAACCAUGCCUCAUGGGCAAAAUGACUAAGACUCCGUUCUCCGGAACAAUGGAGCGUGCAAGUGACUUAUUUGAAAUCAUACUUACCGAUGUGUGUGGUCCGGUGAGCAUGGAGGCACGCGGCGGAUAUCGUUAUUUUCUCACCUUCACUGACGAUUUGAGUAGGUAUGGCUAUGUCUACUUGAUGAAGCACAAGUCUGAAACAUUUGAAAAGUUCAAGCAAUUUCAGAGUGAAGUGGAAAAUCAUCGUAACAAGAAGAUCAAGUUCCUACGGUCUGAUCGUGGGGGUGAAUAUCUGAGUUUCGAGUUUGGUGAUCACUUAAGAAAAUGUGGAAUGUUUUCACAGUUGACACCGCCUGGAACACCACAGCGUAAUGGUGUGUCCGAACGUCGUAAUCGUGCUUUGUUAGAGAUGGUGCCAUCUAUGAUGUCUCUUACUGAUUUGCCGUUAUCAUUUUGGGGUUAUGCAUUAGAAACAGCUGCAUUCACUUUAAAUAGGGCACCAUCAAAAUCCGUUGAGACGACACCAUACGAAGUGUGGUAUGGCAAAAGGCCAAAGUUGUCGUUUCUUAAAGUUUGGGGAUGUGAUGCUUAUGUCAAAAAGCUUCAGCUUGGAAAGCUGGAACCCAAAGUGGAAAUGUGCGUCUUCAUAGGUUACCCAAAAGAGACAGUUGGGUACACCUUCUAUCUCAAAUCCAAGGGCAAAGUGUUUGUUGCUAAGAACGGAGCUUUUCUCGAGAAGGAGUUUCUCUCGAGAGAAUUGAGUGGGAGGAAGAUAGAACUUGACGAAGUUGUCGAACCUCUCAUCCCCCUGGAUGGUGGCGCGGGGCAAGGGGAAACCUCUGUCGUUGCUACGCCGGUUGAGGAGGAAGUUAAUGAUGAUGAUCAUGAAACUCCAGUUCAAGUUUCUGUUGAACCACGCAGGUCGACGAAAUCACGUGCUGCUCCAGAGUGGUACGGUAAUCCCGUCUUAUCAAUCAUGUUGUUAGACAACAAUGAACCUGCAAAUUAUGAAGAAGCAAUGGUGGGCCCAGAUUCCAACAAAUGGCUAGAAGCCAUGAAGUCCGAGAUAGGAUCCAUGUAUGAGAACAAAGUGUGGACUUUGGAGAUACUACCUGAGGGCCGCAAGGCUANNNNNNNNNNNNNNNNNNNNNNNNNNNNNNNNNNNNNNNNNNNNNNNNNNNNNNNNNNNNNNNNNNNNNNNNNNNNNNNNNNNNNNNNNNNNNNNNNNNNCUUUCAAAAAANAACUUACGGCACUGGUGCAUUGGUCUGCAACACCUUGGUGCUUGAGCUUGCAUGUCGCAUGCAAGCGACGCCUCCCGGUCGGCCCACUACAGCAGCAGCCCAAGACCUUGCAGCAUCUAGGGUGUCAUGGAUGUGGACACACCAGUUAACUUCGGCAAAGAUUAACUUGGGGCUAUGAACGAUCAUUUAGUUAUUCUUUGCCGGAAAAGCAUCAUUUAGUUAACUCGACAACCACCUGUCAAGCUCGAGGCCAAUGGGGUUGGGUUGGUUGACUUAGAAGUUGUGGAUAUUUGACUUCCAUGUGCUGGUCAACAUUCCAUUAAGUUUUUUUUUUGGAAAUUCUAGACAUAUCUAUCGUUGGCUCGUACAAAAACUAAAAAAUCACUUCAUGUUAGGGUAUGGAUAGCACGGUAGCAUCCAAAGUGCUUGCAACACUAUGACUGAUCUGUGUUUGCGCCUUAAUAAAUGCUUUGUGUAGAUGCUUCAAUAAUGAUAAAAUGAGACCUCAUAUUUGGUGCAAGUCGGCGUCAAAUAGUGGAGGACACGCCUGAAGCCGGGUGCAAAUGGGCCAGCCCUAUCUAACGAGUUCACUUGACUUGUUUUCUUUGUGUGUGUUGUUUUACUUUUUCUUAUGUAGUUUUUCCAUAAAACCUGUCGUUGGAUUAUUUUUAUGAAUCUAAGUAAUUAAAACCUAUUUAUAAAAAAUAUUAAAAAAUAUGUGUGUGUUUAGAAAAGUUCAAUGGGCAUUAAAAAAGUAUUCAGAGCAUAUUAAAAUUUGUGUGCCCUAAAACAUCACUCUAUAGAAAACUUUCAAUGCACUCCCUCCAUUCCUAAAUAUUUGUUUUUUCAGAGGUUUCACUAUGAACUACAUACGGAUGUAUGUAGACACAAUUUAGAAUAUAGAUUCAUUCGUUUUGCUUUGCAUGUAGUCCAUAAUUGAAUCUCUAAAAAGGCGAACACGAGUAUUUAGGAACGGAUGGAGUAUUAAAUAAAUUUUCAGUGUGUAUUUAGAAAAUUGUUCACCAUAUAUUAGAAAAUGUUGAUAGUGUAGAAAACUAUAAAAGAAUAAUGGUGCAAAUAUAAAAACUUAAGUCGGGCUUUGGUCCUUCAUUCAUAUGCGGCCCAGUUAUCAUCCCCAAAUCCAAGCACUGGACUUGGGCUGUUCAGGAUUGUGAAAGUAGGCCUAAUAUCUAUCUGUAGCCGGACACCCGAGAGGCUCGACCAUCAACUUGGGUCCGGCCCCAGCGAUCAAAUGAAAGAAUUCCUUCUCUCUCAAAAAAAAAUUGAAAGAAUUCCUGAAUAGGAAGCCCAUCGGGCAACCUAUCUUCCCUCACCCCCCCCCCCCCCCAAAAAAAAACCUGUCCAGAGCAUUUGUGUGCACUAGGUGCGUACCAAAUGCAAGGCCACAUCACUGGAACCUUCUAGAACCAUGGAGUUAUUCGCUGAUGAAAGCGGUGGUAGGUAUAUCUGCCUAUACGAUGAGCUUAAAGAGUGUCUACACACGCAAAGCGUCCUUCUAAUCCCGAGCUCAAAUGCUCCAGUAAAAGUUUUGAACGGGCCUGCUCCCUGGUCGCAAAUCGAAGAGCUUGGUGCAAGUUAUUUCCUCCCACCCUUAUAGUGCCUUCACCUAAGGACACAACCUACCGAAGAGAGCCCGGGCUCCGGACACUUGGCACGUUUCAUCUACCGCCCAAAACCGCAAAAUGCAGCAUCAAAAUCUUGGCAGAGAGGCCCGAGAAUGUCGCCAAAAAAUCGAAGAAAAAGGCACAGCCUGCGGUCACGCGUGGCCGACGUCGACUAAGAUUCAUAACACGAGAGCCGCCAAAACGGGAACCCCUGGCCACCAUGCAGCUGCAGGGAGGGCAACAAUCCCAUUCCCACGGGAUCGCAACCUUUGUCCCCACGUCUCACGGACGCGUCGUCCAGAGCCUCGGACCAUCUCUCGCCCGUCAGCCACAGCCCCCAAAGCCAAAGCCAAAGCCCAGCAUGAGCAAGCCACCAAACGUACCCCUUCCACGAGCCAUAAAGCAAAAAAGGCCCCACAAACAUCACACGCACGGACGGGCACCACGGAGCCGUAGCAUCGAGCGAAAUGCACGGCCCAAGACGGAAAAACAAAAGGAAGGAGAAACGGAAUCCGCCAACGCGNNNNNNNNNNNNNNNNNNNNNNNNNNNNNNNNNNNNNNNNNNNNNNNNNNNNNNNNNNNNNNNNNNNNNNNNNNNNNNNNNNNNNNNNNNNNNNNNNNNNAUGUGAACUAGAUUAUUGACUCUAGUGCAAGUGGGAGACUGUUGGAAAUAUGCCCUAGAGGCAAUAAUAAAUUAGUUAUUAUUAUAUUUCUUAGUUCAUGAUAAUCAUUUAUUAUCCAUGCUAUAAUUGUAUUGAUUGGAAACACAAUACUUGUGUGGAUACAUAGACAAAACACUGUCCCUAGUAAGCCUCUAGUUGACUAGCUCGUUGAUCAAAGAUGGUCAAGGUUUCCUGGGGGGGGGGGGGGGGGGGCACUUGAUAACGGGAUCACAUCAUUAGGAGAAUCAUGUGAUGGACUAGACCCAAACUAAUAGACGUAGCAUGUUGAUUGUGUCAUUUUGUUGGUACUGUUUUCUGUGUGUCAAGUAUUUGUUCCUAUGACCAUGAGAUCAUAUAACUCACGGACACCAGAGGAAUGCUUUAUGUGUAUCAAACAUCGCAACGUAACUGGGUGACUAUAAAGAUGCUCUACAGGUAUCUCCGAAGGUGUUCGUUGAGUUAGUAUGNNNNNNNNNNNNNNNNNNNNNNNNNNNNNNNNNNNNNNNNNNNNNNNNNNNNNNNNNNNNNNNNNNNNNNNNNNNNNNNNNNNNNNNNNNNNNNNNNNNNCUCAUGCCACCUGGAACACCACAGUGUAAUGGUGUGUGCGAGUGUUGUAAUCGUACUCUAUUGGAUAUGGUGUGAGCUAUGAUGUCUCUUACUCAUCUGCCACUAUUGUUUUGGGGUUAUGCAUUAGAGACAAAUACAUUCACUUUAAAUAGGGCACCAUCUAAAUCCGUUGAGAUGACACCAUAUGAAAUAUGGUUUGGCAAGAAACCUAAGUUGUCGUUUCUUGAAGUUGAGGGAUGCGAUGCUUAUGUAAAAAGGCUUCAGCUUGAUAAGCUCAAACCCAAAGCGGAGAAGUCUUCUUCAUAGGAUACCCUAAGGAAACAUUUGGGUACACCUUCUAUCUCAGAUUCGAAGGCAAGGUUUUUGUUGCCAAGAAUGGAUCCUUUCUAGAGAAGGUGUUUCUCUCGAAAGAGUUGAGUGGGAGGAACAUAAAACUUGAUGAGGUUGUUAAACCGUCACUUCAAUUGGAGAGUAGCACGACACAUAAAGAUGUUUCUAUGACACCUACACCAAUUUAAGAGGAAGCUAAUUGUUAGAGCAUAUUUCUCUAUAUGUGGUUUUGNNNNNNNNNNNNNNNNNNNNNNNNNNNNNNNNNNNNNNNNNNNNNNNNNNNNNNNNNNNNNNNNNNNNNNNNNNNNNNNNNNNNNNNNNNNNNNNNNNNNACAACACUCGCACACACCAUUACACUGUGGUGUUCCAGGUGGCAUGAGUGGGAGUUUAGCAUAUAAUUUGAUUAAGUUGAACUCUAAUUAUCUUGAACAUAGCCUAAGUCCACUUUGAAUAUAUUUGUGUUGUAGAUCAUGGCUCACGCGCUAGUCAUCCUGAAUUUUAAUACGUUCCUAGAGAAAGCUAAGUUGAGAGAUGAUGGAAGCAACUUUGUAGACUGGGCACGUAAUCUUAAGCUAAUCUUAAAAGCUGGGAAGAAGGAUUAUGUCCUUAAUGCUGCGCUAGGAGAUGAACCACCCGCUACGGCUGAUCAGGAUGUUAAGAACGCUUGGUUAGCACGUAAGGAGUACUACUCAAUAGUUCAAUGUGCAGUCUUGUAUGGCUUAGAACCGGGACUUCAACGUCGCUUUGAGCGUCAUGGAGCAUUUGAGAUGUUCCAGGAGUUGGAGUUUAUCUUUCAGAAGAAUGCCCGGAUCGACAGGUAUGAGACCUCCGAUAAAUUCUAUGCUUGCAAGAUGGAGGAAAACUCGUCUGUGAGUGAACAUGUGCUCAAAAUGUCUGGGUACUCAAACCGUCUAGCUGAGNNNNNNNNNNAGCUAUCACUGACAGAAUCCUUCAAUCACUGCCGCCAAGCUACAAAGGCUUUGUGUUGAACUACAACAUGCAAGGGAUGAACAAGUCUCCCGGCGAGAUGUUUGCGAUGUUGAAAGUCGCAGAGUCUGAACUCCGUAAAGAGCAUCAAGUGUUGAUGGUGAAUAAGACCACUAGUUUCAAGAGAAACGGCAAAGCCAAGAAGGGAAAUUCGAAGAAGAGCGGCAAGCAUGUUGCCAAUCCGCCGAAGAAACCCAAAGCUGGACCUAAGCCUGAAACNNNNNNNNNNNNNNNNNNNNNNNNNNNNNNNNNNNNNNNNNNNNNNNNNNNNNNNNNNNNNNNNNNNNNNNNNNNNNNNNNNNNNNNNNNNNNNNNNNNNUUAUUAUUGCCUCUAGGGCAUAUUUCCAACAGUCUCCCACUUGCACUAGAGUCAAUAAUCUAGUUCACAUCACCAUGUGAUUUCAACGAAUCCGACACCCAUAUAGUUCUGGGGUCUGAUCACGUCUUGCUCGUGAGAGAGGUUUUAGUCAAUGGUUCUGAAACUUUCAGAUCCGUGUGUUCUUUACAAAUCUUUAUGUCAUCUUAUAGAUGCUGCUACUACGUGCUAUUCGGAAAUUCUCCAAAUAUCUACUCUACUAUACGAAUCCAUUUCACUACUCAUAGUUAUUCGGAUUAGUGUCAAAGCUUGCAUCGACGNNNNNNNNNNCCAACGAAUCCAACACCCAUAUAGUUAUGGGGUCUGAUCACGUCUUGCUCGUGAGAGAGGUUUUAGUCAACGGUUCUGAAACUUUCAGAUCCGUGCGUUCUUUACUAAUAUUUAUGUCAUCUUAUAGAUGCUGCUACUACGUGCUAUUCGGAAAUGCUCCAAAUAUCUACUCUACUAUACGAAUCCGUUUCACUACUCAUAGUUAUUCGGAUUAGUGUCANNNNNNNNNNNNNNNNNNNNNNNNNNNNNNNNNNNNNNNNNNNNNNNNNNNNNNNNNNNNNNNNNNNNNNNNNNNNNNNNNNNNNNNNNNNNNNNNNNNNNNNNNNNNNNUUCAAUAACCUCAUCAAGUUCUACUACCCUCCCACUCAAUUCUUUCGAGAGAAACCUUUCCUCGAGAAAGGAUCCGUUUCUAGAAACAAACACUUUGCUUUCGGAUCUGAGAUAGGAGAUGUACCCAACUGUUUUGGAUAUCCUAUGAAGAUGCAUUUAUCCGCUUUGGGUUCGAGCUUAUCAGACUGAAACUUUUUCACAUAAGUGUCGAAACCCCAAACUUUCAAGAAACGACAGUAUAGAUUUCUCUAAACCUCAGUCUAUACUGUGUCAUCUCAACGGAAAUACGCGGUGCCCUAUUUAAAGUGAGUGCGCUUGUCUCUAAUGCAUAACCCAUAAAUGAUAGUGGUAAUUCGAUAAGAGACAUCAUAGUAUGUACCAUACCAAAUAGUGCGUGGCUAUGACGUUCAGACACAUCAUCACACUAUGAUGUUCCAGGUGGCAUGAACUGCGAAACAAUUUCCACAUUGUCUUAACUGCGUACCAAAACUCGUAACUCAGAUAUUCAUUUCUAUGAUCAUAUCCUAGACAGUUUAUCCACUUGUUACGACGAACUUCACUCUGAAACGGAUUUGAACUUUUCAACAUUUCAGACUUGUGAUUCAUUAAGUAAAUACUCCUGUAUCUACUCAAAUCGUCAGUGAAGUAAGAACAUAAUGAUAUCCACUACGUGCCUCAGCACCCAUUGGACUGCAUACAUCAAAAUGUAUCACUUCCAACAAGUUACUAUCUUAUUUCAUCUCAAUGAAAACAAGGCCUUGCUCAUGUGGUAUGAUUUGCAUGUCACUAGUGAUUCAAAAUCAAGUGAGUAUAAAGAUCCAUCAGCAUGGAGCCUCUUUAUGCAAUUUAUACCAACAUGACUCAAGCGGCAGUGCCACAAGUAAGUGGUACUAUCAUCAUUACCUCGUAUCUUUUGGCACCAAUAUUAUGAACAUGUGUAACACUACGAUCGAGAUUCAAUAAACCAUUGAAGGUGAUUAGUCAAGCAAAUAGAGUAACCAUUAUUCUCUUUAAAUGAAUAAUCGUAUUGCAAUAAACACGAUCCAAUCAUAUUCAUGCUUAACGCAAGCACCAAAUAACAAUUAUUUAGGUUUAACACCNNNNNNNNNNNNNNNNNNNNNNNNNNNNNNNNNNNNNNNNNNNNNNNNNNNNNNNNNNNNNNNNNNNNNNNNNNNNNNNNNNNNNNNNNNNNNNNNNNNNCAAAACGUCUUCUGCGCCUUGCUUCUAAGACAUUAAGUAUUUUGCACUGAACUAUCGUGUAGUCAUCAGAAACGUGUAUGUCGGAUGUUCACAACAUCUACAGACGACGCUCGAGGUGCAGCACACCGAGUGGUGCAUUAAGGACAUAAGCCUUCUGCGCAGCAACGAGGACAAUCCUCGGUUUUACAGACCCAGUCUGCAAAGUUUGCUACUAUCAACUUUCAACUAAAUUUUCUCUAGGAACAUAUNNNNNNNNNNUUAACAAGGGCACAAGCAUGAAAUCACAAUUUCAUCUCUUUAGAACAUCACUUAUGUUCCGUGACGUUUUACAACGUUUUCGGCGCCUUGCUUCUAAGCCAUUAAGUAUUUUGCACUGAACUAUCGUGUAGUCAUCAGAAACGUGUAUGUCGGAUGUUCAUAGCAUCCACAGACGACGCUCUAGGUGCAGCACACCGAGUGGUGCAUUAAGGAUAUAAGCCUUCUGCGUAGCAACAAGGACAAUCCUCGGUUUUACAGACUCAGUCUGCAAAGUUUGCUACUAUCAAUUUUCAACUAAAUUUUCUCUAGGAACAUAUAAAAACAGUAGAGCUAUAGCGCAAGCUACAUCGUAAUUCGCAAAGACCAUUAGACUAUGUUCAUGACAAUUAGUUCAAUUAAUCAUAUUACUUAAGAACUCCCACUCAAAAAGUACAUCUCUCUAGUCAUUUGAGUGGUACAUGAUCCAAAUCCACUAUCUCAAGUCCGAUCAUCACGUGAGUCGAGAAUAGUUUCAGUGGUAAGCAUCUCUAUGCUAAUCAUAUCAACUAUACGAUUCAUGCUCGACCUUUUGGUCUCAUGUGUUUUGAGGCCAUGUCUGCACAUGCUAGGCUCGUCAAGCUUAACCCGAGUGAUCCGCGUGUGCAACUGUUUUGCACCCGUUCUAUGUGAACGUUGAGUCUAUCACACCCGAUCAUCACGUGGUGUCUCGAAACGACGAACUGUAGCAACGGUGCACAGUCGGGGAGAACACAAUUUCAUCUUGAAAUUUUAGUGAGAGAUCACCNNNNNNNNNNAGAAUUGUCGCAACGGUGCACAGUCGGGGAGAACACAAUUUCGUCUUGAAAUUUUAGUGAGAGAUCACCUCAUAAUGCUACCGUCGUUCUAAGCAAAAGAAGGUGUAUAAAAGGAUUAACAUCACAUGCAAUUCAUAAGUGACAUGAUAUGGCCAUCAUCACGUGCUUCUUGAUCUCCAUCACCAAAACACCUGGCACGAUCUUCUUUUCACCGGCGCCACACCAUGAUCAUCCAUCAACGUGUUGCCAUCGGGGUUGUCGUGCUACUCAUGCUAUUACNNNNNNNNNNUGAAAUUUCAGUGAGAGAUCACCUCAUAAUGCUACCGUCGUUCUAAGCAAAACAAGGUGCAUAAAAGGAUUAACAUCACAUGCAAUUCAUAAGUGACAUGAUAUGGCCAUCAUCACGUGCUUCUUGAUCUCCAUCACCAAAGCACCGACACGAUCUUCUUGUCAUCGGCGCCACACCAUGAUCUUCCAUCAACGUGUUGCCAUCGGGGUUGUCGUGCUACUCAUGCUAUUACNNNNNNNNNNNNNNNNNNNNNNNNNNNNNNNNNNNNNNNNNNNNNNNNNNNNNNNNNNNNNNNNNNNNNNNNNNNNNNNNNNNNNNNNNNNNNNNNNNNNNNNNNNNNNNNNNNNNNNNNNNNNNNNNNNNNNNNNNNNNNNNNNNNNNNNNNNNNNNNNNNNNNNNNNNNNNNNNNNNNNNNNNNNNNNNNNNGAUAUUUCUAUUACAACAUGAUCAUCUCAUACAUCCAAUAUAUCACAUCACAUCGUUGGCCAUAUCACAUCACAAGCAUACCCUGCAAAAACAAGUUAGUCGUCCUCUAAUUGUUGUUGCAUGUUUUACGUGGUGACCAUGGGUAUCUAGUAGGAUCACAUCUUACUUACGCAAACACCACAACGGAGAUAUAUGAAUUGCUAUUUAACCUUAUACAAGGACCUCCUCGGUCAAAUCCGAUUCAACUAAAGUUGGAGAAACCGACACUUGACAGUCAUCUUUGAGCAACGGGGUUACUCGUAGCGAUGAAACCAGUCUCUCGUAAGCGUACGAGUAAUGUCAGUCCAAGCCACUUCAAUCCAACAAUACCGCGGAAUCAAGAAAAGACUAAGGAGGGCAGNNNNNNNNNNGCACGAUCUUCUUGUCACCGGCGUCACACCAUGAUCUCCAUCAUCAUGAUCUCCAUCAACGUGUCGCCAUCGGGGUGGUCGUGCUACUCAUGCUAUUACUACUAAAGCUACAUCCUAGCAAAAUAGUAAACGCAUCUGCAAGCACAAACGUUAGUUAUAAAGACAACCCUAUGGCUCCUGCCGGUUGCCGUACCAUCGACGUGCAAGUCNNNNNNNNNNNNNNNNNNNNNNNNNNNNNNNNNNNNNNNNNNNNNNNNNNNNNNNNNNNNNNNNNNNNNNNNNNNNNNNNNNNNNNNNNNNNNNNNNNNNNNNNNNNNNNNNNNNNNNNNNNNNNNNNNNNNNNNNNNNNNNNNNNNNNNNNNNNNNNNNNNNNNNNNNNNNNNNNNNNNNNNNNNNNNNNNNNNNNNNNNNNNNNNNNNNNUUUUGUUGUUGCAAGUUUUACGUGGUGACCAUGGGUAUCUAGUAGGAUCGCAUCUUACUUACGCAAACACCACAACGGAGAUAUAUGAGUUGCUAUUUAACCUCAUCCAAGGACCUCCUCGGUAAAAUCCGAUUCAACUAAAGUUGGAGAAACCGACACUUUCCAGUCAUCUUUGAGCAAAGGGGGUCACUCGUAACGAUGAAACCAGUCUCUCGUAAGCGUACGAGUAAUGUCGGNNNNNNNNNNAAUAUUAACUAUUACAACAUGAUCAUCUCAUACAUCCAAUAUAUUAGAUCACAUCGUUGGCCUUAUCACAUCACAAGCAUACCCUGCAAAAACAAGUUAGACGUCCUCUAANNNNNNNNNNCCAGUCAUCUUUGAGCAAAGGGGGUUACUCGUAACGAUGAAACCAGUCUCUCGUAAGCGUACGAGUAAUGUCGGUCCAAGCCGCUUCAAUCCAACAAUACCGCGGAAUCAAGAAAAGACUAAGGAGGGCAGCAAAGCGCACAUCACCGUCCACAAAAACUUUUGUGUUCUACUCGAGAAGACAUCUACGCAUGAACCUAGCUCAUGAUGCCACUGUUGGGGAACGGCGCAUGGGAAACAAAAAUUUUCCUACGCGCACGNNNNNNNNNNUUGUUGGGGAACGUCGCAAGGGAAACAAAAAAUUUCCUACGCGCACGAAGACCUAUCAUGGUGAUGUNNNNNNNNNNNNNNNNNNNNNNNNNNNNNNNNNNNNNNNNNNNNNNNNNNNNNNNNNNNNNNNNNNNNNNNNNNNNNNNNNNNNNNNNNNNNNNNNNNNNNNNNNNNNNNNNNNNNNNNNNNNNNNNNNNNNNUGUACAGGAGAAGCGUUAGAGAACGCGGUUGAUGUAGUGGAACGUCCUCACGUCCCUCGAUCCGCCCCGCGAACAAUCCCGCGAUCAGUCCCACGAUCUAGUACCGAACGGACGGCACCUCCGCGUUCAGCACACGCACAACUCGACGAUGAUCUUGGCCUUCUUGAUCCAGCAAGAGAGACGGAGAGGUAGAAGAGUUCUCCGNNNNNNNNNNNNNNNNNNNNNNNNNNNNNNNNNNNNNNNNNNNNNNNNNNNNNNNNNNNNNNNNNNNNNNNNNNNNNNNNNNNNNNNNNNNNNNNNNNNNGGUUGGUUACCGAAUGUUGUUCGGAGUCCCGGAUGAGAUCACGGACGUUACGGGGGUUUCCGGAAUGGUCCGGAAAUGAAGAUUGAUAUAUAGGAUGACCUCAUUUGAUUACCGGAAGGUUUUCGGAGUUAUCGGGAAUGACGAAUGGGUUCCGGGAGUUCACCGGGGGGCAACCCACCCCGGGGAAGCCCAUAGGCCUUUGGGGAGACACACCAGCCCUUAGUGGGCGGGUGGGACAGCCCACAAGUGCCCUAUGCGCCAAGGAGAAGAAAAUCAAGAGAGAGAAAAAAAAGGAGGAGGUGGGAAGGAAGGGGGACUCCCUCCCACCAAACCUAGUCCAACUCGGUUNNNNNNNNNNNGGAGUCCUCCCCCCUUGGACUCGGCCAACCCCCUUGGGGCUCCUUGAGCCCCAAGGCAAGGUCCCCUCCCUCCCACCUAUAUAUACGGAGGUUGUAGGGCUGAUUUGAGACGAUUUUUCCACGGCAGCCCGACCACAUACCUCCACGGUUUUCCUCUAGAUCGCGUUUCUGCGGAUUUCGGGCGGAGCCCUGCUAAGACAAGGUCAUCACCAACCUGCAGGAGCACCGUCACGCUGCCGGAGAACUCUUCUACCUCUCCGUCUCUCUUGCUGGNNNNNNNNNNNNNNNNNNNNNNNNNNNNNNNNNNNNNNNNNNNNNNNNNNNNNNNNNNNNNNNNNNNNNNNNNNNNNNNNNNNNNNNNNNNNNNNNNNNNGAUAACAUUAGUACUUGAAAACAAACUACCACUUCUUUUAGUACUGUAGCAAACUUGAAUUAUAUCUAUAUUGAUGAUGGGCUACCGUAUUCUCACUUUUCCAUGGCUAUUACCCCCCGAUACUAACCAUAGUUUCGUCAAAACAAGCAACCAACUCAACAAAAACAGAAUCUGUCAAAAACAGACGAGUCUGUAGCAAUCUGUAUACUUCGUAUACUUCUGGUACCUCAACAAAUCUGAAAGCUUACUACAGCCUGGGAAAAACGCAUAUCAAUCAGCAGAAAAAAGAAUCAACUCAAAAUCUCUUUCUGAAUAAAAAUGAAAAAUCAUCUCGUGAGCGAAAAGUUUUUGUCUUUUUCCAGCAGGAUCAAACAACCAUGACCAAGACUAGUCAUAAAGGCUUUGCUUGGCUCAAACACAAAAAGAAACACAAAAAACACAAUCACAACAAAAUUAUGAAAUGUAGACACAACAAAACAAAAAGAAAAAGAUAAAUUCUUUGGGUUGCCUCCCAACAAGCGCUAUUGUUUAACGCCCCUAGCCAGGCAUAAAAGCGAUAGAAUAACGUAUCGUCAUCUUUGCUGCUCAAACCAUAAGUGACGUGAUCACUUAUCAUCUUAAGGUUUUCAUCUUUCUUGCUGGAUGAUUUACCACUACUUUUAGGAACAAAUACAAACUUGGUGAUUUCAUUGUGGGCAAAAUUUGGAGUAUUCUGCACAGCGGCAAAAGCAGAACCCAAGUUGGUUAUAACAUCCUCUAGUUUGCCAAUCCUAGCGGAAUCAUGACCUAGCUUUUCGUUAACUGUGGGUUCCUUCUCCUUUAAAUUUUUCAAAUCCAUUCCCACCUUGGAUCCGUACUGAGUGAUUUGAUUGUGGAUCUUUUUUUCCAAAUUCUCAAUGAGUUCAAUCCUAGCAAGUUUAUUUUCAAUAACGUCCAGCCUACGCAUCACAUGUUCCAGAGUUAAGGUAGUUCCAUUAACCAAGAGUGGGGGUGAGCCUACCAGAUUUAUCACAGCUCUGUAAGAAUCAACGGUAUGGCUACCCAAGAAAUUUCCACCUGCGAUGGUGUCAAGAAUAUACCUAUUGCAAGGAGAAACACCCACAUAAAAACUGCGAAGCAAGAGGGUAGUGGAUUGCUUAUGCGUAGAUCUACUCUGAGCGUUGCAAAUCCUAUACCAAGCAUCCUUUAAGUUUUCUUCCUCAAUUUGUUUGAAAUUAAGGACUUCGCUAUCGGGAGUAUCGUUUGAAGUGGUGGAUCUAGCCAUCAGGAUAGACUAUCCCACACAGACGAGCAAAAAGCAAGCGAGAGAAAAGGGCAAACAAAAAAGGCAAACGAAAAAGGCAAUUGGUGAAGUGGGGGAGAGGAAAACGAGAGGCAACUGGCAAACAAAGUAAAUGAAAGAGAUGAGUUUGCGACACCUACUUGGAUGAGUUCUUGACUUGAUCUUCCUCCCCGACAACAGCGCUAGAAAUUCUUCUGCUACGGUAACAAAAGUCCUUCCUUGGCACUAGNNNNNNNNNNNNNNNNNNNNNNNNNNNNNNNNNNNNNNNNNNNNNNNNNNNNNNNNNNNNNNNNNNNNNNNNNNNNNNNNNNNNNNNNNNNNNNNNNNNNUCGUUUCGAGACACCACGUGAUGAUCGGGUGUGAUAGACUCAACGUUCACAUACAACGGGUGCAAAACAGUUGCGCACGCGGAACACUCGGGUUAAGCUUGACGAGCCUAGCAUGUGCAGACAUGGCCUCGGAACACAUGAGACCGAAAGGUCGAUCAUGAAUCAUAUAGUUGAUAUGAUUAGCAUAGGGAUGCUUACCACUGAAACUAUACUCAACUCACGUGAUGAUCGGACUUGGGAUAGUGUAAGUGGAUCACGAACCACUCAAAUGACUAGAGAGAUGUACUUUUUGAGUGGGAGUUUAGCAUAUAAUUUGGUUAAGUUGAACUCUAAUUAUCUUGAACAUAGUCUAAGUCCACUUUGAAUAUAUUUGUGUUGUAGAUCAUGGCUCACGCGACAGUCAUCCUGAAUUUUAAUACGUUCCUAGAGAAAGCUAAGUUGAAAGAUGAUGGAAGCAACUUUGUAGACUGGGCUCGUAAUCUUAAGUUGCUCUUGCAAGCUGGGAAGAAGGAUUAUGUNNNNNNNNNNNNNNNNNNNNNNNNNNNNNNNNNNNNNNNNNNNNNNNNNNNNNNNNNNNNNNNNNNNNNNNNNNNNNNNNNNNNNNNNNNNNNNNNNNNNCCAAUAUGGGCAUCCAGGUCCCGCUAUUGGAUAUUGACCGAGGAGUACCUCGGGGCAUGUCUACAUAGUUCUCGAACCCGCAGGGUCUGCACACUUAAGGUUCGACGUUGUUUUAUGCGUAUUUGAGUUAUAUGGUUGGUUACCGAAUGUUGUUCGGAGUCCCAGAUGAGAUCACGGACGUUACGAGGGUUUCCGGAAUGGUCCGGAGACGAAGAUUGAUAUAUAGGAUGACCUCAUUUGAUUACCGGAAGGUUUUNNNNNNNNNNCCGGAAACGAAGAUUGAUAUAUAGGAUGACCUCAUUUGAUUACCGGAAGGUUUUCGGAGUUACCGGGAAUGUACCGGGAAUGACGAAUGGGUUCCGGGAGUUCACCGGGGGGGGCAACCGACCCCGGGGAAGCCCAUAGGCCUUGGGGGAGACACACAAGCCCUUAGUGGGCUGGUGGGACAGCCCACAAGUGCCCUAUGCGCCAAGGAGAAGAAAAUCAANNNNNNNNNNACGAAUGGGUUCCGGGAGUUCACCGGGGGGGGCAACCCACCCCGGGGAAGCCCAUAGGACUUGGGGGAGACACACCAGCCCUUAGUGGGCUGGUGAGACAACCCACAAGUGCCCUAUGCGCCAAGGAGAAGAAAAUCAAGAGAGAAAGAAAAAAAAAGGAGGAGAUGGGAAGGAAGGGGGACUCCCUCCCACCAAACCUAGUCCAACUCGGUUNNNNNNNNNNUCGAAAACGAAGAUUGAUAUAUAGGAUGACCUCAUUUGAUUACCGGAAGGUUNNNNNNNNNNNNNNNNNNNNNNNNNNNNNNNNNNNNNNNNNNNNNNNNNNNNNNNNGACCUUAGUGGGCUGGUGGGACAGCCCAAGAAGGUCCUAUGCGCCAUAGGAAGAAAAUCAAAGAGAAAAAGAAAAAAAAGAGGAGGUGGGAAAAAGGGGAAGGACUCCACCUUCAAAACNNNNNNNNNNGGUGCACCAGCCCUUAGUGGGCUGGUGAGACAGCCCAAGAAGGCCCUAUGCGCCAUAGGAAGAAAAUCAAAGAGACAAAGAAAAAAAAAGAGGAGGUGGGAAAAAGGGGAAGGACUCCACCUUCAAAACCUAGUUGGAUUCGGUUUGGAAGGGAAGGACUCCCCCCCUUGGCUCGGCCGACCCCCUUGGGGCUCCUUGAGCCUCAAGGCAAGGACCCCCCCUCUCCUACCUGUAUAUACGGAGGUUUUAGGGCUGAUUUGAGACAACUUUUGUCACGGCAGCCCGACCACAUACCUCCACGGUUUUUCCUCUAGAUCGUGUNNNNNNNNNNUCUCCCACCUAUAUAUACGGAGGUUUUAGGGCUGAUUUGAGACAACUUUUGCCACGGCAGCCCGACCACAUACCUCCACGGUUUUUCCUCUAGAUCAUGUUUCUGCGGAGCUCAGGCGGAGCCCUGCUGAGAUUAGAUCACCACCAACCUCCGGAGCACCGUCACGCUGCCGGAGAAGUCAUCUACCUCUCUGUCUCUCUUGCUGGAUCAAGAAGGCCGAGAUCAUCAUUGAAAUGUACGUGUGCUGAACGCGGAGGUGCCGUCCGUUCGGCACUAGAUCGGAGCGGAUCGUGGGACGGAUCGCGGGACGGUUCGUGGGACGGUUCGCGGGGCGGAUCGAGGGACGUGAGGACGUUCCACUACANNNNNNNNNNUUAACGCUUCUGCUGUGCGAUCUACAAGGGUACGUAGAUAGUAAAUCCCCUCUCGUAGAUGGACAUCACCAUGAUAGGUCUUCGUGCGCGUAGGAAAUUUUUUGUUUCCCAUGCGACGUUCCCCAACAGUAUGGUGGAAGGUUUCAAAGUGUUCCAGGAGUGGAACACUAGACACUGGUCAAAAAUUGUUGGAGAACGUUGCAUGGGAAACAAAAAAAAUUCCUACACACACGAAGAUCUAUCAUGGUGAUGUACAUCUACGAGAGGAGAUUUGGAUCUACGUACCCUUGUAGAUCGCACCAUCUCUGAUAAAGUACGAUUACGACGUUCGGACACACCAUUACGCUAUGGUGUUCCAGGCGGUGUCAACUGUGAAACAAUUCCACAUUGUUUUAAGUGAGCACCAAACCCGAAACUCAGAUAUUCACCCCCACGAUCAGACCAUAGGAACUUGAUCUUCUUGUUAUGAUGAUUUUCAACCUCACUCUGAAAUUGCUUGAACUCCUCAAACGUUUCAGACUUGUGCUUCAUCGAGUAGACAUAACCAUAUCUACUCAAAUCGUCAGUGAAGGUUAGAAAAUAACGAUAUCCGCCGAACGCCUCCACACUCAUCGGACCGCAUACAUCGGUAUGUAUGAUUUCCAACAAGUCACUUGCACGCUCCAUUGUUCCGGAAAACGAAGUCUUAGUCAUCUUGCCCAUGAGGCAUGGUUCGCACGUGUCAAGUGAAUCAAAGUCAAGUGACUCCAAAAGUCCAUCGGUAUGGAGUUUCUUCAUGCGCUUUACACCAAUAUGACCUAAGCGGCAGUGCUAUAAAACAUGGCGCUAUCAUUGUUAACUCUAACUCUUUUGGUCUCAAUGUUCUGUAUAUGUGUAUCAUCGCUAUCAGGAUUCAAUAUGAACAAUGCUCUCACAUUUGGUGCAUGACCAUAAAAGAUAGUACUCAUAGAAAUAGAACAACCAUUAUUCUGUGACUUAAACGAGUAACCGUCUCGCAAUAAACAAGAUCCAGAUAUAAUUUUAUGCUUAACGCACGCACUAAAUAACAAUUAUUUAAGUUCAAAACUAAUCCUGAUGGUAACUGAAGUGAAACUGUGCUGACGGUGAUUGCAUCAACCUUGGAACCAUUUCCCACGCGCAUCGUCACUUCAUCCUUUGCCAACCUUCGCUUAUUCCGCAGUUCCUGUUUCGAGUUGCAAAUAUGAGCAACAGAACCGGUAUCGAAUACCCAGACACUACUACGAGAGCUGGUUAAGUACACAUCAAUAACAUGUAUACCGAAUAUACCUGAUUUUUCCUUGGCCGCCUUCUUAUCAGCCAGAUACUUGGGGCAGUUGCGCUUCCAGUGACCCAGACCCUUGCAAUAAUAACACUCCGUUUCAGGCUUAGGUCCUGCUUCGGGUUUCUUCGUCGGAUUGGCAACAGGCGUGCCGCUCUUCUUUAAAUUACCCUUCUUUCCUUUGCCGUUUCUCUUGAAACUAGUGGUCUUAUUUACCAUCAACACUUGAUGCUCUUUACGGAGUUCUGACUCUGCGACUUUCAGCAUCGCGAAUAACUCGUCGGGUGACUUAUUCAUCCCUUGCAUGUUAUAGUUUAACACAAAGCUCUUGUAGCUUGGCUGCAGUGAUUGAAGAAUUCUGUCAGUGCUAGCCUCUUGCGGGAGUUCAAUCCCCAGCUCAGCUAGACGGUUUGAGUACCCANNNNNNNNNNGAGAGACGAAUUAUCCUCCAUCUUGCAAGCAUAGAAUUUAUUGGAGGUCUCAUACCUCUCGAUCCGGGCUUUCUUCUCAAAAAUAAACUUCAACUCGUGGAACAUCUCAAAUGCUCCAUGUCUCUCAAAGCGACGUUGAAGUCCCGGCUCUAAGCCAUACAAGACUGCACAUUGAACUACUGAGUAGUCCUCCUUGCGUGCUAACCAGGCGUUCUUAACAUCUUGGUCAGCCGCGGCGGGUGGUUCAUCUCCUAGCACAACAUUAAGGACAUAAUCCUUCUUCCCAGCUUGCAAGAGCAACUUAAGAUUACGAGCCUAGUCUACAAAGUUGCUUCCAUCAUCUUUCAACUUAGCUGUCUCUAGGAACGUAUUAAAAUUCAAGGUGACUCUUGCGUGAGCCAUUGAUCUACAACACAAAUAUUUUCAAAGUGGACUUAGACUAUGUUCAAGAUAACUAGAGUUUAAGUAAUCAAAUUACUUGCUAAACUCCCACUCAAAAAGUACAUCUCUCUAGUCAUUUGAGUGGUACAUGAUCCAAAUUUACUAACUCAAGUCCGAUCAUCACGUGAGUUGAGGAUAGUUUCAGUGGUAAGCAUCUCUGUGCUAAUCAUAUCAACUGUAUGAUUCAUGCUCGACCUUUUGGUCUCAUGUGUUCUGAGACCAUGUCUGCACAUGCUAGGCUCAUCAAGCUUAACCCGAGUGUUCCGCGUGUGCAACUGUUUUGCACCCGUUGUACGUGAACGUUGAGUCUAUCACACCCGAUCAUCAGAUGGUGUCUCUAAACGACGAACUAUAGCAACGGUGCAUAGUCGGGGAGAACACAAUUUCAUCUUGAAAUUUUAGUGAGAGAUCACCUUAUAAUGCUACCGUCAUUCUAACAAAAAUAAGGUGCAUAAAAGGAUUAACAUCACAUGCAAUUCAUAAGUGGCAUGAUAUGGCCAUCAUCUUGUGCUUGUUGAUCUCCACCACCAAAGCACCGACACGAUCUUCUUGUCACCGGUGCCACACCAUGAUCUCCAUCAACGUGUCACCAUCGGGGUUGUCAUGCUACUUAUGCUAUUACUACUAAAGGUACAUCCUAGCAAUAUAGUAAACACAUCUGCAAACACAAACGUUAGUUUAAAGACAACUCUAUGGCUCCUGCCGCUUGCCGUACCAUCGACGUGCAAGUGGAUAUUAACUAUUACAACAUGAUCAUCUCAUACAACCAAUAUAUCACAUCACGUCAUUGGCCAUACCCUGCAAAAAUAAGUUAGACGUCCUCUAAUUUGUUGUUGCAUGUUUUAUGUGGCUACUAUGGGUAUCUAGUAGAACGCAUCUUACUUACGCAAAAACCACAACGGAGAUGUGCAAAUUGCUAUUUAACCUCUCCAAGGACCGCCUCCGUCAAAACCAAUUCAACAAAAGUUGAAGAAACCGACACCCGCGAGUCAUCUUUAUGCAACGAGGUUGCAUGUCAAUCGAUGAAACUAGUCUUUGGUAAGCGUACGAAUAAUGUCGGUCCGAGCCACUUCAAUCCAACAAUACCGCCGAAUCGAGAAAAGACUAAGGAGGGCAGCAAAUCGAACAUCACCGUCCACAAAACCCUUGGUGUUCUACUCGAGAUAACAUCUACGCAUGAACCUAGCUCAUGAUGCCACUGUUGAAGAACGUUGCAUGGGAAACAAAACAAAUUCAUAUGCACACGAAGACCUAUCAUGGUGAUGUCCAUCUACGAGAGGAGAUUUGGAUAUACAUACCCUUGUAGAUCGCACAACAGGAAGCAUUAAGAAACGUGGUUGAUGUAGUGGAACGUCUUCACGUCCCUCAAUCAAGCCCACGAACCAUCCCACGAACCGUCCUGCGAUCCGUCCCACAAUCCAUUCCGAUCUAGUGCCGAACGGACGUCACCUCCGCGUUCAGCACACGUACAGCUCGACGAUGAUCUCGGCCUUCUUGAUCCAGCAAGCAAGACGGAGAAGUAGAUGAGUUCUCCGGCAGCGUGGCGGUGCUCCGGUGGUGGUGAGGAUCUACUCCUGCAGGGCUCCGCCCGAGCUCCGUAGAAAUACGAUCUAGAGGUAAAACUAUGGUGUCUAGAUCUGAGUUGCACGUGGCAAAAGUUGUCUCAAAUCAGCCCUAGACCACCACUAUAUAUAGGAGGGAGGGGGAGGAGGCUUGCCUUGAGGGUCAAGCCCUGAAGGGUGCAUCGGCCAAGGGAGAGGAGGAGUCCUACUCCAAUCCUAUUCCAAUUAGGAUUGGAAAGUGGAGCCUUCUCUUCCUUCCCACCUCUUUUUUUUCUUCUUUUCUUUGGUUUUCUUUCCUAGCGCAUAGGCCCUCUUGGGCUGUCCCACCAGCUCACUAAGGGCUGGUGCACCACCCCUAGGGCAUUUGGGCUUCCCCCGGGUGGGUUGCCCCCCUCUCGGUGAACUUCUGGAACCCAUUCGUCACUCCCGGUACAAUGCCGGUAAUGCCCGAAAAACUUCCGAUAACCAAAUGAAGUCAUCUUAUAUAUCAAUCAUUGUUUCCCGACCAUUCCGAAAACCCUCGUGACAUCUGUGAUCUCAUCCAGGACUCCGAACAACAUUCGGUAACCACACAUAUAACUCAACUAUACUAAAACAUCGCCGAACCUUAAGUGUGCAGACCCUGCGGGUUCGAGAACUAUGUAGACAUNNNNNNNNNNNNNNNNNNNNNNNNAUCUAAAGAUCUUGUCGGUUGAACCUCAGUGUCAAGGAUUCAUAUAAUCCCGUAUGUCAUUCCCUUUGUCCUUCGGUAUGUUACUUGCCCGAGAUUUCGAUCGUCGGUAUCUGGAUACCUAUUUCAAUCUCGUUACCCGCAAGUCUCUUUUACUCGUUCCGUAAUGCAAGAUCCCGUGACUUACACUUAGUCACAUUGCUUGCAAGGCUUGUUUGUGAUGUUGUAUUACCGAGUGGGCCCCGAGAUACCUCUCCGUCACACNNNNNNNNNNNNNNNNNNNNNNNNNNNNNNNNNNNNNNNNNNNNNNNNNNNNNNNNNNNNNNNNNNNNNNNNNNNNNNNNNNNNNNNNNNNNNNNNNNNNGUUGGAAAUAUGCCCUAGAGGCAAUAAUAAAUUAGUUAUUAUUAUAUUUCUUAGUUCAUGAUAAUCGUUUAUUAUCCAUGCUAUAAUUGUAUUGAUUGGAANNNNNNNNNNCAAGUGCCAAUCGGAGUCGCGAGACGGAGAUUGGUUACAAGAGAUGAACUAGGGAUUGGAGAGGAGAUGGUGCNNNNNNNNNNUGUUCGGUACUAGAUCGUGGGACUGAUCGCGAGAUUGUUCACGGGGCGGAUCGAGGGACGUGAGGACGUUCCACUACAUCAACCGUGUUCUCCAACGCUUCUGCUAUACGGUCUACAAGGGUACGUAGGUCACUCAUCCCCUCUCGUAGAUGGACAUCACCAUGAUAGGUCUUCGUGCGCGUAGGAAAAUUUUUGUUUCCCAUGCGCCGUUCCCCAACAGUUGUUGGAAUUAUGCCCUAGAGGCAAUAAUAAAUAUAGUUAUUGUUAUAAUUCCUGUAUCAAGAUAAUCGUUUGUUAUCCAUGCUAUAAUUGUAUUGAAUGAAGACUCAUUUACAUGUGUGGAUACAUAGACAAAACACCGUCCCUAGCAAGCCUCUAGUUGGCUAGCCAGUUGAUCAAAGAUAGUUAGUGUCUUCUGAUUAUGAACAAAGUGUUGUUGAUUGAUAACUGGAUCACGUCAUUAGGAGAAUCACGUGAUGGACUAGACCNNNNNNNNNNAUGUAUCAAUAUAAUCGUUUAUUAUCCAUGCUAUAAUUGUAUUGAAUGAAGACUCGUUUACAUGUGUGGAUAUAUAGACAAAACAACGUCCCUAGCAAGCCUCUAGUUGGCUAGCCAGUUGAUCGAAGAUAGUCAGUGUCUUCUGAUUAUGAACAAGGUGUUGUUGCUUGAUAACUGGAUCACGUCAUUAGGAGAAUCACGUGAUGGACUAGACCCAAACUAAUAGAUGUAGCAUGGUGAUCGUGUCAUUUUGUUGCUACUGUUUUCUGCGUGUCAAGUAUUUAAUCCUAUGACCAUGAGAUCAUAUAACUCACUGACACCGGAGGAAUGCUUNNNNNNNNNNUGUGUCAUUUUGUUGGUACUGUUUUCUGUGUGUCAAGUAUUUGUUCCUAUGACCAUGAGAUCAUAUAACUCACGGACACCAGAGGAAUGCUUUAUGUGUAUCAAACAUCGCAACGUAACUGGGUGACUAUAAAGAUGCUCUACAGGUAUCUCCGAAGGUGUUAGUUGAGUUAGUAUGGAUCAAGACUGGGAUUUGUCACUCCGUUGUCACUCCGUGUGACGGAGAGGUAUCUCGGGGCCCACUCGGUAAUACAACAUCACACACAAGCCUUGCAAGCAAUGUGACUUAGUGUACGUUGCGGGAUCUUGUAUUACGGAACGAGUAAAGAGACUUGCCGCUAAACGAGAUUGAAAUAGGUAUGCGGAUACUGACGAUCGAAUCUCGGGNNNNNNNNNNAGUUACGGGAUCUUGUAUUACGGAACGACUAAAGAGACUUGUCGGUAAACGAGAUUGAAAUAGGUAUGCGGAUACUGACGAUCGANNNNNNNNNNACGGAGAGAUAUCUCGGGGCCCACUCGGUAAUACAACAUCACACACAAGCCUUGCAANNNNNNNNNNUUCUCGGGCAAGUAACAUACCGAAGGACAAAGGGAAUGACGUACGGGAUUAUAUGAAUCCUUGGCACUGAGGUUCAAACGAUAAGGUCUUCGUAGAAUAUGUGGGAUCCAAUAUGGGCAUCCAGGUCCCGCUAUUGGAUAUUGACAGAGGAGUCACUCGGGUCAUGUCUGCAUAGUUCUCGAACCCGCAGGGUCUGCACACUUAAGGUUUGACGUUGUUUUAUGCGUAUUUGAGUUAUAUGGUUGGUUACCGAAUGUUGUUCGGAGUCCCGGAUGAGAUCACGGACGUCAUGAGGGUUUACGGAAUGGUCCGAAAAUGAAGGUUGAUAUAUAGGAUGACCUCAUUUGAUUACCGAAAGGUUUUCGGAGUUACCGGGAAUGACGAAUGGGUUCCGGGUGUUCACAGGGGGGGGNNNNNNNNNNNNNNNNNNNNNNNNNNNNNNNNNNNNNNNNNNNNNNNNNNNNNNNNNNNNNNNNNNNNNNNNNNNNNNNNNNNNNNNNNNNNNNNNNNNNNNNNNNNNNNCUGUGACCUGCGCUAUAUAAAAGUGGUGGGGGCCGGGGCGCACGGUACGAGGUUCACCGCGCCGCCAGACACCCCACCUAAAUCCCCUUCCGAUCUAGGAUUUGCGCAGUGCUCAUGGGAAGCACCACCCACGACCACACCUCCUCCCUCACACCACCGACGACUACACCGGCGCCAAUGUCCGGAGCAGGGAGUUCAUCGGGCUCGGGAUUAGGUGAGUACAUGGUAACACCGGAUCUAUCUAUGCCUAGUCGAUCUACGGCUUUAAUAUUGGUAUCAGAGCCGCUAGGCAAAGAUUCGUUCGGUCAAAGAAAAGCGAAUGUCUUUCCCCUCCCCACAUGAACCCUAGAUGGGCAAGUACCGAAGACGGCCUAAAGCCUCGUCGGAAAAGAAGCGCCGCCGCAAGGCCGCGCCUGUUCCUCUCGAUCCCCACACGCAUCGGCAAGCCGAGGUGUGGGGAAGAAGAACCUACCUCCUCGGAGGCAAGUAUACGGAUCCGAUCCGCAAAAGAAAAGAAAAACAAAGGGGGAGAGGAACAUGCAAAGAAAAGAAAGAUUCGCCCUGCGGAUCGCAACGAGGCACCACGGCCAACCCAUUCGACGGCAACGCGCUCCCACAAGGGAACGCGCCACCGGCGAAAGGGGAGGCCACGGUGCCAUGACUAUGUCUCUGCUCAAGGACGAAAAGGAUAGCAGGGUGUAUGGCACCCCAACGCCCCCCUUGACGGCGGCGCACUCUCCCUCGGGAGAGGGCGCGCACCGGCAAGAGGAGCGGAGGGGGCCGCCGCUGCAUCUCCGGCGGGGCAAGAGCCUCCACGCGAGAGAGAAAAGGGAGCCGGUCGGGGCCCUCUCCGGCGGGCGAGACGCCGCCGCGCAGAAGAGCCGAACCGGCAAGAGGAACAAGCAGAGAGGCCGACGGCCUCCUCCUCGGCGGGGUCAGAGAGCGCGCGGCGCGGGGCUCUCGGCCGCCGCGGCCGGCGAACACCCGCAGGAGAGGAGCCGUCGGGCAGAGAAAAGUGGAUAAGAGCGGCGCGGGGGAAAUGGGGGUAGGGUUUACCCUCCCCACCGGCCCAGCCGUUUUUGUUCCCCCUAGGGCCGCGGGGGACCGUCCGAUCCGACGGAUGGCCAGGAUCGCCCCGCAUGUAACCCUAGGCGCGGCUCGGGCCUCUAAGGCCGGCGGGAGCCAGGCCGGCCCAGGCCAGGCCGAAGCGGCGCGCAAAAGAGAGAAGGGCCUUCGGGCCAAAAGCAAGCCGACNNNNNNNNNNNNNNNNNNNNNNNNNNNNNNNNNNNNNNNNNNNNNNNNNNNNNNNNNNNNNNNNNNNNNNNNNNNNNNNNNNNNNNNNNNNNNNNNNNNNCGGAUUUCCGACGAGUGUCGGACGUCCAGCGCUCGGACGUCCGGAGGGAGCCGGAUUUCCGAGAUAUAGAACUCAACUUCUACUGGUGUAGGCUUCCGGAUUUCCGAAGUUGGUCGGAUAUCCAGGCCUCGGACGUCCGGAGGAGGCCGGAUGUCCGGGCCUCGGACGUCCGGAGGAGGCCGGAUGUCCGGGCCUCGGACGUCCGGAGGAGGCCGGAAGUCCGAGGCACUUGUCCUUUGUUCUGAUAACAGCAGAGCAGUGGAGAUGUGGUAUGAGCAAAACAAUGGAGAUGUAGUUUGAGCAAGUUCAUUGCAAAACCUGUGAUCCCCUCUUAAUAGUGCGGGAUCCCUAAAGACUCANNNNNNNNNNUGAGGUACUCGUCCUUUUUUCUGAUAACAGCAGAGCAGUGGAGAUGUGGUAUGAGCAGAACAAUGGAGAUGUAGUUUGAGCAAGUUCAUCGCAAAACCUGUGAUCCCCUCUUAAUAGUGCGGGAUCCCUAAAGACUCAAGAAUCAUAAAAGAGGUAUUGAUGAGCCAUACUUGAGUGUAUACUGUUAUUUGCUGAUCAUCCCUCCGCACAACUAACGUCAAAGGAACUGAUACCUUUGAGUUAGCCCUUUCACUUGAGCUUGAUGUUGUUGUUCCUUGUUGGCUCAAGUUGAAAGCAAUACAUGAUGAAGUCUUCAAGUAGCUCUCCCAUACACAACGUGGAAAGCCUAGCUUAUGUAUUCAUCUUCAUUUGUCCACCAUGUGAACAUCCACAAGAAUCAAGCAUGAAGUGCUCAAGAAUGCUCAUCUUGAUCUUGUCCUGUCCACCAUGUGCACAUCCACAAGAAUCAAGCAUGUAGUGCUCAGGGAUGCUUAUCUUGAUCUUGUCCUUGUUAGCACAUAAGGUUGUCCUUAUCAACACAUGAUCAUUGACAAUAGUUUCAAUGAUAUAUUCGUGUUGAUCCACGUGAACUUGCACACCACAAUCUUGAUGAUGAUCACCACUUGACGUCAUCCUUCAUGGGUUCUAUGAGAUCUUCCUUUUGACGCAAGCCCAAUGGAAACACACCUAACCCCCACAUAGGAGUCUCACAAAGACCAUGGGUUAGUACACAAACACGUAAUGGACAAUGCUUACCAUACCAUGGGAUCACUUGAUCCCUCUCGGUACAUCUUAUACGCUUUGUGUGUUGAUCAUCUUGAUUUACUCUUUGUCUGAGAUCCUGAUCAACCUAGUGUUUCUAUGACCAUUCUUUGAGUAAUGACUUGAAUAACAUCUUGGUCAACAUAUAAACUCCUUGAACCCAACAGAUGGACUUCAAGAAGUGCCUAUGGACAAAUCCUAUGAAUGUAACUUAAGGCAACCAUUAGUCCAUAGGUUGUACGCUUUGUGUGUUGAUCAUCUUGAUUUACUCUUUGUCUGAGAUCUUGAUCAACCCUGNNNNNNNNNNAGUUCUUGGUUGCGUUGUGAGGUGUGAAUUUGAGUAAGACUCAAAACCCGACCACGACAGAAUAAAGAGAAUAGACGAAGGUCGUCUUCUAUGCCUUAGCCGUAGAAUCUAAAGUAUGCCAUGCUGUGUACCGCACCUGAAGUGUGCCUUGACUCAAAGUAUGUUGAGAGGUACAGAGAGUGAUCCAUGAUUGAAUCACUAGCAGCGGUUGAAAUUUAUCCUUAGUAACUAAUGGACUAAGGAAUUUUUCUCGAUUAUGGAGGUGGUUAAAGAGUUUGUCGUAAAGGGUUACGUCAAUGCAAGCUUUGACACUAAUCCGGAUAACUAUGAGUAGUGAAACGGAUUCGUAUAGUAGAGUAGAUAUUUGGAGCAUUUCCGAAUAGCACGUAGUAGCAGCAUCUAUAAGAUGACAUAAAGAUUUGUAAAGAACGCACGAAUCUGAAAGUUUCAGAAUCGUUGACUAAAACCUCUCUCACGAGCAAGACGUGAUCAGACCCCAUAACUAUAUGGGUGUUGGAUUCGUUGGAAUCACAUGGUGAUGUGAACUAGAUUAUUGACUCUAGUGCAAGUGGGAGACUGUUGGAAAUAUGCCCUAGAGGCAAUAAUAAAUUAGUUAUUAUUAUAUUUCUUAGUUCAUGAUAAUCGUUUAUUAUCCAUGCUAUAAUUGUAUUGAUUGGAAACACAAUACUUGUGUGGAUACAUAGACAAAACACUGUCCCUAGUAAGCCUCUAGUUGACUAGCUCGUUGAUCAAAGAUGGUCAAGGUUUCCUGGCCAUAGGCAAGUGUUGUCACUUGAUAACGGGAUCACAUCAUUAGGAGAAUCAUGUGAUGGACUAGACCCAAACUAAUAGACGUAGCAUNNNNNNNNNNUGAUCUUGAUCAACCUAGUGUUUAUAUGACCAUUCUUUGGAUAAUAACUUGAAUAACACCUUGGUCAACAUAUAAACUCCUUGAACCCAACCGAUGGACUUCAAGAAGCGCCUAUGGACAAAUCCUAUAAAUAUAACUUAGGGCAACCAUUAGUCCAUAGGGAUUUUCAUCAAUUACCAAAACCACAUAUGGAGAUAUAUGCUCUAACACCCACCACCGUCGCGCCGCCGCCCUUGGCGCCCCCGGCGCCGCCCCGCCACCCCCAACACCCCGGCCCCUCCNNNNNNNNNNCUAUAAAUGUAACUUAAGGCAACCAUUAGUCCAUAGGAAUUGUCAUUAAUUACCAAAACCACAUAUGGAGAUAUAUGCUCUAACACCCGGGCCGAAGCGAGGCCCGAAGACCCGAGCCGCCGCCGCCCCGUUCUGCUCGGAUCUCCCCACCGAGCAGGCUCCUCCCCGUGCUCACGAGCCCCUGGUGGCGAGACGCCGCCGACCUGCCCGCGCCGCUCCGGGCUUCCCUCUGCCCGCCGCCGUCUGUAGCUCGCGGAGAGCCGAGCCCGCAGCUCCUCGCCGCCUCCCUGUCCCGUUCUGCGCCGCCCUCUGCCCGCCGCGUCGCCCCUCGAGCCACCGGCCAGCCUUGCCGGAUCCCGCCUCCGCCAUGCGCCGCCGUCUUGCGCCACCAACCACGCCCCGUUCUGCGCCGCCGCCGGGAUCUGGCUCCCUUCCCCCGCCGCCGGGUUCCCGUGGUAGCCGCCGCCGCCUGGGNNNNNNNNNNNNNNNNNNNNNNNNNNNNNNNNNNNNNNNNNNNNNNNNNNNNNNNNNNNNNNNNNNNNNNNNNNNNNNNNNNNNNNNNNNNNNNNNNNNNUAACUGGAUCACGUCAUUAGGAGAAUCACGUGAUGGACUAGACCCAAACUAAUAGACGUAGCAUGGUGAUCGUGUCAUUUUGUUGCUACUGUUUUCUGCGUGUCAAGUAUUUAAUCCUAUGACCAUGAGAUCAUAUAACUCACUGACACCGGAGGAAUGCUUUGUGUGUAUCAAAAGUCGCAACGUAACUGGGUGACUAUAAAGAUGCUCUACAGGUAUCUCCGAAGGUGUUAGUUGAGUUAGUAUGGAUCAAGACUGGGAUUUGUCACUCCGUGUGAACGGAGAGAUAUCUCGGGGCCCACUCGGUAAUACAACAUCACACACAAGCCUUGCAAGCAAUGUAACUUAGUGUAAGUUGCGGGAUCUUGUAUUACGGAACGAGUAAAGAGACUUGCCAGUAAACGAGAUUGAAAUAGGUAUACGGAUACUGACGAUCGAAUCUCGGGCAAGUAACAUACCGAAGGACAAAGGGAAUGACAUACGGGAUUAUAUGAAUCCUUGGCACUGAGGUUCAAACGAUAAGAUCUUCGUAGAAUAUGUAGGAUCCAAUAUGGGCAUCCAGGUCCCGCUAUUGGGUAUUGACCGAGGAGUCUCUCGGGUCAUGUCUACAUAGUUCUCGAACCCGCAGGGUCUGCACACUUAGGGUUCGACGUUGUUUUAUGCGUAUUAGAGUUAUAUGGUUGGUUACCGAAUGUUGUUCGGAGUCUCGGAUGAGAUCACGGACGUCACGAGGGUUUCCAGAAUGGUCCGGAAACGAAGAUUGAUAUAUAGGAUGACCUCAUUUGAUUACCGGAAGUUUUCGGAGUUACCGGGAAUGACGAAUGGGUUCCGAGAGUUCACCGGGGGGGCAACCCACCCCGGGGAAGCCCAUAGGCCUUGAGGGUGGCACACCAGCCCUUAGUGGGCUGGUGGGACAGCCCAAAAGGCUCUAUGCGCCAAGGAGAAGAAAAUCAAGAGAGUAAGAAAAAAAAAGGGAGGAGGUGGGAAGGAAGGGGGACUCCCUCCCACCAAACCUAGUCCAACUCGGUUUGGGGGGGGGGAGAGUCCUCCCCCUUGGACUCGGCCGACCCCCUUGGGGCUCCUUGAGCCCCAAGGCAAGGUCCCCUCCCUCCCACCUAUAUAUACGGAGGUUUUAGGGCUGAUUUGAGACGACUUUUCCACGGCAGCCCGACCANNNNNNNNNNNNNNNNNNNNNNNNNNNNNNNNNNNNNNNNNNNNNNNNNNNNNNNNNNNNNNNNNNNNNNNNNNNNNNNNNNNNNNNNNNNNNNNNNNNNACCUCGAUCACCACACACUGCAAAGUUAAGAUGUGGCACGAUGAGGCAUCAAGGUGUUCCAUGCCAGGGCACCGAGCUGCUCGAUGCUUGUGCUGUCGGGAGAGUAUCAGGCGAUACCACUUCCCAAAUGCUCCCAUGACACCAUUUAAAAAUAGUAAUUUUAAUUAUUUUAAAAAUUUCUGAAAACAAUUAUGGAUGUUCAAAUUCAGAUCCAAAUUCUAAAUACACAUUGAGAAACUGAAAAGAGAAAUUCGGGCAUGAACAGUGACAUUUUGACUUUUGUCUUUUUUGAUACUAUUUAUGCUGGAUUUGUCUUUAUUGUUUCUCAAUGUAUAUUUUGAAUUUGGAUCUGAAUUUUUUAGGGUUGUACAUUCAUGUGAUGUGAACAUCCAAAAAUGUUUUCAGAUUUUUUUUGAGUAAUUUGAAAUUAAAUUUUGCAAAAUGAUAUAUGGUAUCACCUAAGGGUGGUAUCAUGGGAUAUUUCCCUUGGGCUGUCAAGAUCGUUGGUGCUACAGGCACGCCCUACUGCUUUGAAUCGGUAUGCUGAUGUGGUAACGAUGGACCAUUGCUGGGAGGUAAGGACUAAUAAUUGCGUUGUUGCAUGUGCAACGACCAACGGUGCAACACUGCGGUCACCCCUAAUGCUAGGUUACUUCGCGGCCAGUUUUUUUGAUCGAUUCUCUCAUAAUCGUCCCCUUCUUAGCUUCUUCCAUAACUGUUAUUUCAUUUUUUACAAUCCAAGCUAAUUAGACCUUAACUAAAUAGAAUUUUAAAAAACAUACGAAGUGACAAUUUUGAAGAAGCUAGGGACGGGAACGAUUAUGAAAGAAUCGGCCAAAAGAACUGGCCCUUACCCAGAAAACCCGGACCCAACUACAAUGCAUCCCUUUUAUUGAAAAAUACCAAAUUAUUGGGCAAAGAAAUUCAAUAGAUUGGAGAGAAUUACGAAGCUAUGAUGAUCAUGCAGAUAAUAAUCAUAAAACUGAGAGAAGACUCAAAUAUUUUUCAUGAAUAAUCUGAACAUAAACUCACAAUUCAUCGAAUCCCAACAAACGCACCAUACAAAAAAAAAUACAUCGAAUAGAUCAAAGCGAAAAUGCGAUGAUCAUUGUAUUGAAGAUCAAGAGAGAGAGAUAUAACCAUCUAUAUUAACUACGGACCCGUAGGUGUGUGGUGAAUGUUGGGGAACGUCGCAUGGGAAACAAAAAAUUUCCUACGCGCACGAAGACCUAUCAUGGUGAUGUCCAUCUACGAGAGGGGAUGAGUGAUCAACGUACCCUUGUAGAUCACACAGCAGAAGAGUUAGUGAACGCGGUUGAUGUAGUGGAACGUCCUCACGUCCCUCGAUCCGCCCCNNNNNNNNNNUAGCUCAUGAUGCCACUGUUGGGGAACGUCGCAUGGGAAACAAAAAUUUUCCUACGCGCACGAAGACCUAUCAUGGUGAUGUCCAUCUACGAGAGGGGAUGAGUGAUCAACGUACCCUUGUAGACCGUACAACAGAAGCGUUAGAGAACGCGGUUGAUGUAGUGGAACGUCCUCACGUCCCUCGAUCCGCCCCGCGAACAAUCCCGCGAUCAGUCCCACGAUCUAGUACCGAACGGACGGCACCUCCGCGUUCAGCACACGUACAACUCGACGAUGAUCUCGGCCUUCUUGAUCCAGCAAGAGAGUCAGAGAGGUAGAAGAGUUCUCCGGCAGCGUGACGGCGCUCCGGAGGUUGGUGAUGACCUUGUCUCAGCAGGGNNNNNNNNNNGCUCGACGAUGAUCUCGGCCUUCUUGAUCUAGCAAGAGAGACGGAGAGGUAGAAUAGUUCUCCGACAGCGUGACGGCGCUCCGGAGGUUGGUGAUGACCUUGUCUCAGCAGGGCUCCGCCCGAGCUCCGUAGAAACGCGAUCUAGAGGAAAAACCGUGGAGGUAUGUGGUCGGGCUGCCGUGGAAAAGUCGUCUCAAAUCAGCCCUAAAACCUCUGUAUAUAUAGGUGGGAGGGAGGGGAGGAGGCAGCCUCAAAACCUAAAUGUUUGGCCGAAAUUGGAGGUGGAGGAGUCCUACUCCAAUCCUACUUGGAGUAGGAUUCCACCUUCCUACUUGGAAACUCUUUCCACCUUGUGUUUUUUCCUUCUCAAACCUUAUGGGCCUUAGUGGGAACUUAUUCCAGCCCACUAGGGGCUGGUUUAUCUCUUCCCAUAGCCCAUGAGACCCCUUGGGGCGUGACACCCCUCCCGAUGGUCCCCGGCACCCCUCCCGGCACUCCCGGUACACUACCGAUGAUCCCGAAACUUUUCCGGUAAUGCACGAAAACCUUCCGGUAACCAAAUGAGGUCAUCCUAUAUAUCAAUCUUCGUUUCCGGACUAUUCCGGAAACCCUCUUGACGUCCGUGAUCUCAUCCGGGACUCCGAACAACAUUCGGUAACCAACCAUAUAACUCAAAUACGCAUAAAACAACGUCGAACCUUAAGUGUGCAGACCCUGCGGGUUCGAGAACUAUGUANNNNNNNNNNNNNNNNNNNNNNNNNNNNNNNNNNNNNNNNNNNNNNNNNNNNNNNNNNNNNNNNNNNNNNNNNNNNNNNNNNNNNNNNNNNNNNNNNNNNNNNNNNNNNNNNNNNNNNNNNNNNNNNNNNNNNNNNNNNNNNNNNNNNNNNNNNNNNNNNNNNNNNNNNNNNNNNNNNNNNNNNNNNNNGCAUUCCCUUUGUCUUUCGGUAUGUUACUUGCCCGAGAUUCGAUCGUUAGUAUCCGCAUACCUAUUUCAAUCUCGUUUACCGGCAAGUCUCUUUACUCGUUCCGUAAUACAAGAUCCCGCAACUUACAUUAAUUUACAUUGCUUGCAAGGCUUGUGUGUGAUGUUGUAUUACCGAGUGGGCCCCGAGAUACCUCUCCGUCACACGGAGUGACAAAUCCCAGUCUCGAUCUAUACUAACUCAACGAACACCUUCGGAGAUACCUGUAGAGCAUCUUUAUAGUCACCCAGUUACGUUGCGACGUUUGAUACACACAAAGCAUUCCUCCGGUGUCCGUGAGUUAUAUGAUCUCAUGGUCAUAGGAACAAAUACUUGACACGCAGAAAACAGUAGCAACAAAAUGACACGAUCAACAUGCUACGUCUAUUAGUUUGGGUCUAGUCCANNNNNNNNNNNNNNNNNNNNNNNNNNNNNNNNNNNNNNNNNNNNNNNNNNNNNNNNNNNNNNNNNNNNNNNNNNNNNNNNNNNNNNNNNNNNNNNNNNNNAUAUAUAUAUAUAUAUAUAUAUAUAUAUAUUUGACAGCACAUUUAUAUAAUUCACCACACAUAUAUGAUAUAUAGUUCACCACACAUAUACUUGCCAACACAUAUAUAUAAUUCACCACACAUAUAUGAUUCACCAAUGUACAUCCCCAUAUAUCCAAAGAACCAACAUACCAUGUAUUGCACUGUUUAUCCAUAUAUACAUAUACAUAUAGUUCGACAUUGUUCAUCAACUCAAAUGAAAACUAGAUGAUAUACAUAUAAAGUUCAUCCAUCGACAUUGUUCAACUCCAUGAAUGCCAGCUUCCAUGCAUGUAGUAUAUCCAAUCUGCAAAAAUGUGAAUAAGAAAGUUAGAAGAAGAACAAAAUAUGAUGUUUUUCAGCUAAUUAUGUCAUUUUUAGCGGAAAACAAGCUAAGUAUAUAUGUGGUGAACAAUAUAUCAUUUGUUGGAGCUAAAUUACCUAAUUAUGUCUUUUUUGAGCUAAAUGGGCUAAUUAUCUCGUUUUAGAGGAAAACAAGCUAAGUAUAUAAUAUUCAUAAGCUAACCAAGGUUCUUAUGCCAUUUUGAGGUUAUUAUGGUAUUUUGGAGCUAAAUGGGCCAAUUAUGUCAUUGUUGGGUUAAUAAAAGCAAGGAUAAUAUGAAAGAGGAGAAGAAAGAGGAGGAGGAGGAGAAGACGAAGAAAUGAAGAAGAAGGAGGAGAAGGAGGAGAAGGAGGAGGAGGAGAAGGACUAGAAGGUCCUUGGCCUUCUCCUCCUCCUCCUCCUUCUUCUCUUCUUCUUCUUCUUCUCUUCUUCUUCUUCUUCUUUCUUUUCAUUUUGCCUAUUUCUUCUCCUCUUGUUGGAGCUAAAUUACCUAAUUAUGUCUUUUUUGAGCUAAAUGGGCUAAUUAUCUCGUUUUAGAGGAAAACAAGCUAAGUAUAUAAUAUUAAUGAGCUAACCAAGGUUCUUAUGCCAUUUUGAGCUUAUUAUGGUAUUUUGGAGCUAAAUGGGCUAAUUAUGUCAUUGUUGGGUUAAUUAAAGCAAGGAUAAUAUGAAAGAGGAGAAGAAAGAGGAGGAGGAGGAGAAGAAGAAGAAGAAAUCAAGAAGAAGGAGGAGAAGGAGGAGAAGGAGGAGGAGGAGAAGUACUAGAAGGUCCUUGGCCUUCUCCUCCUCGUCCUCCUCGUCCUCCUCGUCCUCCUCCUCCUUCUCCUUCUUCUCUUCUUCUUCUUCUCUUCUUCUUCUUAUUCUUUCUUUUCAUUUUGCCUAUUUCUUCUCCUCUUCUCCUCUUGUUGNNNNNNNNNNGAGGAGGAGAAGAAAAAGAAAUCAAGAAGAAGGAGGAGGAGAGGAGAAGGAGGAGGAGGAGAAGGAUAGAAGGUCCUUGGCCUUCUCCUCCUCCUCCUCCUCCUCCUUCUCCUUCUUCUCUUCUUCUUCUUCUUCUUCUUUCUUUUCAUUUUGCCUAUUUCUUCUCCUCUUNNNNNNNNNNNNNNNNNNNNNNNNNNNNNNNNNNNNNNNNNNNNNNNNNNNNNNNNNNNNNNNNNNNNNNNNNNNNNNNNNNNNNNNNNNNNNNNNNNNNGCGAUCCGCUUUUCUCACCCCCGUGCCCCCACCGCCCCGUCACGCGCCAACGUGUGCCGCCUCCCGCCACCGGAUGCCCCGGACCGCCCCGCAGCCGCUUGCCAGCCACCUCCAUAGUACUUGGCAACAAACCUAUACAUUCCCGAGCUGGCACACUCUCCAGCUCGCUCCUCGCCUCCUCCUCCUCCUCCUCCCCUGCUUCUGCUUCAGAGGGACACGACAACAACACGAGCCUAGAGCAGAGCAAGAGCCGAGAGCCACCCUCAGCGAAGAGGAGAGGUGUGCUUGGAUUGCCGCUCCAUUGCUGAAUAAUAUAUACUCUGCUAGUGGUAGUUUUUUAUUGAUUUUAGCCGGGAGGGGAUAAAAGAUGUCGUCGCUGGUGUCCGCGCCGUUCGCCACGGCCACCGGGGCGCAGAAGAAGGCGCNNNNNNNNNNNNNNNNNNNNNNNNNNNNNNNNNNNNNNNNNNNNNNNNNNNNNNNNNNNNNNNNNNNNNNNNNNNNNNNNNNNNNNNNNNNNNNNNNNNNNNNNNNNNNNNNNCGCGCCGCUGCACUCCUUCCUGCUCACCGGCCGGCGGGGGCGGCGCGCGACGAUACGGUGCGCCGUGGCCGGGAACGGGCUGUUCACGCAGACCAACCCGGACGUGCGCCGCGUGGUUCCCGCCGAGCGCGGCCUGCCGCGGGUCAAGGUGGUCUACGUCGUGCUGGAGGCGCAGUACCAGUCCUCCGUCACCGCCGCCGUGAUGCAGCUCAACGCCGACCCGCGCCGCGCCGCCGAGUUCGAGGUGGUGGGCUACCUGGUGGAGGAGCUGCGGGACGCGGACACGUACGCCGCCUUCUGCNNNN